UAUUAAUGUAAUGUAAUGUAUUGUGUGGUUGAACUGGAUCUGUUGUGAACUGCCUGCUACCUAUUAGAAUGCAAUCUAUAUAUGUGUGGCCUUAUCUUUAAUGGUGGUGAAUGCUUCCUUCAUGUUUAGUUGUUGUUUCGAUGGUGCGAAAAAAACAAAUGGCACUUCAGUGUUGCUUGAGACAUGCUGCAACACUUGUCUAUGCUGUGGGCAAGUGCAACAUGCUGCGCCCAUGUGCCAAUUAUACCAAAUAUUGAAUGUCGCAAUGUUCCAAAAUGGCUGUCAUGAAUUAUAGUACAUGGGGUUUAGUAAAGUUACUGAUAAUUGUUCAUCCUCACACAUUCCACCAACUCAUAAUUUGAAUAAGCAAAAAGAUCAAAUGUUCCAUCAUUUGAACCUAUGUUGCAAUUACAGAGCAAAUAUUCCAUCAUCAAAGUGUGAAGGAAUUAAAUAUAAAAUUAGAAGAAAAGAAAAUAUACUUAUUCAAAAAGAUGUGUUUGAUAAAAAUAGCUUUUGAAUUUUUUGUAUGUUAUUAUUUGAGGGGUCAUGUAAUUUUUAUGUUAUUUUUGGAGUGAUCAGGUAAUUUUUAUUUAAAGUGAAGGAAAAGGAAAAAAUAAACAAAAGGAAAAGCAUGGGCCAUCCUAGCCAUCUUGUAAACCUAGUUCAAUAAAUAAAAAAUACAAAAAAAUAAGAGGGCAUUAAAAAGGUAAACAAAUUUAAGAGGCCAUUAUAAAUUAAAAUAAUUUCAAAAAUAUAGAAAGAAUUAUUUACAAUGCCCCCCUGAGGUAUAGACGGAUGUUUUGACCGGUCAGUCUAGAGGGCAUUAUAAAUUAAUAAAAAAUUCAGAAAAAUAUAAAACCUUUGGAACCCACCUUUGUUUGUUCAAUAGAUCAUGUGUGCCAAAGUUGAGGUCAUUUGGAGGUGGUCAAAAAAAUGACCGCAUUCCGGAGGGGCCAUUUGGUCUUAACUUAAGCCAGUUUUUGAAAAGAUGUGAUUUUUCCAACCACCUCCAAAUCACACAAAAUUUCUUGAACAUGGUGACCCACAUGUGCCAAUCAUGGCUAUGAAAUAAAAUUGGGAAAAAGAAUUAUUUANNNNNNNNNNNNNNNNNNNNNNNNNNNNNNNNNNNNNNNNNNNNNNNNNNNNNNNNNNNNNNNNNNNNNNNNNNNNNNNNNNNNNNNNNNNNNNNNNNNNNNNNNNNNNNNNNNNNNNNNNNNNNNNNNNNNNNNNNNNNNNNNNNNNNNNNNNNNNNNNNNNNNNNNNNNNNNNNNNNNNNNNNNNNNNNNNNNNNNNNNNNNNNNNNNNNNNNNNNNNNNNNNNNNNNNNNNNNNNNNNNNNNNNNNNNNNNNNNNNNNNNNNNNNNNNNNNNNNNNNNNNNNNNNNNNNNNNNNNNNNNNNNNNNNNNNNNNNNNNNNNNNNNNNNNNNNNNNNNNNNNNNNNNNNNNNNNNNNNNNNNNNNNNNNNNNNNNNNNNNNNNNNNNNNNNNNNNNNNNNNNNNNNNNNNNNNNNNNNNNNNNNNNNNNNNNNNNNNNNNNNNNNNNNNNNNNNNNNNNNNNNNNNNNNNNNNNNNNNNNNNNNNNNNNNNNNNNNNNNNNNNNNNNNNNNNNNNNNNNNNNNNNNNNNNNNNNNNNNNNNNNNNNNNNNNNNNNNNNNNNNNNNNNNNNNNNNNNNNNNNNNNNNNNNNNNNNNNNNNNNNNNNNNNNNNNNNNNNNNNNNNNNNNNNNNNNNNNNNNNNNNNNNNNNNNNNNNNNNNNNNNNNNNNNNNNNNNNNNNNNNNNNNNNNNNNNNNNNNNNNNNNNNNNNNNNNNNNNNNNNNNNNNNNNNNNNNNNNNNNNNNNNNNNNNNNNNNNNNNNNNNNNNNNNNNNNNNNNNNNNNNNNNNNNNNNNNNNNNNNNNNNNNNNNNNNNNNNNNNNNNNNNNNNNNNNNNNNNNNNNNNNNNNNNNNNNNNNNNNNNNNNNNNNNNNNNNNNNGAAAGAAAAUUUGGAAAAAUAAUUAUUUACAAUGAUCCCUUGAGGUAUAAACCGAUGUUUUGACCGGCCAGUCUAGAGGGCAUUAUAAAUUAAUAAAAAAUUCAAAAAAAAUAUAAAACCUUUGGAACCCACCUUUGUUUGUGCUAUAGAUCAUGUGUGCCAAAGUUGAGGUCAUUUGGAGGUGGUCGAAAAAAUGACCGCAUUCCGGAGGGGCCAUUUGGUCUAACUUAAGCCAGUUUUUGAAAAAAUGUGAUUUUUCAACCACCUCCAAAUCACACAAACUUUCUUUAACAUGGUGACCCACAUGUGCCAAUCAUGUCUAUGAAAGAAAAUUUGGAAAAAGAAUUAUUUACAAUGCCCCCCUGAGGUAUAGACCGUUGUUUUGACUGGUCAGUCUAGAGGGCAUUACAAAUUAAUAAAAAAUUCAAAAAAAUAUAAAACCUUUGGAACCCACCUUUGUUUUUGCAAUAGAUCAUGUGUGCCAAAGUUGAGGUCAUUUGGAUGUGGUCGAAAAAAUGACCGCAUUCCGGAGGGGCCAUUUGGUNNNNNNNNNNNNNNNNNNNNNNNNNNNNNNNNNNNNNNNNNNNNNNNNNNNNNNNNNNNNNNNNNNNNNNNNNNNNNNNNNNNNNNNNNNNNNNNNNNNNNNNNNNNNNNNNNNNNNNNNNNNNNNNNNNNNNNNNNNNNNNNNNNNNNNNNNNNNNNNNNNNNNNNNNNNNNNNNNNNNNNNNNNNNNNNNNNNNNNNNNNNNNNNNNNNNNNNNNNNNNNNNNNNNNNNNNNNNNNNNNNNNNNNNNNNNNNNNNNNNNNNNNNNNNNNNNNNNNNNNNNNNNNNNNNNNNNNNNNNNNNNNNNNNNNNNNNNNNNNNNNNNNNNNNNNNNNNNNNNNNNNNNNNNNNNNNNNNNNNNNNNNNNNNNNNNNNNNNNNNNNNNNNNNNNNNNNNNNNNNNNNNNNNNNNNNNNNNNNNNNNNNNNNNNNNNNNNNNNNNNNNNNNNNNNNNNNNNNNNNNNNNNNNNNNNNNNNNNNNNNNNNNNNNNNNNNNNNNNNNNNNNNNNNNNNNNNNNNNNNNNNNNNNNNNNNNNNNNNNNNNNNNNNNNNNNNNNNNNNNNNNNNNNNNNNNNNNNNNNNNNNNNNNNNNNNNNNNNNNNNNNNNNNNNNNNNNNNNNNNNNNNNNNNNNNNNNNNNNNNNNNNNNNNNNNNNNNNNNNNNNNNNNNNNNNNNNNNNNNNNNNNNNNNNNNNNNNNNNNNNNNNNNNNNNNNNNNNNNNNNNNNNNNNNNNNNNNNNNNNNNNNNNNNNNNNNNNNNNNNNNNNNNNNNNNNNNNNNNNNNNNNNNNNNNNNNNNNNNNNNNNNNNNNNNNNNNNNNNNNNNNNNNNNNNNNNNNNNNNNNNNNNNNNNNNNNNNNNNNNNNNNNNNNNNNNNNNNNNNNNNNNNNNNNNNNNNNNNNNNNNNNNNNNNNNNNNNNNNNNNNNNNNNNNNNNNNNNNNNNNNNNNNNNNNNNNNNNNNNNNNNNNNNNNNNNNNNNNNNNNNNNNNNNNNNNNNNNNNNNNNNNNNNNNNNNNNNNNNNNNNNNNNNNNNNNNNNNNNNNNNNNNNNNNNNNNNNNNNNNNNNNNNNNNNNNNNNNNNNNNNNNNNNNNNNNNNNNNNNNNNNNNNNNNNNNNNNNNNNNNNNNNNNNNNNNNNNNNNNNNNNNNNNNNNNNNNNNNNNNNNNNNNNNNNNNNNNNNNNNNNNNNNNNNNNNNNNNNNNNNNNNNNNNNNNNNNNNNNNNNNNNNNNNNNNNNNNNNNNNNNNNNNNNNNNNNNNNNNNNNNNNNNNNNNNNNNNNNNNNNNNNNNNNNNNNNNNNNNNNNNNNNNNNNNNNNNNNNNNNNNNNNNNNNNNNNNNNNNNNNNNNNNNNNNNNNNNNNNNNNNNNNNNNNNNNNNNNNNNNNNNNNNNNNNNNNNNNNNNNNNNNNNNNNNNNNNNNNNNNNNNNNNNNNNNNNNNNNNNNNNNNNNNNNNNNNNNNNNNNNNNNNNNNNNNNNNNNNNNNNNNNNNNNNNNNNNNNNNNNNNNNNNNNNNNNNNNNNNNNNNNNNNNNNNNNNNNNNNNNNNNNNNNNNNNNNNNNNNNNNNNNNNNNNNNNNNNNNNNNNNNNNNNNNNNNNNNNNNNNNNNNNNNNNNNNNNNNNNNNNNNNNNNNNNNNNNNNNNNNNNNNNNNNNNNNNNNNNNNNNNNNNNNNNNNNNNNNNNNNNNNNNNNNNNNNNNNNNNNNNNNNNNNNNNNNNNNNNNNNNNNNNNNNNNNNNNNNNNNNNNNNNNNNNNNNNNNNNNNNNNNNNNNNNNNNNNNNNNNNNNNNNNNNNNNNNNNNNNNNNNNNNNNNNNNNNNNNNNNNNNNNNNNNNNNNNNNNNNNNNNNNNNNGUGGUCAAAAAAUGACCGCAUUCCGGAGGGGCCAUUUGGUCUAACUUAAGCCAGUUUUUGAAAAAAUGUGAUUUUUCCCACCACCUCCAAAUCACACAAAAUUUCUUGAACAUGGUGACCCACAUGUGCCAAUCAUGGCUAUGAAAUAAAAUUGGGAAAAAGAAUUAUUUACAAUGCCCCCUGAGGUAUAGACCGAUGUUUUGACCGGUCAGUCUAGAGGGCAUUAUAAAUUAAUAAAAAAUUCAAAAAAUAUAAAACCUUUGGAACCCACCUUUGUUUGUGCAAUAGAUUAUGUGUGCAAAAGUUGAGGUCAUUUUGAGGUGGUCGAAAAAAUGACCGCAUUCGGGAGGGGCCGUUUGGUGUAACUUAAGCCAGUUUUUGAAAAAAUGUGAUUUUUCCCGCAUGCACUAUCUACAAGCAGGACCAUUCAGGUCUACCGGAGGUCAGGUCUGAAAUUGGUUUCCCUUGAUGGUCCCACCAAAUGAUCCCAAAAUACAUGCAUACCCUACGGUGACCAUGGCUUGCAUGCGUGACAAGUAUCGUUUAUUUGCGACACUCGAUGCAAUUUCUAGGGUUUUCUUGCGAGAAAACCCUACAACACUGCCCCCACGUGACGCAACGUGCGUUUUGUGUCCGAAUUCAUGCACACCUUGCCUGGGGGACCACAUUGGCCAAGCCUAGAUGCUCCAAAAAGUUGGGGUCAUCUCAUGCAUGCUUCCACAUGCACCAUGUACAAGCAGGACCAUUCGUGUCUGCCGGAGGGCAGGUCUGAAAGUGGUUUAUGCGUAACCUACGAUCUCACGAAAUGAUCCCAACCACUCGAUGCAUGUAUAAUAUUGUAGAAAUGAUAGAGAUACUAUAAAUAUUGUUGAACAUAUACAAGUAUACAAUAACUAAUACGUGUCACAAAUAGUUUUUUUUACGGAUGAACCAAAGAUAUUUAUUUUGAGGGAAGAAACAAUGCAGGUAGGUGGGCCGGCCCAAACCGCAAAUAAGUGUCGGAUCCAUAUUGUGGAGCCCACAACACUGUGCUUUCCAUGCACGUCGAUCACACGCACGUCGAUCACGGGAGUAGUUGCCGUUCUGUUACACAAUUCUGGGAUCGCGCUAAUCCAUAUGUUCCUAAUCCCUACGAUUGAGGAUCACGUUCAGCCUCGCUUCAAAGGAGGAAAAUAUAGAUCACGAGAUUGGCCACAGGGAAGUUACGACGACCUAGGCGUCGACCUCGUGUAUAAUCUACUCCUCCUCGCACAUGUCGUCGACUAGAUCGACUCCUGCCGGCGAGGCGUCGACAGCUCCGUCCGCCGCAUCCCACACGCCACAAAAACCCCGAGAAGAUCAAGGUCGUCCGCACGUGCAGGCCGACCUCAACGAACUACGUCGAGAACGCAUCGCCGACUUCUUUCAUCUUCGUCGACCGAUCAAGUAAAUUGUCCUCCUUCCCUCGCUCUUUCAUAGCAAGCUACUUCCUCCGUGUCGUUGCUUUGAUGGACUUAGGUUUACCACAUAUUUUCAACUAGUAUGAACUGGACUAGAUGCGUUCUGACCAGAUGGCGUAGAUGAAAACAUUCUUUGGUUCUUUCAUAGCAUGGUAGAAUAAGAUGUUGUUUCUCGAGAAGCAUGAUGCAAUACAUUUUUUGUCACAAGAUCCAAAUAUAUUUUUGUCACACGAUCCAAUUAUAUUGUUGUGCACAUAGAACAUUAAAGAGUUAUUAACAUUAGAUGUUGAUGAGCCUCAAAUAGAUACCAUUGCUAUAGACUCUAGUUUAUUUACAGGUGAACAAUUUGUCACCCUGUUAGUAAGACAACCAGACGAAUAAGUAACAAUUUACCAUAUUAAAUUUAUUGAUUAUAUAAUUUAAAUGAUACUCAAAGAACUUGAUCAGAUGCAAGUAAAUUCAAUUACCAAUUGUAGUUAUUUUUUUAUUGCCUCAUGUCAGCACACACUUGGCUGCAUGUUGCAGUAUACAUGGUGAUAAUAUUGUAUUUCCAUUAGUGUUAUUUUUGCAUUAGUGUUAGCUACUGCCAGAAAGUUUUAUAUUUUUGCAUGCCUAUUGUUAUUUUUUCUUUAGUGUUAGCUAAUGUCACGAAGUUAUAUAUUUUCUUUCAACGGGAUGGACGAGUUGAAUGGAGAAAUAGUAUGCGCAGUUGAGAAAUGGUGCAAGCUUGUUGCAGAUCUAUCGAGCGGUCAACGCGCUAGACUGGCUGAUACAUCGUUGCGCAGCAUGCUGCAAAUACCAUCUAUUAAGAAGCGUACCCUGCUGAUUAGGUAUAUGAUUGAGAAUUUUCAGGCCACCACGGUGCGGUCGACGUCGAGUGCAUCUUUAACCUCGAGAACCAAGGACUGUCCGCUUCGGACAUUCUGACUGAAGAAGGCGAGGACAUGAAGGAGCGGGUGCCGCCACAAUUUCUCAGUAAGAUGUCAGAAAACAUAGUGAUAGAUAAUCUCAUUGAGGACAUAAUUAAAAGUAAAGCCACCGACGAUGAUUUCCUUUGCAAAGUAGUGCUGGUCCUGUUAGGAACAAUUAUUGCUCCCAUGUCGAGCAAGAUUGUGCCAAAGCAGUACUACGCUUUGGUCUACGAUGUGAAACGUAUUUCAAAGAUUAACUGGAAUGCCUUCACCAUGCGUGUUCUCCUUGAUUGCCUUCGCAUAGUGAAGAAAGGCAAAAACCUCCGCCAAUGGCCGAAAGGCAAUUUGGCUUUCUUCCAGGUACACAUAUCAGACCUAUUGCAUAAUGUCAAUUAUCAUAUCAUUGCAAAAUUUAUGUGAUGUAUUUUACUAACUCUAAAUCCUUAUAUUUUUUUGUAGUACUUGUACUGGGAGAAGGUGCAACCGGUCAAAGGCGAAUGCGCCUAUAAUCCCAACUUGUCUAUACAACCUCUUAUGAGGAACUGGACAGAAGGCGCAGCCACUAGGAGAGAUAGGUUCGACUAUGAUAAUGGGCGCGGCCGUGGUAACGUAAGGGUAAGUCAUUGUGUUUCGUCUUUAUUAAAUGUUUUGUAACUUAAUACUAUUUAUUUUUCAUUCAUCACAUGUACUUCAAUAUCGCAUGCAGAUCGAAAAUAAUAUCACCCAGGAGUAUAGGGCUCAGGAGCCCAACAUCCCAAAUAAUGCACCUAACAUGAAGCCAAAAACCAAGCCUGCAACUGGAAACGCAAAGAAGUCGACGUCAGCCGUAUUGUCGGAAGAUUUGAUGGAGCUUCUAAUGAAGCGGUGCAUGGACUUCAUACACACCGAGAUGAGGCAAAUCCCUGAUCAAGUAGCUAAGGUAUCACACCCAAACUUUAUACUUUACAGUAUGUUUCCUGUUUUAAACCAUCCUACCAUUACUAAGUUUAUAUUUCUAUUGCAGAGGUUGUUGGAGAAGUUGAACGAAGAAGGUGUCAUGUACAAGCCGGCUGCUGCCGUGCCAUCCGCGGAGAAUGAUCCGGACGAAGUGGAUUCGUUCGAGAAUGGUCCAUAUGAAAAGAAGGAAUUCGUGUACAAGGAAGACAUGGACAGUGAUGGAGAGCCGAUCAUUGACAUGACGCAGCCUGAAGUGCUUCCCGACCAUAAAACCGUACCUGAGGUACUAUGUAUUUAUCUAUUUGUCUAUAAUUUUCUCGUUUAAUUUUUUUCGUCCAGAAAUGUUCACACGAUUUAGUUUGCGAAACAGAAAACCCCAUCGAAGCUGAAAGGACACAAGGAAGCUUCACCUAUUAAGCGUAAUGUUGUAUGUGGGGGUACAUCGGAAAACCCUUGGGUGGUUGGUACUUCUACUCAAGCACCUUCAUCGGACAUAGACAUUUGUCUAUCUUCUGUCAGCAAGUUCAUGGCUAAGGCGAAUGGAAAAAAAGGUGGAACAAUCGAUAAGGAUGAGGAGGUUAUGUCCGGUAAGCGGAAGCGGACCGUUCCCAAGAAAUUUGAUUCCCCCUACGCACUUGACAAGCCCGGCAGGCGUACUAGCCUUGGUCAGAGAACCUCUGGUACCAGUACUGCUACUAGAGGUCUCGUAACUAACAUUCUUAAUUUUUUUAUUUACUACCAAUGCAUAUGAUCACCAUUGUUGACGUUCAUAUUAUUUCAUGCAGCUCUAUUUUCAAACAAUAAUGUGCCGGAGGAUGUGGCAGAUGAGUUGACGCCGGAAAUAAUUGAUGCAGCUGUUUCAUUUGUGAAGUUAGCUGCUAGCACUGAGAAGAACAAGAAGAAAACAAUUUACUACAGUGAAGGCCGUGGCAUAACUCUGACUUCCAAAAGGAUUCUACCGGUACUAUCUCAUAGAUGGUUGUCGGACGAAGUAAGUACUACUUGCAUGUCCUCUUUAUAAGAUGCUCAAAAAUCUAUGUCUCAACUCUCAACAUGUAAUGCGCUGAUAUCCUAUGCAGGUUAUUGAUGCUUAUAUGGGACAUUUGGAGCUGCGUGUUGGUCAUGAUCGUUACCUCUGUCUAGUGUGGAGGUCCAAAUUGCUUAUAGAUCGUGCUAUCGCACAUGACGAUCCAUUGCCAUCAAGCUGCAACAUGGAUAGUGCUCUGACCAAAGCUGGGGCAGUUAAUAGGGUCAUGAAAGAGUAUAAUGUGCGUGAUAAGGUACGUAAUGUUUGUGAUUCUUCACUACAUGAUAGUUCAUCAAGUAUUUCUUUUGAUCCGUAAUGGUUUUUUGCACUGUAGACGUAUACCGCGUUGAAUAUCGACAAUAGCCACUGGAUGACCAUGGUCAUGCACAUGAUAAAGAAAGAAUUCCAAGCUCUCGAUUUGCUCUAUCCUCUGGACCUGACUAAGAGGACUGUUAAAGCACUGGUAAUGUAACCAACAUUUGUACCAUUGCUCUUACAUAUUGUUUAUGAUUGAUCUUUAACACUAUCCUCUUUAUAGCGAAUGGCUAUAGCACACGAUAUGCGUCAGGCAAAUCUUAUUACACCAGGGAAAUAUCCGGACGUAAGUAAGUGGCCUAUCAAGGAGUAUGACAUACCCCAGCAAGAGGAUCGGUGAGUUAAUAGGACACCAUGCACAAUCAAACAACAACACACAUGUUUGUAUUGCCCACCGCUAAUGUUUGCAUAUGUACCAGGAACUCUUGUGGCCUUUUUGUCACAGAAUGUCUAGAACAUUGGGACGGGGACAAAAUCACCCGCAAAUUUACACAGGUAUGAUGUUAUUUUCGUUUGUAGACUAGCUACUAUGGUGGUGUAGCAACUUCGGUUCAUGCAACCUUUAUGUCAUUUUUUGCAGGCCACCGUUAACGCAAGGAGAGGAUGUUUCGUCGCAGAGUUGAUUAUGUCACUUUCAAACUCGAUGGAGUGUGUGAAGAACAAAAUUCGCGAAAUCACAAGCAAAACGCGCCUGAAGAAUUCAUGCGGCAUUCAAGAUUGAAGUUUUAGUGGUUUGAAUUUAGUCCGGUCGAAGGUUUCGACGACAUGAUUAUCUUAGGGGUUCUAUCAUUUUUAUGUAAUAAAUAGGGAACAUGCAUGUGUAUUGUGUCUGUCAGACAAUUCGCUCGUACAAUACAAUUCGGUCAUAAAAUUCGCUCGGAGAAGACAAUUUGGUCGUACCAAUAAAGUUUUGGCUUCACUUAUCAAUUGUUCUUGCUUAAUAUUUUUCUCCUUCUCCAUUUUUUUAUAAAUGUAUUUUUCAUGGCUUCACUUAUCAAGUGUUCUUGAUUAACAUUUUUCUCCUUCUCCAAUUUUUUAUAAUAGUCUAUUUUUCUCUUCAACUGCUCUCGUAAGUUUCAUAUUAAAAUUUUCACAAUCUUAACUUUUUUUAAAACUCUACCAAGCUUAGCAUUCUGCCUUAGCUAUGUGCAUGUCAUCAUCUUGCAUAAUCUCCUAGUAAUUCCCCCUCAUCACAUUAUUAUGAAAAGUAGUCAUGGUAGAUAAGUAAAUAUAUCGAGCCAUAAUGUAAUAUUACACUCAUCAAAGUCAUGUCAGCUCGUUGGCUCUAUCGCGUGUUAUCAGGCAUCAUGUUUUUCUAGUUUGUUUUACAAACCCGUCGUUUUUUAAUUAUAUGUAUAAUUAACUUUUUCUGUCCUCAUCAUAAUGCCAGGCACGGCCCAUCUAACCACGUGAGGGGCCCCACAGGCGGGCUAUCUUCCCGGCAGCGCUACACCAGCCCAUUUUGCCAGGUUCACAUCGAUCUUUCCCCUUUUCUCGUUUCGCUUUCCAAAUCCCUAGCCCUCCCUCUCUAUUUGCGCAUCCAAAUCUCGACGGCCAAAGCAUGACACCGAGCUGGGCGUCGGGCGGCAGCGGCGGCGGCGAGAAGAGAUGUGGCGACCGCAAGUUAGGUCGAACCCUGGGUCCUGCAAGCAGGUGGGCCAGAUUCAAUGGCAUAGGAGGCAGCGGCGGCGGAUCUAGUGGAACAGGGGACGGGGGUUUCGUGGGCGGCGGUGGGCCGGGAGAACCCGCGGCUAGGGUUUCUUCAGUGCUACACUUUGGUGGCAAAAAGGUAAGUUCUUUACCAUUGUUCUUUACAUCCCAGCAUUAUCGCCCAUAAUUCAUCACCUGUGGCCAUGACAAGCUUCAUCUAUGUGGUCGUCAGGAAACUCCUAGUGGCCGUGUCUGCAUAGAUGGAGACAAUUUUGGCAGCGCACUCGGGGGAUGUGUGUUUCAGGUUACUACUGACCAUGAUCUUCAAACUAGUACUGCUAUUGCGGUCAAGCUGCAAAAAAGUUCAGUGUUUAACGCUUGCAGCGACAAGUUCAGUUAUAAAAUGACUUGAAUUGCUCAUGAUUUAUUUAGAAUGAUAUCACUUCUGAGUAUGUUGAAUGGGUUGAUGGGGAGUGGGAUAGCAAAGCAAAGUCAGUCAUUAAGUAUCUUGCCAUGAAGAACAAGAAACUGGAGACUAAGAUUACAGAAUAUGAAGCUGAAAUUAAAAGGAAUGAGAAAGAAAAGAGGUCAAUGGUUAAGAUGCACAAGGAGAUAUUGCUCUACGGGGAUAGGAUUUUAGGAUUUGGAGGUCUUCUGUAUCUUGGCCUGCUUGCCAUUAUGAUUGCUGUCAUAGUUAGCAAGUAGAUUGUUCAUAAAGUUAUUGACAUCAUUGUAAUUGACAUGAUGAAAUGAUGCUGAAUCAUUUGCUAUUCAGUUUAUGGGCAAAGUGUAACAGAGAUUGCAACAUAAAUAACAUGGGGCCAUCAUGAUUGGUAGACAGUGCACUUUUGGCAUGUUCUAUAUUUGGCAGACAACGCACUUUUGGCAUGUCCUGUAUUUGACAGACAAUGCACUUUUGGCAUGUUCUAUAUUUGGUAUAUGAUGCACAUGGGCACAUCACCUAGCAACACUACUGAUUUAUGUAGCAGACUAGUUCAUUGUCUUGUUGCAAUAUAGGAGCAACAUCUAGCAGCUUCCAUGCAACACUGAAGCAAAGCAACAAUACCUAUUCAAUAAUCAGAAAUUUAACUGAACUUGGCACUUAGGGUGAGCAGUAGAUAUUCAGUUCUUCAGCCACAAAGAACCCGAUCAAACCGUACUGAUUGCAUAACUUAUAUGCUUACAUAUAAAAGCAUACCUAACCAACAUCAAACCCAAAAUGUUAACUUAUAUGCUGAAACAUAUAACAGCAUACCUAACUUAAUAUAACCAGUAGCUUCCUCCUCCUUCAGCAAAUGUGGCCAUCUUCACUUCUUCAGAAAUUUGAGGUGGCGUGAGAGGCGCACCACACACGGAGAAGCCUUCUUCUUGACCACCGUUCUGUUGGACAACUGCGCCACCUGAUCCUGAGCCACCUCCUCUGCUUCCACCUUCACUAUGUUAGGGAGGAGGGGAAGGAGCUCGACGUCGAUGGGCAUUGUCUUGCCACCCUCGAUGGCGACCGACGCUACCAUCUGCACAGCGUCCUCCUCGCCCUCCUCAUGCUCAUCAGGGAUGACCAGUACCUCCUCCACGUCGUCCUCCACGACGUCAAAGCCGAACGGCAGCACUGGCUUCGACACAUGGCGGACCUGGUAGUCCGGGGUGACGGGCGCAGGGACAGCGAGCUCGACGUCGACGCGGCCCGCCCUCGACGCGACGCGUGCUGAAUCUGGCCACAGCGUCAUGGUGGUGGAGCGGUACAUCCACCACCUUGCGUGCUGAACAAGGGAGUCACUCAGCGUGGCCUCUCGCAUUGCCCACACGAGUAGGACAGCCGGCGGGACACCGCGGCCAUAGGGGAAGGCGCGCUUCUUCUUAGCGUCGGUGAGGACUUUGACGAGGCCACGCGCGUGGUUGACCAACAUCUCCGUGCUGGGGAACCAGCCGCACACCUCUGUCAACUGCGCGCGCUACCCCUCGCCAUCGCCGGUGAGGUCCAGCAUCGCUCUCUGCCAGCCGAGGCUUCUCUUCAUGGAGGCGGUUGCAGCGGUCGCCGGCGAGGGUAUUCUCGACCUAUUGUAUGUGGGGUAAGAGGGGAGUUCGAACCGGCGCCCAUGGGAGGUGGGUGAGUGUGUGGUGGGGAGGAGAGUGGUACAGUUACUUAUUUAAUGGCAUUUAGGACGUGGGCAGGGGAAACGUACAAUAAUAUUCUUUCUACCUCCCGCCCCGGUCAUUACACAGUAAAGAAUUUUUUUGAUUUUUGUUUACAGGGAAACAUCUUACUUUAUUUAAACAAAGACUGGGAUCUCGUCUGCUAAUACACUAAGGAUACAAUCAGGGAGCCAAAGCCUCCAAGUAUGAGCCGGCCGAUUAACACAGUAAAUAUUUGAAGCAAGUGUUCUACUCUUGUUCCUUCUCCACUUUUCUGCACCUGAUAGAAGACAAGCUAAGUUAAUGAAUGAUACAAACAUUAAUAAUCCACAAUGCAUACAAACACUUACUUCUCAUUUAGUUUGCAUUUCUUGCUACGUCUAGUGUGUCCUACCAAUUUGCAAGCGCCGCACCGGGUUUUCAACUCAUCAAAAGAGAGUGGUCUACCAUUUUUCGAGACAGGGCGGCUCUCAUCUGCCUUUGUUGCACCUUUGCUUGACACUUUCAUAGGAUCUUUAACCUCAAUCAUGUUGCCUUCACCAUCGUCCACAUAUUCAACUGCACACUUACUGAUGUCAUUUGUUUGCUUCAACAAAUUUUCCUCUAGCAGAUCAUACUCAUGACUCUUAGCUAUCACAGCCUUCAAACUCUCCUGUAACUGAUCCCACAAAGCAGGGUGUGUUUGCCUGCUGCAUGCAUAGCUUCAGACGCUAACACACUGACCUGGCUAUAUUUCAUUCUUUCCCCGGCCCCAGUCCAACCAAAUCCCAACAGAUCGCUUGUGCGCCUCGCGGGCAGUCCCAACCUUGCUUCUUUCGUGAACCGAAUAAGAACUAAACACUUUGGCAUUUCAGAUAUGUUCAAGUGCUUCAGUACAUGGAAUAUGUGCUUGCAAGGUAGACCCUUUCGAAUCAUUCUUCUACAUCUGCACCUUAUAGUUUCUGCGGAAUUUACUGGUGUAUACUCCACCCAAAAACGGCGCUUCCGGUUAUUCUUCCAGGCCACGAUGUACUGCUGUGAUCCGUCUCCCAGCUUAAUUUGUACAAUCUCCAUGCCGUCAAUUUUUCUAAGAUCAUCCUGCAACAUAUAGAAGUUUGCUGGAGUGAAGACGUGAGAAGUAGGUAUCUCAAGUUCCCUCGAGCUAGUAACUGGCACCGGUAAACUCUGUGAGGCCGUGCAAUCAUCUCACGCCUCGUUUUCACGGAUACGCACAACGGCGUUCUCAUAGUGCAAAAUCAUAUCCACCAGGGUCAUUUCACCGUCUAGGUGGAGGUGAAGGCAUGAGUUCAGGCUUUCACUCCGCUGGUUGCUUUUCAUGCCAAGCCAAAACCCCUCUGUUAGAUAUGCCGCGGCCCAUAGUCUUCUCUUCUUAUACAUCCGCCUCAACUAUGUUACAGUUUUUUCCGACUGCCAUUUUUUGGAAAAUGCGUGCCAUGUCUCCUCAAACGUUGUCGUGGACGUGCUGUAGUACAGAAGAGUUCGAAACUCCUUCAAGGACUUGUGACUGAGGUGAAUCUUCAUAUUUUUCUCUAUGUGCCACGUACAUAUACGGUGCCACACGUCUGGCAAGACUUCGCGAAUUGCCUUGAUCAUCGCAGCGUCGGCGUCUGUGAUUACACUCUUAGGCAUCUUUUGACACAUGGACCUCAAAAACGUCUGCAGAAGCCACACGUAUGUCUCCUCGGUCUCGUCCGAAACUAUGGCACAACCAAAAACAGUGGUCUUCCGGUGGUUGUUAAGACCAACAAAAGGUAUGAAUGGCAUACCAUAGCGGUUCAUCUUGUACGUGCUGUCAAAUACAAGCACGUCGCCGAAGUCCUCAUAGUCAUGACGAGACUGGGAGUCGCACCAGAACAUCCUAUUCAAAUGUCCUUCCUUAUCUAGCCUGUACUCGAAAAAGAAGCUAGGAUCCCUCUGUUUCCUACUGGCCAUGAUGCCUAUGGCCGUGGCAGCAUCACCUUUUGAAAGCAGCUUCCUCUUCUCCUUGGCGCAAAGGUUGUAUAUUUCACGCCUGGUAAAACCAACACCGCCGUACCAUACAUGGUUGCUGAUGAAGCAAUCCAUCAUGUCGUGAAUUCUAAUCCCUGCAGCUCCCAUGGACAUUAUCUCAUGCUUCUGCUACUCUUUGAUUUUUCUGUGGGACCAAAGAAAAGGUACCUCGUCCGGUCCUGCCAACAUAUGGCUAUGCUUGUCCUCAAAACUUUCAACAUACCAAACCCCACGCUUUUGGUCAAGCUUGACGGUCAGGUGCGCUUUGCAAAAGCAGCGUGUCUCGGGUCUGAGCCUACGGCUGUGUCCUUCCUCGGUUAGCAACUUGCUGUCACGUUUCCCUUGUCUUGAACAAACAAACUGCCUAUAACGCAUAUGACGUGACUCUGUUUUGCUAUACUUGACCUUAUUCUUUCUAAUGCUGAAACGAUUAUCUCUAGCAUAGCUGUUGUAGAAAUCAUACGCAGCAUCGUGAGACAUAAAGGUCAUUUCCAUUAUCAGCAUGAACAUAUCCCUCUUAUCAUCUGCACUGGCAGUAUCUUGGACAUUCUUUGCACCAUCGUCUUGUGUCACCUACACAAACAAACCACAGCCAUGAAAACAGAUUUCUAUGGUUUAACAUUACUUACUUCCAUAGAACAUUGAUUACACACAUACCUCACUCAUGAUGACGACGACUCGGACUCCCCAGAACCAGGUGCAUCUAAUGAUUCGUCGUUAAGGCAUGUCUCCGCGUCGGAAUCACCGUAAUAGUCGUACGCAUUAUGACAUUCAGAAAUGAACUGAAUAAUACAACACAAAUACAUAAUUACUUAUCAUAUAAUAUUCCAGAAGAAAUUCGAUUUGCAUGCCAACAAAAUAUUUCACUUACGUACCUGACUAAUGUAAUCUUCAUUCGAGAGCUCCGAGUUGUUUUCCUGAUCAUCAUCAAGCUCAUUGAUCUAUAAAUUUUCAACACAAAGAAUUAAUGUUGUCGGAUGCCACCAAAAAAUUACAACAUGACAAUGCCACUCACAUUAAGAUCGUCUCAUUCGUUCCCAUUCUCUGACCGAUCUUCACGAUCUGAAUUUUCAUCAUCCGACCAAUCUUCUAUCCAGUCUUUCAUCAGUUCUCCAUACUCCAUGUCUACCAUGAUAUCAGUUAACUCCUCUUCCGCCAUUUCCUACAACCAAUAAUAUGUAUCAUCACAUGUGCAAACAUUAUUAAUGAUGAAAUAUAAAACACAUAGCACACGAUCACAGAUGUUAUGUAAACAACCGCAACCGAGGCCAUUCAGAUCUGCCAAACUUAGUAAGGAAGAUGGCCACGGCACCCGUCGUGAUCACUUUCAAUCGCGAGGAACUGCACGAUCUCAAAACCAGCUAGAUCUGUGAUUACCUCUGCCGCCGGAUACCUAGGUUAGCCGCCACAUCAAAUAACGAUACUGGUGGUGCGCACAGCCGACGGCAACCGACGCUACGUGAACCCAGAUCACGAGGAGCAGCACUACCGGAACAAAAUCCACGAUCGCAUGCACCGCCGGGUAGCUAGGUUAACCACUGCCACUGGCGCGGCGGCAGUUCGUUCGAUGUUGCCGCGAGCGAGACUAGAGGGGGACGCGGGAUGCGGUACCUGUGCGCGAUCGUUGGAGAUUCACGACGUUGUCGCGCCCGCUGUCCGACGAGAUCGCCAGCGACGAGAUAGCCGCCGGUGGAGAUCUACUACUUAUGGAGCUGCGUCAAUGCUCGCGAGAUUAAUGGAGCUGCUCGCGUGAAUGAUUGGAAUCGGCAGGUCUUACGUGGACGUGGGGUCGUAUCUAUGUUUUUUUUUCGGACCAGGGUACUGUACAUAUACGGUCUGGGUUAUACAGGGCUACACAGGGCUUGGAUCUGGGCUGCGGCGGGUCAGGAAAAAAACAAAUUCGCAGGCAAAAAUACCCCUCCAAAAUUAGGCACCGGAGCAGGGCUCAUACUAGUUAGAGAAUAUCCACGUGACCCUCUCCUACCAUUUCCACACACUCAUCAUGUCUCCAGCUACAGAGUCCUAGUACCCCCGAGGUGUGUCGGGCGUCAUUGCCUUGCAUGGAUAUAUAGAGAUAUAAACCAAAGCCCGUGAUGAUGAGCGGAUCAACGUGACAGGCCUUCACAGGUCACUUGGAUAUGUAAUUAGGUCGAUCAACUGACAAAUAAAGAGUGCUCUCUUGAGCAAAAAAUGCCAAUUGGAGGCCUUAAUUUUGAAAUUUUCAAACCAUGCUUUAACUAUUCAACAAAUACACAUAUACCCAGAGACAUAGUGUACAUGUGUCCAAAUUUUCAUGAUAAAAUAACGGCUAAAUAAAAGAACAAAUUUGUAGUCAUGAAAUACGCCUAAAAUGACGGCUAAAUAAAAUGAUGGUAUUUCAUCAUGAAAUUUUACACACAUAUACGUUACAUCCUUGUGUACUUAACCAUAUGCACAUACAUGUCCAAUGCAGUGUUACCUUGACUAUAGUGUCACGUUCAUGCAAGAUUCCACAUUUUACAUGCCCAUGUUAAUUGGGUUCCCAAUAUUAUAUAAUAUCAUGUUGAAUAUAACCUGUGUGUGCACAAUGUCAUCUUCCUAGGUUCAUUGAGAACACGUUCACCCUUUUUAAAAUAAAUUACACAAAACUUCUGCAAAAAGGUUGCGUGCAUCAAUUGAUGCAACAGCUAGAGGUGUAGCUGUGUUUUUAAAAAGGAAAAUGGUAUUUUUACCAAAUGGGGCAGCUUAUGUAUUAGGAUUGAAAAUUUAGUGCAUGUACUGGACCGGAGUGUUAUGAUUUUUUUGUUUCCAAAAAAGACUUUCUAUAACGGACACCUCAAUCCAAAAAGAAUACCUACACUAGUAUAUGGGUUGAUACAGUAUAUCUUAACUUUUUUAAGAAUGUGUUUCUUCACCGUGACCUCAUUCAAAAGAUACUACAAGGGGAGGACGUGGCAAGACUGAGCACCAUAUGAAUAAUAGCCGAUUUGACAAUCGGACUAAUAUCUCGCUAUGCUCAACACCCUCACAUUUAUUGAAGCCAAGGUCACCCCCUGUCCCUCCUUACAUUGCACCUCGCCAACAUACCAUUGGUGUUGAUUUUGGGUCAAACGAUACAUUUUGCAAUGAUGGCAUUCACACAUGUUGGACGAGGAACCAAAGACCAAGUGUCAUUCUACAACAAAGCAUUAAAUACAUCACAUACUACAUGACAACAGUUCAGACCAUGGAGUGAUAUUUUAUAUGAAGAAUUAAUAGAAGAAAUGGGUGAGAAAAUACACUAUGAAAGUUUUCCUUGGGGUCAUGAAAUAACAGGAUAUUUCCCAUAUGUGUGCAUCUCGUGUGCAUUGUGGGGUGGUUCUACUGGGAUGGAACUAGGUGGAAAACAUGGCUGAGGUGGUGCAUAGAGAGAGGGUGCGCAUGGAUCGACAGAAAGAUGCGGUCAACGGCACAAAAGACAAAGCGAGCUAGUGUGGAGCGGCAGCCGAGUGUGACAUUGUCGAGUGGGAAACCCGUGAUGUUGGGCUUGGUCCAGGCGACAUGUUCGGAGGGGGUGGUACGGGCGUAUUGAGUAGGAGGCGGUUUCGGAGUGGUUGUGGGUCUUAGGCACAAGGGUACAAGGUAGGUCGUGGUCAAAGCUGGAAGUAGACCAGGCGAAAGAGCUCAAGAAGCGUGGGAUUCGUUGCGGGAGGCAUGUGUGUAUGUUUGCGUGUGAUAUAUACACAAGGUAAAUAAUCUUAUUAAAAAUUACCAUAGAAGGUAACUUAACUUUUUGAGUUUGAAGAUCAAGACACUAAUACACAGGAAAAAAUAAGAAUUAUUUCACACUUGAUAAAUUAAGAAUUAUGUCAUCACAAUUAGAGAAUGUUGCUACAUUAAUUCUAGUUAGCGGAUAUCCAUAUAACCCUCACAUGCCAUUUCCUACACAGUCAUCAUGUCUCUAGCUAUGACAAAUUUUUUCAUGCUCCCUCUUACCUCCUGUUUUCACAUGAGAGGUAAAAGUACUUAAUAGAUAUGAGCCAUUGAUUUGAUGAAGCAGUGGUCUGAUUAACUCUCUCCUUCUUACCUCCCAUGUGAAAAGAGGGGGUAAGAGGGAGCACGUUAAAAUUACUCAAUAGCUAUAUAGUUCGAGUACCACUGAGGUGUGUCAAGCGUCAGUGCCUUGCAUGGAUAUAGAGACAUUGAAAGCGCGGGUUUACUCCUGGGGGGGUGAAUGGGAGAUGUUUAGAAAUUCGUCAAACUCUGAGGAAUUUGACGAAGAUCAGAGUGAAGAAAUAGAAAUGCGAGAGAACUAAAUCAUCACAGGAAUGAAAAGCAUGCAUACAGGAUACAUACAGGUGAAGAACAUGAAAUCAUAUAGGCAUACAACCAUGAGGAAGAUGAACUGAAGAAAUAAAAUACAACAUGAUGAAAGUCUUCAGUUCAAGUUCUUCAAAUUGUAGAUCACAAAUUCUUCAGCAGCGGAAUAAUGUAAGGGAAGGGUGAGGAAUUUGAAACCAGCUGGUUGGCUCGGUGAAGACACUGCGAUUUGGUAGACCAAUUCCAGUUGUUGUAUCAAUUGUACGUCUGGUUGGGGCGGCUGACUCAGAGGACAUACAGUCCUCACCGUAUUCCUCUUGAGCUAAGGUCACUUAGACCUCGCCAAUCACUCAUGGUAAGUCUUCAAGGUAGACUUCCAAAACCUUCACAGACUUGUUCACCGGCACACCACAAUGACUCUUGGGUGCUCAGAACAUGACGCCUAACCGUCUGGAAGAAUGUCAGUCUACAAAUGUAAAAGGUGUCAUAUGACAUGGAUCAAUCUCUUCAGUGAUGCUCAGUCACUUUGGCUCUGGGUUUUUUCCCGCUUAGGAUUAUCUCAAAGUCGUCAAAGGAUGGGUUGCUCUCCAAUAACAAGUGUCAUGUUCACUCUGAUCAGCCAACCAACAAGUGGUUGUGGGGGCGGCUAUUUAUAGCCAGGGGCAACCGACAUGAAUUGUCAUAAAUGCCCUUCUCUGAUAUGACCAUUGUGAAGAUAAGGAUCCACUCGACAGCUGGCUCGUGGCGCAGCAAUGGUCGGAAUUUGAACUCUCAAAUUCAUCGGGGCACUCAAUUUCCUCAGGCAGAUCGCACUGGCGAACUCCUAACUCCUCAGCCUGACCAAAUUCAUGAGCGACUAGAUGAACUUGGUCACUGUCGCUAGCAAAUGCGUCAGCUGUUCCGGAGAUUUCCAAAUGCUUCACUUGAAGCAAAUUGUGUAUGUAUAGGUUUGAGCAUCACUUUGCAAAUGUGAACCAUGAUUCACCUAGACCCCCUUUAACAUUAUGAUUUUUCUUAUGACUCAAAUAAGAAGAAAGAAACUAUGAAGACAAAAAUCUUCACAUCAAUUUCUUCAAAGGCCGUACCAAUUUCAUCACCAAAUUUUUCACUUGAAGAAAUUCAUUUUUUGGGGUUAUCUUCCAUUUGUUAAAUCAAAUCCUCAAGGACUAUAUCUCCUGUGUACACUCACAAACACAUUAGUCUCUCAACCUAUUUGUCUUCAAUACUCCAAAACCACUAUGGUGGCACUUGUUGGACUUACAAUCUCCCCUUUUUGGUGAUUGAUGACAAAUUGAUUAGGUUUUCAACGGAAGUAAAUAAUUGAAGUGCAAAUACAGAGUAUGAGAAAAUGUUCGUAUAAUUUCAAAAAAGCGUUCAAGUACUUUUUAAAAUGUUCAUGUAAAUAAAAUGUGUCAUAGUUUUAAAAAUAUUCUUUCAGUUUUGAAAGAGUGUUAACGUAUUUUAAAAGCAUGCAUGUAUUUAAAGGAUGCGGUCAUGUAUAUUGAAACCAAUCCUAUAAUUUUAGAAAGUGCUCACAACCUGUAAAGGUGUAUUCAUGGAACUUCAGAAGUGUUCACACAUUCUAGUAAAUGGUUCACGUAAUAUUAGAAAAAGGUUUCACCUAUUUAAUAUUUGCUCAUGUAAUUUUGAAAAGUGUAACUAAAACAAAACAGAACCGGCAAAUGUCAGAUGCAACAAAAAAAUGAAUGCAUGCCACUUUGUCCAAGAACGUAGCCUGGAAUGAGUAGGGGGAUACAUAUCGCUACACUUUAGAGGGGGCAAGUAGAAAUUGCUUUUUGUUUUAACAUUUAGGGUUGAAGGGUAUAAUUACAAAGUAUUCAAUCUUGGGGGGAGAUGGGCCCUGGAUGGGCAUACACUCAACAUGAACCGAUCGUUGAUAGGCCAUGACUCUUUUCUUGGGAGAGUACAACGAUUGGUACCAUGUUCUCUCGAUGGAAACCUACACUGGCGGAAUCCUGUUUUUUUUACAGCCGAGCGACUGACGUCCUAUUUGACCUCUCAAUGUAAACUAUGACGGGUCUUAGCCAGGGACAUAGCCUGGAAUGAGAAGGGGGACAUACAUACGGCUAAACUUUAGAGGGGGCACUACCAGGGAAAACCUUAUACACAGAAUCUUAGUAGCAGCAAGGUUUAAAAACAAACGCUACUGCUAAUUAGCAGUAGCGGGCUCCAGGAAACCACGCUACUAAUAGCCCAGUAGCAGUAGCGCUCUAGGUGAAAUGAGAGCUACUACUACAAUUGCCUCGGUGCUGCCCUCAGGCUAGAUAUAGUAGUAGCGCCCUUCUCCUGGACGCGCUACUGCUAGAGUACUUAGUAGUGGCGUUUUUCUAGAAAACUCGCUGCUGCUAAGUAUCAUCUCCUCUUGCAACUAAUUAAGUUUAGUCCCAUACUGCUAAGCGAACAAGGUGUUUUACCACCUUGAAUAUGUUACUUCUCAAACUAUCUCAAGAACUUGGUCUUCAUUGAACUGUAUGUGUAGGAUUUGUGGCCGCAAUAUGAAUCUUCACCUGUGGCUAUACAGGUACGGUGAGGAUUCAUGUUGACUAUUUAGAUUCUACACAAAAAGAUCAAUGAUGACCAAUGUAUAUUUUUUAUGUUUUUAGAUGCUUAGCCUUAGCAGUAGCGUUUUUUAAGGACAAAUCGCUACUGAUAUUGGGCAUAGCAGUAGGGCACUCCCUGUACCCAUGCUACGGCUACAGCACAACAAAACACGCGGCCCGGCCCCUGAUAACCCACAAGUAUAGGGGAUCUAUCGUAGUCCUUUCGAUAAGUAUGAGUGUCGAACCCAACGAGGAGCAGAAGGAACUGAUAAGCGGUGUCCAGCAAGGUAUUCUCUGCAAGUAAUGAAAUAAGUGGUAACAGAUAGUUUUAUGAUAGGAUAAUUUGUAACGAGUAACAAGUAAGAAAAGUAAAUAAGUUGCAGCAAGGUGGCCCAAUCCUUUUUGUAGCGAAGGACAAGUCUGGAAACAUGGGAAUAUCGUCAAGCUAGUUUUCAUCACGUUCAUAUGAUUCGCGUUCGGUACUUUGAUAAUUUGGCAUGUGGGUGGACUGGUGCUUGGGUGCUUCCCUUACUUGGACAAGCAUCCCACUUAUGAUUAACCUCUAUUGCAAGCAUCCGCAAAUAUAACAAAAGUAUUAAGUUAAACCUAACCAUAGCAUGAAACAUAUGGAUCCAAAUUAGCCCCUUACGAAGCAACGCAUAAACUAGGGUUUAAGCUUUUGUCACUGUAGCAACCCAUCAUCUACUUAUUACUUCCCAAUGCCUUCCUCUAGGCCCAAAUAAUGGUGAAGUGUCAUGUAGUGGACGUUCACAUAACACCACUAGAGGAGAGACAACAUACAUCUCAUCAAAAUAUCGAACGAAUACCAAAUUCACAUGACUACUAAUAGCAAGACUUCUCCCAUGUCCUCAGGAACAAAAGUAACUACUCACAAAGCAUAAACAUGUACAUAAUCAGAGGGAUAUUAAUGUGCAUAUAGGAUCUGAACAUAUGAUCUUCCACCAAUUAAACCAACUAGCAUCAACUACAAGGAGUAAUUAACACUACUAGCAACCUUCUAGCACCAAUCCCGGACUUGAAGACAAGAAUUGGAUACAAGAGAUGAACUAGGGUUUUGAGAUGAGAUCAUGCUGAUGAAGAUGUUGAUGGAGAUUGUCCUCUCCCGAUGAGAGGAGCGUUGGUGAUGACGAUGGCGAUGAUUUCCCCCUCCGGGAGGGAAGUUCCCCCGGCAGAACAGCCCCGCCAGAACCCUAGAUUGGUUCCACCAAGGUUCAUCCUCGUGGCAUCGGAGUUUCAUCCGAGAAGAUGGCUUAUCAUUAUUUUCCCAUCGAAAGAGUCCAUAUAGCAGAAGAUGGUCACCGAAGCGCCACCAGGGGGACCACGAGGUAGGGGGUGCGCCCAGUGUUGGGGAACGUAGUAAUUUCAAAAAUUUCCUACGCACACGCAAGAUCAUGGUGAUGCAUAGCAACGAGAAGGGAGAGUGUUGUCUACGUACCCUCAUAGACCGAAAGCGGAAGCGUUAGCACAAUGCGGUUGAUGUAGUCGUACGUCUUCACGAUCCGACCGAUCAAGUACCGAACGCGCGGCACCUCCGAGUUAUGCACACGUUCAACUCGAUGACGUCCCUCGAACUCCGAUCCAGCCGAGCUUUGAGGGAGAGUUCCGUCUGCACGACGGCGUGGUGACGAUGAUGAUGUUCUACCGACGCAGGGCUACGCCUAAGCACCGCUACGAUAUGACCGAGGUGGAUUAUGGUGGAGGGGGGCACCGCACACGGCUAAGAGAUCAAGAGAUCAAUUGUUGUGUCUUUGGGGUGCCCCCUACCCCCGUAUAGAAAGGAGUGGAGGAGGGGGAGGGCCGGCCCUCUCUAUGGAGCGCCCUAGGGGAGUCCUACUCCCACCGGGAGUAGGAUUCCCCCUUUCCUAGUAGAACUAGGAGCCCUUCCAAGUAGUAGGAGUAUGAGGGAUGGAAAGGGAAGGGAAAAGGAGAAGGAAGGAAGGGGGCGCCCCCCUCCCUAGUCCAAUUUGGACCAUCCCAUGGGGAGUGGUGCGGCCACCCUUUGAGGCCUUUCUCUCCUUUCCCGUAUGGCCCAUUAAGGCCCAAUACGAAUUCCCGUAACUCCCAGGUACUCCCGAAAAUACCAGAAUCACUCGGAACCUUUCCGAUGUCUGAAUAUAGUCGUCCAAUAUAUCGAUCUUUACGUCUCGAUCAUUUUGAGACUCCUCGUCUUGUCCCCGAUCUCAUCCGGCACUCCGAACUCCUUCGGUACAUCAAAACUCAUAAACUCAUAAUAUAACUGUCAUUGAAACCUUAAGCGUGCGGACCCUAUAGGUUCGAGAACAAUGUAGAAAUGACCGAGACACGUCUCCGGUCAAUAACCAAUAGCGGAACCUGGAUGCUCAUAUUGCCUCCCACAUAUUCUACGAAGAUCUUUAUCGGUCAAACCGCAUAACAACAUACGUUGUUCCCUUUGUCAUCGGUAUGUUACUUGCCCGAGAUUCGAUCGUCGGUAUCCCAAUACCUAGUUCAAUCUCGUUACCGGCAAGUCUCUUUACUCAUUUCGUAAUACAUCAUCUCGCAACUAACUCAUUAGUUGCAAUGCUUGCAAGGCUUUAGGUGAUGUGCAUUACCGAGAGGGCCCAGAGAUACCUCUCCGACAAUCGGAGUGACAAAUCCUAAUCUUGAAAUACGCCAACCCAACAAGUACCUUUAGAGAAACCCGUAGAGCACCUUUAUGAUCACCCAGUUACAUUGUGACAAUUGGCAGCACACAAAGUGUUCCUCCGAUAAACGGGAGUUGCAUAAUCUCAUAGUCAUAGGAACAUGUAUAAGUCAUGAAGAAAGCAAUAGCAACAAACUAAACGAUCAAGUGCUAAGCUAACGGAAUGGGUCAAGUCAAUCACAUCAUUCUCCUAAUGAUGUGAUCCCGUUAAUCAAAUGACAACUCAUGUCUAUGGUUAGGAAACAUAACCAUCUUUGAUCAACGAGCUAGUCAAGUAGAGGCAUACUAGUGACACUUUGUUUGUCUAUGUAUUCACACAUGUAUUAUGUUUCCGGUUAAUACAAUUCUAGCAUGAAUAAUAAACAUUUAUCAUGAUAUAAGGAAAUAAAUAAUAACUUUAUUAUUGCCUCUAGGGCAUAUUUCCUUCAGUCUCCCACUUGCACUAGAGUCAAUAAUCUAGUUCACAUCGCCAUGUGAUUUAACAUCAAUAGUUCACAUUACCAUGUGAUUAACACCCAUAGUUCACAUCGUCAUGUGACCAACACCCAAAGGGUUUACUAGAGUCAAUAAUCUAGUUCACAUCGCUAUAUGAUUAAUACCCAAAGAGUACUAAGGUGUGAUCAUGUUUUGCUUGUGAGGAAAGUUUAGUCAACGGGUCUGCUACAUUCAGAUCCGUAUGUAUUUUGCAAAUUUCUAUGUCAACAAUGCUCUGCAUGGAGCUACUCUAGCUAAUUGCUCCCACUUUAAAUAUGUAUCCAGAUUGAGACUUCGAGUCAUCUGGAUCAGUGUCAAAACUUUCAUCGACGUAACCCUUUACGACGAACCUUUUGUCACCUCCAUAAUUGAGAAACAUAUCUUUAUUCCACUCAGGAUAAUUUUGACCAAUGUCCAGUGAUCUACUCCUAUAUCACUAUUGUACUCCCUUGCCAAACUCAGGGCAGGGUAUACAAUAGGUCUGGUACACAGCAUGGCAUACUUUAUAGAACCUAUGGCUAAGGCAUAGGGAAUGACUUUCAUUCUCUCUCUAUCUUCUGCCGUGGUCGGGUUUCAAGUCUUACUCAACUUCACACCUUGUAACACAGGCAAGAACUCCUUCUUUGGCUGUUCCAUUUUUAACUACUUCAAAAUUUUGUUAAGGUAUGUACUCAUUGAAAAACUUAUCAAGCGUCUUGAUCUAUCUCUAUAGAUCUUGAUGCUCAAUAUGUAAGCAGCUUCACCGAGGUCUUUCUUUGAAAAACUCCUUUCAAACAUUCCUUUAUGCUUUGCAGAAUAAUUCUACAUUAUCUCCGAUCAAUAAUAUGUCAUUCACAUAUGCUUAUCAGAAAUGCUGUAGUGCUCCCACUCACUUUCUUGUAAAUACAGGCUUCACCGCAAGUCUGUAUAAAACUAUAUGCUUUGAUCAACUUAUCAAAGCGUAUAUUCCAACUCCGAGAUGCUUGCACCAAUCCAUAGAUGGAUCGCUGGAGCUUGCAUAUUUUGUUAGCAUCUUUAGGAUUGACAAACUUUCUUGUUGCAUCAUAUACAACUCUUAUUUAGUAAAUCCAUUAAGGAAUGUAGUUUUGUUUAUCCACUUGCCAGAUUUCAUAAAAUGCGGCAAUUGCUAACAUGAUUCGGACAGACUUAAGCAUAGAUACGAGUGAGAAACUCUCAUCAUAGUCAACACCUUGAACUUGUCGAAAACCUUUUUGCGACAUUUCUAGCUUUUGUAGAUAGUGACACUACUAUCAGCGUCCGUCUUCGUCUUGAAGAUCCAUUUAAUAUCAAUGGCUUGCCAAUCAAUGGGCAAGUCAAUCAAAGUCCAUACUUUGUUCUCAUACAUGGAUCUCAUCUCAGAUUUCAUGGCCUCAAGCCAUUUCGCGCAAUCUGGGCUCAUCAUCGCUUCCUCAUAGUUCGUAGGCUUGUCAUGGUCAAGUAAUAUGACCCCUAGAAUAGGAUUACCGUACCACUCUAGUGCGGAACUCACUCUGGUUUACCUACGAGGUUCGGUAGUAACUUGAUCUGAAGUUACAUGAUCAUCAUCAUUAGCUUCCUCACUAAUUGGUGUAGUAGUCACAGGAACAGAUUUCUGUGAUGAACUACUUUCCAAUAAGGGAGCAGGUACAGUUACCUCAUCAAGUCCUACUUUCCUCCCACUCACUUCUUUCAAGAGAAACUCCUUCUCUAGAAAGGAUCCUAUGAAGACGCACUUCUCCGAUUUGGGUUUGAGCUUAUCAGGUUGAAACUUUCUCACGUAAGCAUUGCAACCUCAGACUUUAAGGUCGUCUCAACGGAUUUAGAUGGUGCCCUAUUUAAUGUGAAUGUAGCUGUCUCUAAUGCAUAACCCCAAAACGAUAGUGCUAAAUUGGUAAGAGACAUCAUAGAUCGCACCAUAUCUAAUAAAGUACGGUUACGAUGUUCGGACACACCAUUACACUGUGGUGUUCCAGGUGGCGUGAGUAGUGAAACUAUUUCACAUUAUUUUAACUGAAGGCCAAACCCGUAACUCAAAUAUUUUACUUCUGUGAUCAUAUCGUAGAAACUUUUAUUUUUGUUACGAUGAUUCUCCACUUCACUCUGAAAUUCUUUGAACUUUUCAAAUGUUUCAGACUUGUGUUUCAUCAAGUAGAUAUACUCAUAUCUACUCAAAUCAUCUAUGAAGAUCAGAAAAUAAUGAUACCUGCCGCAAGCCUCAAUAUUCAUCGGACCACAUACAUCAGUAUGUAUGAUUUCCAACAAAUCUGUUGCUCGCUCCAUUGUUUCGGAGAAUGGAGUCUUAGUCAUGUUGCCCAUGAGGCAUGGUUCGCAAGCAUCAACUGAUUCAUAAUCAAGUGAUUCCAAAAGCCCAUCAGCAUGGAUUUUAUUCAUGCGCUUUACACCAAUAUGACCCAACCGGCAGUGCCACAAAUAAGUUGCACUCUCAUUAUUACUUUGCAUCUUUUGGCUUCAAUAUUAUAAAAAUGUGUACCACCACGAUCGAGAUCCAACAAACCAUUUUCAUUGGGUGUAUGACCAUAGAAGGUUUUAUUCAUGUAAACAGAACAACAAUUAUUCUCUAACUUACAUGAAUAACCUUAUUGCAAUAAACAUGAUCCAAUCAUAUUCAUGCUCAACAUAAAAACAAAAUAACAUUUAUUUUAGGUUUAACACUAAUCCCGAAAGUAUAGGGAGUGUGCGAUGAUGAUCAUAUCAAUCUUGGAACCAUUUCCAAUAUACAUCAUCACUUCACCCUUAACUAGUCUCUAUUCAUUCUGCAACUCUCGUUUUGAGUUACUAUUCUUAGCAACUGAACUAGUAUCAAAUACUGAGGGGUUGCUAUAAACACUAGUAAAGUACACAUCAAUAACAUGUAUAUCAAAUAUACCUAUGUUCACUUUGCCAUCGUUCUUAUCCGCCAAUUACUUGGGGUAGUUCCGCUUCCAGUGACCAGUCCCUUUGCAGUAGAAGCACUUAGUUUCAGGCUUAGGUCCAGACUUGGGUUUUUCACUUGAGCAGCAACUUGCUUGCCGUUCUUCUUGAAGUUCCCGUUUCUUCCCUUUGUCCCUUUACUUGAAACUAGUUGUUCUGUUUACCAUCGUCACUUGAUGCUUUUCUUGAUUUCACCUUCGUCGAUUUCAGCGUCACGAAGAGCUUGGGAAUCGUUUCUGUUAUCCCUUGCAUAUUAUAGUUCAUCACGAAGUUCUACUAACUUGGUGAUGGUGACUAGAGAAUUCAGGCAAUCACUAUAUUAUCUGGAAGAUUAACUCCCACUUGAUUCAAGCGAUUGUAGUACCCAGACAAUCUGAGCGCAUGCUCACUGCUUGAGCUAUUCUCCUCCAUCUUUUAGCUAUAGAGCUUGUUGGAGACUUCAUAUCUCUCAACUCGGGUAUUUGCUGGAAAUAUGAAUUUCAACUCCUGGAAUAUCUCAUAUGGUCCAUGAAGUUCAAAACGUCUUUCAAAUCCCGAUUCUAAGCUGUUAAGCAUGGUGCACUAAACUAUCAAGUAGUCAUCAUAUUGAGCUAGCCAAACAUUCAUAACGUCUGCAUCUGCUCCUGCAAUAGGUCUGUCACCUAGCGCUGCGUCAAGGACAUAAUUCUUCUGUGCAGCAAUGAGGAUAAACCUCAGAUCACGGAUCCAAUCCGCAUCAUUGCUACUAACAUCUUUCAACUUAGUUUUCUCUAGGAAGAUAUGUAAAAUAAAACGGGGGAGCUAAACGCGAGCUAUUGAUCUACAACAAAGAUAUGCUAAUACUACCAGGACUAAGUUCAUGAUAAAUUAAAGUUCAAUUAAUCAUAUUACUUAUGAACUCCCACUUAGACAGACAUCCCUCUAAUCUUCUAAGUGAUCACGUGAUCCAUAUCAACUAAACCUUGUCCGAUCAUCACGUGAGAUGGAUUAGUUUCAAUGGUGAACAUCACUAUGUUGAUCAUAUCUACUAUAUGAUUCACGCUCGACCUUUCGGUCUCCGUGUUCCGAGGCCAUAUCUGUUAUAUGGUAGGCUCGUCAAGUUUAACCUGAGUAUUCGGCGUGUGCAACUGUUUUCCACCCGUUGUAUUUGAACGUAGAGCCUAUCACACCCGAUCAUCACGUGAUGUCUCAGCACGAAGAACUUUCACAAUGGUGCACACUCAGGGAGAACACUUGUACCUUUAUAAUUAGUGAGAGAUCAUCUUAUAAAGCUACCGCCGAACUAAGCAAAAUAAGAUGUAUAAAAAAUAAACAUCACAUGCAAUCAUAAUAUGUGGCAUGAUAUGGCCAUAAUCAUAUUGUGCCUUUGAUCUCCAUCUCCAAAGCAUCGUCAUGAUCUUCAUCAUCACCGGCAUGACACCAUGAUCUCCAUCAUCUUGAUCUAUAUCAAUGUGUCGUCACAUGGUUGUCUCGCCAACAAUUGCUCUUGCAACUAUUGCUAUCGCAUAGCGAUAAAGUAAAGCAAUUAUUUGGCGCUUGCAUCUUAUGCAAUAGAGAGAUAACCAUAAGGCUUUUUCCUGUUGCCAAUAACUUCAACAAAACAUGAUCAUCUCAUACAACAACUUAUAUCUCAUCACGUCGUGACCAUAUCACAUCACAACAUGCCCUGCAAAAACAAGUUAGACGUCCUCUACUUUGUUGUUGCAAGUUUUACAUGGCUGCUACGGGCUGAGCAAGAACCGUUCUUACCUACGCAUCAAAACCACAAUGAUAGUUUGUUAAGUUGGUGUUGUUUUAACCUUCGCAAGGACCAGGCAUAGCCACACUCGGUUCAACUAAAGUUGGAGAAACUGACACCCGCCAGCCACCUGUGUGCAAAGCACGUCGGUAGAACCAGUCUCACGGAAGCGUACGCGUAAUGUUGGUCCGGGCCGCUUCAUCCAACAAUACCGCCGAACCAAAGUAUGACAUGCUGGUAAGCAGUAUGACUUAUAUCGCCCACAACUCACUUGUGUUCUACUCGUGCAUAUGACAUCUACGCUUAAAACCUGGCUCGGAUGCCACUGUUGGGGAACGUGGUAAUUUCAAAAAUUUCCUAUGCACACACAAGAUCAUGGUGAUGCAUGGCAACGAGAAGGGAGAGUGUUGUCUACAUACCCUCGUAGACCGAAAGCGGAAGCGUUAGCACAACGCGGUUGAUGUAGUCGCUUCAUGAUCCGACCGAUCAAGUACCGAACGCACGGCACCUCCGAGUUCUACACAUGUUCAACUCGAUGACGUCCCUCGAACUCCGAUCCAGCCGAGCUUUGAGGGAGAGUUCCGUCAGCACGACGGCGUGGUGACGAUGAUGAUGUUCUACCGACGCAGGGCUUCGCCUAAGCACCGCUACGAUAUGACCGGGGUGGAUUAUGGUGGAGGGGGGCACCGCACACGGCUAAGAGAUCAAGAGAUCAAUUGUUGUGUCUUUGGGGUGCCCCUACCCCCGUAUAUAAAGGAGUGGAGGAGGGGCAGGGCCGGCCCUCUCUAUGGCGCGCCCUAGGGGAGUCCUACUCCCACCGGGAGUAGGAUUCCCCCUUUCCUAGUAGAACUAGGAGCCCUUCCAAGUAGUAGGAGUAUGAGGGAUGGAAAGGGAAGGGAAAAGGAGAAGGAAGGAAGGGGGCGCCCCCCUCGCUAGUCCAAUUCAGACCAGCCCAUGGGGAGGUGUGCGGCCACCUUUUGAGGCCUUUCUCUCCUUUCCCGUAUGGCCCAUUAAGGCCCAAUACGAAUUCCCGUAACUCCUCGGCACUCCCGAAAAUACCCGAAUCACUCGAAACCUUUCUGAUGUCCGAAUAUAGUCGUCCAAUAUAUCGAUCUUUACGUCUCGACCAUUUUGAGACUCCUCGUCUUGUCUCCGAUCUCAUCCGGGACUCCGAACUCCUUCGGUACAUCAAAACUCAUAAACUCAUAAACUCAUAAUAUAACUGUCAUUGAAACCUUAAGCGUGCGGACCCUACGGGUACGAGAAAGUAGUAGACAUGACCGAGCCACGUCUCCGGUCAAUAACCAAUAGCGGAACCUGGAUUUUCAUAUUGGCUCCCACAUAUUCUACGAAGAUCUUUAUUGGUCAAACCGCAUAACAACAUACGUUGUUCUCUUUGUCAUCGGUAUGUUACUUGCCCAAGAUUCGAUCGUCGGUAUCUCAAUACCUAGUUCAAUCUCGUUACCGACAAGUCUCUUUACUCGUUCCUUAAUACAUCAUCUCGCAACUAACUCAUUAGUUGCAAUGCUUGCAAGGCUUUAGGUGAUGUGCAUUACCGAGAGGGCCCAAAGAUACCUCUCCGAUAAACGAAGUGACAAAUCCUAAUCUUGAAAUACGCCAACCCAACAAGUACCUUUAGAGAAACCCGUAGUGCACCUUUAUAAUCACCCAGUUACGUUGUGACGUUUGGUAGCACACAAAGUGUUCCUCCGGUAAACAGGAGUUGCAUAAUCUCAUAGUCAUAGGAACAUGUAUAAGUCAUGAAGAAAGCAAUAGCAGCAAACUAAAUGAUCAAGUGCUAAGCUAACGGAAUGGGUCAAGUCAAUCACAUCAUUAUCCUAAUGAUGUGAUCCCGUUAAUAAAAUGACAACUCAUGUCUAUGGUUAGGAAACAUAACCAUCUUUGAUCAACGAGCUAGUCAAGUAGAGGCAUACUAGUGACACUUUGUUUGUCUAUGUAUUCACACAUGUAUUGUGUUUCCGGUUAAUACAAUUCUAGCAUGAAUAAUAAACAUUUAUCUUGAUAUAAGGAAAUAAAUAAUAACUUUAUUAUAGGGCAUAUUUCCUUCACCCAGGGGGUAGGGCGCGCCCCCACCCUCGUGGGCAGGGUGUGCCCCCCUGGUGAAGUUCUUGCGCUCAAUGUUUUUUUAUAUAUUUGGAAAACAUCAUCCGUGAAGUUUCAGGCCUUUUGGAGCUAUGCAGAAUAGGUCUCUAAUAUUGGCUCCUUUUCCAGCCAGAAUCCCAGUUGCCGGCAUUCUCCCUCUUUAUGUAAACCUUGUAAAAUAAGAGAGAAUAGGCAUAAGUAUUAUGACAUAAUGCGUAAUAACAUCCCAUAAUGCAAUAAAUAUUGAUAUAAAAGCAUGAUGCAAAAUGGACGUAUCAACUCCCCCAAUCUUAGACCUCGCUUGUCCUCAAGCGAAAAGCCGAAAUCGAAAAAUAUGUCCACAUGUUUAGACAUGAAGGUGUCGAUAAAAAUAAAAUACGGACAUGAGGGCAUCAUGAUCAUUCUUAUAACAACAACUUAUAUAAUUCUUGUCAUAUGAUUUCUUAUGCUAGAGUAGUAAUUCAAUAACAAUAUCAAGUAUGAAUCAUAAACUUCAUUGAAAACUAACAAACUAUAAUCUCAGUCAUUGAAGCAAUUGCAAUUUAUCAUAACAUAGGAAAGCGUCAAUGUAUAAGAGCUUUUCAACAAGUCCACAUACUCAACUAUCAUAUAAUCGUUCACAAUUGCUGACACUCAUGCAAUACUUAUGGGUAUGGAGUUUUAAUCGGACACAGAGAAAGAUAGGGGCUUAUAGUUUUGCCUCCCAACGUUUUACCUCAAGGGUAAUGUCAACAGUAAUAGUUCAUGAGAACUCACAUCCAAUUAGCCAUAUAUACCAGGAUAUUUCCAACAUAUUGUGCUUGCCAAAGGAUAAAAUGUAAAAAGGAAGGGUGAAGAUCACCAUGAGUCUUAUGCAAUGUAGGAGAUAAAAGUAAAAGAUAGGCCCUUCUCAGAGGGAAGCAGAGGUUGUCAUUCGCUUUUAUGGUUGGAUGCACAAAAUCCUAAUGCGAAAAAACGUCACCUUAUAUUGCCACUUGUGAUAUGGACCUUUAUUAUGUAGUCUGUCGCUUUUAUUACUUCCAUAUCACACGAUUGUAUAAAGCUUAUUUCUACCACACCAAUCAAUCAUACAUAUUUAGAGAGCAAUUUUUAUUGCUUGCACCGAUGACAACCUACUUGAUGGAUCUUACUCAACCCAUAGGUAGGUAUGGUGGACUCUUAUGGCAAAACUGGUUUAAGGUUAUUUGGAAGCACAAGUAGUAUUUCUACUUGGUGCAAUGAAUUGGCUAGCAUGAGGGAGAAAGGCAAGCUCAACAUGUUGGAGGAUCCAAGACAAUAUAAUUUGUCUCAGAUGUAAGAAAACAUAACCCAUUAUGUUGUCUUCCUUGUCCAAUGUCAACUCUUUAGCAUGUCAUAUUUUAAUGAGUGCUCACAGUCAUAAAAGAUGUCCAAGAUAGUAUAAUAUAUGUGAAGAUUUCUCUUUCUUUAUUACUUCCUAUUAAUUGCAAAGAUGAUCAAAACUAUGUUUGUCAAUGUUCAAUAACUUUUAUUCAUCAUACUCUUUCUAUGUGAGCUCAUUACUCUCCAUAGGAGUCACAUGAUCUCUUUGUUUCUUUUUAUUUCUUUCUCUGUUCUUUUAUUCACUUAGGAUCAUGGAAAAAUAAUCAAGCCCUUGACUCAACACUAAUCUUUAUUAUAUAGCUCACGGACUCGAUUACAUAGACGGAUAAUAAAGCAAAACUCACAACUAGAUCAUACUAAGAACUUUUAUCCUACUAGAUCAAGAUAUUACCAAAAGGAUCGAACUAAGAAAAACGGUUAAGAUAAAAGUGAUGGUGAUACGAUAACGGGGCACUCCCCCAAGCUUAGCAGUUGCCAAGUGGGGUGCCCAUACCAGAUACUCAAUUCUUCUUUGUUGGUGGAGACGGUGGUGAUUUUGUUUAUGGCGUAGGCUUCUUCCUUAAUUUGCGUUUGAGGACAGAAUUUUGGUCCCUUAGGUCCUUGGUCUCCUGUUCCAGGCUCAGUACCUUUUUGCACAGUUCCUGCUUGUUUUCCUGCAAGAGGCGAAAAGGGAUAAACUCGAUCUUAGGUUUCUUUACUCUAUCCAGGAGACUUGACUUUUUGAACUCCACAUGCAUGUCCCCAGGUUGAGGUAGUGGGACUUCAUCUUCAUCUAAGCUCAUCUCCUCCUUUCCCUUGGGUUCAUAGUCUUCUUCUUCUUCCAUGGUCCAACCAUAAUGCUCCACAUCCCCAUAGACCUUAGGAUCUGCAAGGUAAUCAGCCACAUAGCUUUCUCCUUCCGAAUCCUGGGACGACAUGUUGCUUUUUGUGUAGCAGGACAGCUCAAAACAAAGACAAGAGAUUUUUGCGUGAUACGGGAGUCAAAACCCCCGGGAGGUUAUAUAAUGAAUUUUUACCGACCAAAAUACGUGUCCUGUAAGAAAACGGAGUCCGGAGAGCACACGAGGUGCCCACGAGGUACGGGGCGCGCCCAGGGGGUAGGGCGCGCCCUCCAGCCUCGUGGAGCCCUCGUGUCCUUCCCGGACUGCUACUUAUUUUUCUAUUUUUCUAAAUAUUCUAAAACGGAGAAAGAUUGCCUUAAAAACUGUUCUGGAGUCGGUUUACUUGCCGGACCACAUACCUAUUCCUUUUCGGAGUCUGAAACGUUCCGGAAAUUGUCCCUUAUGAAUUCCUCUGGGGUUACGGUUUCAAUAACAUUGGUUUCAACAUUUAUGGGAUUACCUGAAAUAUAAUGUUUGAUUCUUUGACCGUUUACCACCUUAGGAUUGGUGCCUUCGAAGUUGUUGAUUUUUAUGGCACCAGAACGGUAGACCUCCUCGAUAACGAAGGACCUUCCCAUUUAGAGAGAAGCAUUCCUGCAAAAAAUCUUAAACGAGAGUUGUAUAGCAAUAUAUUUUCACCUACAUUGAACUCACGCUUUUGUAUCCUUUUGUCAUGCCAUCUUUUAACUUUUUCUUUAAACAACUUGGCAUUUUCGUAGGCCUGGGUUCUCCAUUCAUCAAGUGAGCUAAUAUCAAAUAACCUCUUUUCACCGGCAAGUUUAAAAUCAUAAUUAAGUUCUUUAAUAGCCCAAUAAGCCUUGUGUUCUAGUUCGAUAGGUAAGUGACAUUCUUUUCCAUACACCAUUUUAUACGGAGACAUACCCAUAGGAUAUCUAUAUGCAAUUCUAUAGGCCCAUAAUGCAUCAUCUAGUUUCUUGGACCAAUUCUUUCUAGACCUAUUGACAGUCUUUUGCAAAAUUAAUUUGAGUUCUCUAUUACUCAAUUCUACUUGACCACUAGACUGAGGGUGAUAAGGGGAUGCAAUUAUAUUAUUAACACCAUAUUUAGCAAGCAUUUUAUGGAAAGCGCCAUGAAUAAAAUGUGAACCACCAUCAGUCAUUAAAUAUCUAGGGACUCCAAACCUUGGAAAGAUAACUUCUUUAAGCAUUUGAAUAGAAGUUUUAUGAUCAGCAUUACUAGUUGGAAUAGCUUCUACCCACUUAGUAAUGUAAUCAACAGCAACUAAAAUAUGUGUAUAACCAUUAGAGGAAGGAGAAGGUCCCAUAUAGUCAAAGCCCCAAACAUCAAAUGGUUCAAUAACAAGUGAAUAAUUCAUAGGCAUUUCUUGACGUCUACUAAUAUUACCAAUUCUUUGACAUUCAUCACAAGAUAAGACAAAAUUACGGGCAUCAUUGAAGAGAGUAGGCCAAUAAAAACCAGAUUGUAGUACCUUCUGUGCAGUUCUAUCUCCAGCAUGGUGUCCUCCAUAAGCUUUGGAGUGACACUUGCAUAGGAUCUGUUCCUGUUCAUGCUCAGGUACACAACGUCUAAUAACGCCAUCUACACCUUCUUUAUAAAGAUGUGGUCAUCCCAAAAGUAAUGCCUCAAAUCAUAAAAGAACUUUUUCUUUUGCUAGUAUGUGAAACUAGGUGGUAUAAACUUAGCAACAAUGUAAUUAGCAUAAUCAGCAUACCAUGGAGCAGUAUGAGAAGUAUUUAUGACAUUUAAUUGCUCAUCAGGAAAGCUAUCAUCAAUAGGUAGUGGGUCAUCAAGCACAUUUUCUAACCUAGACAAGUUGUCUGCAACGGGGUUCUCAGCUCCUUUUCUAUCAACAUUAUGUAAAUCAAAUUGUUGUAGCAAGAGAACCCAUCUAGCAAGUCUAGGUUUAGCAUCUUUCUUUUCCAUAAUAUAUUUAAUAGCAGCAUGAUCAGUGUGAAGAGUUACUUUAGAAUCAACAAUAUAAGGUCUAAACUUAUCAUAGGCAAAUACAACUGCUAAGAAUUCUUUUUCAGUAGUAGCAUAAUUUCAUUGAGCAUUGUCUAGAGUUUUACUAGCAUAUUGAAUAACAUUUAGUUUCUUAUCAACUCUUUGUCCUAGAACAGCACCUACAGCAUAAUCACUAGCAUCACACAUAAUUUCAAAGGGUAAAUUCCAAUCAGGUGGCUGAACAAUAGGUGCAGAGAUCAAUGCUUUCUUAAGUAUUUCAAAUGCUUCUACACAAUCAUCAUCAAAGACAAAUGGUAUAUCUUUUUGUAAUAAAUUAGUUAGAGGCCAAGAGAUUUUUGAGAAGUCCUUGAUGAACCUCCUAUAAAAACCAGCAUGACCAAGGAAACUUCUUAUACCUUUGAUGUCCUUGGGACAUGGCAUCUUUUCAAUAGCAUCAACCUUGGCUUUAUUAACUUCAAUACCUCUUUCAGAAACUUCAUGCCCCAAGACAGUACCUUCAUUAACCAUAAAGUGGCACUUUUACCAAUUCAAGAAAAGAUUAGUUUCUUCACAUCUCUGCAAAACUCGAUCAAGGUUGCUCAAGCAAUCAUCAAAAGAAGAUCGAUAGACGGAAAAGUCGUCCAUGAAAACCUCACAAAUCUUUUCACAAAAGUCAGAGAAUAUAGCCAUCAUGCAUCUUUGAAAGGUAGAAGGUGCAUUACAUAAACCAAAAGGCAUACGUCUGAUAAGCAAAAGUACCAAAAGUGCAUGUAAAAGUAGUCUUUGAUUGAUCUUUGGUUGACACAGGUAUUUGAGAGAAACUAGAAUAACCAUCUAGAAAGCAAAAAUGUGUAUGUUUGGAUAAUCUUUCUAGCAUUUGAUCGAUAAAAGGUAAGGGGUAAUGAUCUUUUUUAGUAGCCUUAUUUAAUUUGCGGAAAUCAAUUACCAUCCUAUAACCAGUAAUAAUUCUUUGAGGAAUCAAUUCAUCCUUAUCAUUAGGAACAACAGUAAUACCUCCCUUCUCAGGGACACAAUGGACAUGACUUACCCACUUACUAUCAGCAACGGGAUAAAUUAUACCUGCCUCAAGGAGCUUUAGUAUCUCCUUUCUUACCACUUCUUUCAUUUUAGGAUUCAGACGGCGUUGAUGAUCACGAACUAGUUUAGCAUCUUCUUCCAAAUUAAUUUUAUGUUGACAUAGAGUGAUACUAAUGCCCUUAAGAUCAUCAAGAGUAUACCCAAUAGCAGUAUGGUGCUUCUUCAGAGUUUUCAAUAAUCUCUCUUCUUCAUGUUCUGAAAGGUUAGCACUAGUAAUAACAGGAUAUAUCUUUUUCGCAUCAAGAUAUAAGCAUAUUUAAGAGUGUCAGGUAACGGCUUAAGCUCAAACACAGGAUCACCCUUGGGUGGAGGAGGAUCCCCUAGGAUUUCAAUAGGUAAAUUGUUUUUCAGAAUAGGUUCCUGUUUAAAGAAUACUUCAUCUAAUUCCCUUCUUUCAUUCAUAAACAUAUCAUUUUCAUGGUCUAGCAAAUAUUGUUCUAAAGAAUCACUAGGAGGUAUGGCAAUAGAAGCAAGACCAAUAAUUUCAUCCUUACUAGGUAAUUCUUCUUCACGGUGUUGUCUACUAAAUUUAGAAAAAUUAAAUUCAUGAGUCAUAUCAUCUAAACCGACAGUAACAACAUCCCUUUUGCAAUCUAUCGUAGCAUUUAAGAAGGGUCUACCAAAUAUAAUUUGACAAAAGCUAUCUUGUGGGGAACCAAGAGCAAGAAAAUCAGUAGGAUAUUUAGUUUUCCCACACAAGACUUCAACAUCUCUAACAAUUCGCAUUGGUGAAAUAGUGUCUCUAUUAGCAAGUUUAAUUGUAACAUCAAUAUCUUCCAUCUCAGCAGGUGCAAUAUCAUGCAUAACUUAUUAGUAUAAGUCCAUAGGUAUUGCACUAGCACUAGCACCCAUAUCACAUAAGCCAUGAUAACAAUGAUCUCCUAUUUUAACAAUAAUAACAGGCAUGCCUACCACAGGUCUAGGUUUAUCUUGAUCACGGGGUUUCGCAAUUCUAGUAGUUUCAUUACAAAAAUAAAUAACAUGCCCAUCUAUAUUAUCAGACAAGAGAUCUUUAACAAUAGCAAUAUUAGGUUCAAUUUUAACUUGCUCAUGAGGUGUAUAUGUUUUAGUAUUGCUUUUACGAACUACAGUUGAAGCUUUAGCAUGAUCCUUUAUCCUAACAGGGAAAGGUGGUUUCUCAACAUAAGAAGUAGGAACAAUAGGAUCAUUAUAAGUAAUAGUCUUUUCUUCAACUUUAAUAGGUGUAGCUACUUUUACUUCUAUGGGAGGAUGAUAUUUAAACCACUUCUCCUUGGGGAGAUCAACAUAAGCAGCAAAAGAUUCACAGAAAGAAGCUACUAUCUCAGAGUCAAGUCCAUAUUUAGUGCUAAAUUUACGAAAAAUAUCAGUAUCCAUAAAAGAUUUAACACAAUCAAAACUAGGUGUCAUACCUGAGUCCUUACCAUUGUCGAGGUCCCAAUCUUCGGAGUUGCGUUUAAUUCUUUCCAAUAAAUCCCGUUUUAAUUCAAUAGUCUUCAUCAUAAAAGAGCCAGCACAAGAAGUAUCAAGCAUGGUGCGAUUCUUACCAGAAAGCCGAGCAUAAAAAUUUUGAAUAAUCAUUUCUCUUGAGAGCUCAUGAUUGGGGCAUGAAUAUAACAUUGACUUAAGCCUCCCCCAAGCUUGAGCAAUUCUUUAUCCUUCGUGAGGCAAAAAAUUAUAUCUAUAAUUGCGAUCACGAUGAACAAGAUGCAUAGGAUAAAACUUUUGAUAAAAUUCUAAUUUCAAUUGUUUGUAGUUCCAAGACUCCAUAUCAUCACAUAGCCUAUACCAUGUCGAUGCAUCUCCCCUCAAAGAUAAAGGGAAGACCUUCUUCUUAACAACAUCUCCAGGUACACCUGCAAGCUUAAAUAAUCCACAAACUUCAUCCACAUAUAUUAGAUGCUCAUCAGGAUGUUUUGUUCCAUCUCCUAAAAAAGGAUUAGCUAGCAGUUUUUCUACCAUACCCAGAGGAAUUUCAAAGUAAGCAUUUUCAUUUUCAGUAGGUUCAAUAGGUUGAGGAGCAACUCUUUGCUCUACUGGUCGGGGUGAAGAUACCCCGAACAGGCCCCUCAGAGGAUUACUUUCCAUAGUAACAAGUGACAGUAAAUUUCAGCACAUUACAUAAAUUUUUCCUUACCAAAUUCCACCUACCAAGGCGCUUCACUCCCCGGCAACGACGCCAGAAAAGAGUCUUGAUGACCCACAAGUAUAGGGGAUCUAUCAUAGUCAUUUUGAUAAGUAAGAGUGUCGAACCCAACGAGUUGCAGAAGAAAAUGAUAAGCGGUUUCCAGCAAGGUAUUCUCUGCAAGUACUGAAAUAAGUGGUAAUAGAUAGUUUUGUGAUAGGAUAAUUUGUAACGAGGAACAAGUAACAAAAGUAAAUAAGGUGCAGCAAGGUGGCCCAAUCCUUUUUGUAGCAAUGGACAAGCCUGGACAAACUCUUAUAUGAUGUAAAGCGCUCCCGAGGACACAUGGGAAUAUUGUCAAGCUAGUUUUCAUCACGUUCAUAUGAUUCGCAUUCGGUACUUUGAUAAUUUGGCAUGCGGGUGGACCGGUGCUUGGGUGCUGCCCUUACUUGGAAAAGCAUCCCACUUAUGAUUAACCUCUAUUGCAAGCAUCCGCAAAUACAACAAAAGUAUUAAGGUAAACCUAACCAUAGCAUGAAACAUAUGGAUCAAAAUCAGCCCCUUACGAAGCAACGCAUAAACUAGGGUUUAAGCUUCUGUCACUCUAGCAACCCAUCAUGUACUUAUUACUUCCCAAUGCCUUCCUCUAGGACCAAAUAAUGGUGAAGUGUCAUGUAGUCGACGUUCACAUAACACCACUAGAGGAGAGACAACAUACAUCUCAUCAAAAAAUCGAACGAAUACCAAAUUCACAUGACUACUAAUAGUAAGACAUCUCACAUGUCCUCAGGAACAAAAGUAACCACUCACAAACCAUAAACAUGUUCUGUGCAUAUAGGAUCUGAACAUUUGAUCUUCCACCAAUUAAACCAACUAGCAUCAACUACAAGGAGUAAUUAACACUACUAGCAACCUACUAGCACCAAUCCCGGACUUGAAGACAAGAAUUGUAUACAAGAGAUGAACUAGGGUUUUGAGAUGAGAUGGUGCUGAUGAAGAUGUUGAUGGAGAUUGCCCUCUCCCGAUGAGAGGAGCGUUGGUGAUGACGAUGGCGAUGAUUUCCCCCUCUGGGAGGGAAGUUUCCCCCGCAGAACAGCCCCGCUAGAACCCUAGAUUGGUUCCGCCAAGGUUCCUCCUCGUGGCGGCGGAGUUUCGUCUGAGAAGAUGGCUUAUCAUUAUUUUCCCAUCGAAAGAGUCCAUAUAGCAGAAGAUGGUCACCGGAGGGUCACCAGGGGGCCCACGAGGUAGGGGGCGCGCCCAGAGGGGUAGGGCGCGCCCCCCACCCUCGUGGGCAGGGUGUGGCCCCCCUGGUGAAGUUCUUGCGCUCAAUGUUUUUAUAUAUUUGGAAAAAAUCAUCCGUGAAGUUUCAGGUCUUUUGGAGCUGUGCAGAAUAGGUCUCUAAUAUUUGCUCCUUUUCCAGCCAGAAUCCCUGCUGCCGGCAUUCUCCCACUUUAUGUAAACCUUGUAAAAUAAGAGAGAAUAGGCAUAAGUAUUGUGACAUAAUGUGUAAUAACAGCCCAUAAUGCAAUAAAUAUUGAUAUAAAAGCAUGAUGCAAAAUGGACGUAUCAGCCCCCCGCACGCUCAUUUCUCUCAGUCGUCCCCCUCCACCCGACUCCGGCAGCUGCGGUUAGGGUUUCUCCUCCGCCACCGUGCGCGACGACCACCGCGGCCGAAGGUAAUGCUCCUCCCCCCUCUCGCGGCCCCUCUGCUAGCUGCUCCUCCACCCUCUCGCCGCCCACUCUGUCGCUGCCCGCGAGCUCUGGCCAGGCGCCUUUGGCCGACUGCCCUUGGUCCCCUUGCCGGCCUCUGUCGUCGCCCCCUCUCAUACGAAAGUCACCGACCAUCCCCUUGUCAGCACCCCCGACCGAGCUCACCAUGCCAUCCCCCCUCCUUGUCAGCACCCCCGAGGGUUGCCCUACCUAGAUGCAGCGAGGGCUUACAAAUUUCAUAUGGAUAACUAGAUGCUUUUGUUUUUCUGUAAUAAGUUAUUUUUUGCAAAAUGUAGGUGCCAAUUUAGUUGAAAUGUUUUGGUAGGUGGUACAAGUAUUUAAUUUGCAAGUGCUAAGUUAAUCCCAAUUAAAUUUGUGACUUGUUUUUUUAAUCAGUUACCUUAGGCAAUAGGGGCCAAAUGAGAUGAAAUGUGUCUUGGUAGGUGGUACCUUGAUUUGGUAGAUAACUUAUUACAGAUCUUAGGAUUAUACCUUUGGUAGGGGCCAAAUAGUUUUUUUGGCGAUAGGUGCCCCUGAAAUUGCUUCUCGCGGAAGAAUCUCUUCAUCUAGAGAUAUUCUAGAAGGUGUUAGUAAGCUAAUUGAGAACUUGUUGUCUGUGAGUCUUGUUGGAUGAUUUGGCAUUGGCCUGCUAGCUGUUGGUUCUAUUAUAGAAGGUGUUAGUAAGUUAAUUGAGAGCUUGUUGUUUACUUUUUGGGAUCGGGUUCCACUAUGAAAAUAUAACUGAAGAAGAACCAAAAAUAUCACAUGCUACUAUUUUUCUUUCCUGUGAAGUGGAUCGUUAAUCCUUUGCUCAUAUCGCUUUAGGAAAAUGGCGCCAGCACCACCACCACCAUGUCGACUGUGCAAGUCAAGGUGCACCAACAGCCUUGCAUCUGGCAAGCUGAUCAACAUCUACUUCCAGCCGAGUUUCCGUCAUGCGGCGGUAAUAUAUUAGAUGAAAUGUAACAACUAUUUUAUUUUUAGUGUUGGCAUUACUGCAUUGUGUCAUUUUGCUUUUUUUACACCGAUCGUCCCAUGCAAUGUGAGGUUAAAAUUCAAGAGAUAAUUCCUUAUCUAACACUAGCUUAAAACUUUUUUCCCUAUUUGACACUGGAAAUAUUUUUCUUCCUUAUCUAACACCAAUUCUAAAAUUUGUUCCCUUUGUAACACUUCCGUCCAUUUUGACUACACACGGUGUUAAAUGGCACCUGAAAAGACGAUUUUACCCCUCAUACAACUUGUGACAAAAUUAUUCACAUUACCACAGAAACAAGAACUUUUAUCCUUAACUGAAGCAUAAUAGACUAAUUCAAAGAGAGUUUUGAUCUAGAUUUUCAUAGGGAAGUAAGAAGCAUCUUUAUAGAGAAAUAAUAAGCAUUUUAACAGAACUAUUUUUUUUGCGGGGAGCAUUUACACAGAACUCAUAACCAUUUUCACAGAUACAUAAAUGCAUGAAUAGCCUACAAUGUGAACAAUAGUGCAUGCGCAUUAGAGUUAAACCAGAUCAAUAACAGAGUAACUAAAUUUUUUCAGAUCCAUAGCAUUUUCAGAGAAAUAAAGCAUCACAUAACAGACUAAGCCCUUUCCUGAGAGGAGGAAGAGGAGGACUCUGACUUGUCUUCGUAAGGGCUAGCACUGGUCAGUGAAGGUCCCGGCUUACGGAGCUGUCUGUGGCCGCGGCAAUGGGGAAGGCAUGCAGCGGAUGGAGUCAGGGGAUCAGGAAUAUGUCCACCGGCGUCCGCAGGGACCCGAGCCCGCUGCAGCCGAGACACCGCCACCUGCCAAAGUCGCGCGCUGGCCCGACCCCUCCGCAGCCCCACCGUCGCCAUCGCUCACCAACGCCGGAUCCGGAGCAGCGCCGAGGUCAGGCCCUCCGUAGUCGCGCCCUGGCCGUCCUCCGCAGCACCGCCGCCAUCCAUUACCCGGAGUCACCGUCGCAGUCACCGGCACCGAUAGGACUAGGAAGUUUGCCGCCGCCGCCGAUAGGGUUGGGAGAAAGGGACGAGAGGCGCGGGUCGGGAGAGAAGAGAGAUGACCGGUUCGGUCUAUCUUGUUUUUUUCCUUUUUCUCAUGCUUAUUAUUACGUGCAGGGGGCAUUUUCGUCCAGCUACAGAAAACUGACAUCACUCCAUGCAUCUUUUAACGGUAUAGGCUAACAGAACUAACGGAAGUGUUAGAAAGGGAACAAAAUUUACACUUGGGUGUUAGAUAAGGAAGAAAAAAAAUUCAGUGUUAAAUAAGGAAACAAUAUUUAAAAGAGUGUUAUAUAAGGAAAUUUCUCAAAAUUCAAUAAGCUGACAGGAGACACUGUGACAUUUGAGGCUCCUGGGCGGGGGGCGUACACUAUGGAGGUCGAGAAAGGACGCAAUAUGUCGCAGAUUGGAGGAGAUGGAUGGGCCCGUUUCCUCGCCCGCAUGCGUCUUACUGGUGGUGAGUUGAUCAACUUCUCCUUCAGAGCAGAAAGACCCAAGCUGGUUGUCAUUUAUCUCAACCUGGUGGAAGAUGAUGAAGAUGACGAAGAUAAUGAAGACGACGAAGAUGAUGAAGAUAAUGAGGAUCUACUCGAUGAAGAUGAUGAGAACACACUUCGUGAAGCCAUCAUAGCUCAAAGAAUGAGGCUGGGCGAGGAGGAGGUGUGCAACCUAUAGGACAUAAUUCCACCACGUGAUGACUUUGUCGGGGUGCCAUUCUUGAUCCGCCAGACAAGUACCAUGGUCAAUCGGCAUGAAAUGGUAUGUUAUACUGACUGUAGUAAUUUGAUGAUAUAUAUAUAUGUGUUACUAUUCAUCACCCAGGGUGCAGAAUAAGUUAUUCUUCACCCGAGGUAAUCUUACGAUCAUUUCAUAAUUAAAUUACGUUUGAAAUUCAAAUAGUUACAUUUCUAUUCACUACGUAAAAUUUGACAUAAGAAAAUAAAAAUAUAGGUCAUAAGACAAGAAAAUUUGCAGUUUAUGUGUAUUUUAGACUAUGUUUUUACGUUUGUAAUUUUACAUAACAUAAAAUAUUUUUUACGGCGAUUAUGUAUUUUCUUACGGUCUCUUUUUGCGUCGGAAAUAAGACAAAACUUACGGAACGUAAAAUUACGGAGCAUUGAUGGUAAAAUAAAGGGGGGUGAAGAAUAACUAUUCCUCACCCAGGGUGACGAAUAUAUGCUUUAUUGUUAUACUUAAUUGAUAGUGUAGUACUGUGUCUUUUGAUAGUGUAGAACUGUGUCUUUUGAUAGUGUAGAAAUCUAUACUUAAUAGAAAUAUAUUUGCAAGAGUAUGUGCGAGGCUAUUUAUUAAUUGAUAUAUUUUUCUUAUUCAGAAAUUGCCAAAGAACCUAUCUGUGAGUUGUGGUAUCGAGCCUGAUGAAGAAGGCUCAGCUGGACUACGCAUUACCGCAAGGGGCUCCGUCACCACCUGUACUUACCGCAUGGACACAGACGGUCGCACACACUUAAACUCGGUUGGGUGGAAGAGAUUCCUCGUUGGCAAGAAUCUUCGUGUUGGACAGGCCAUCCUAAUUACUAUCAGGAACACCCACCGCCCAGGCUUGAGGAUGAUGAUCGUCGUCGAUAUCAUCUAGCUAGAACUACAUAUGUGUGUGUGGCUAUAUCAUCUAGAACUACAUUUGAUAAUCAUUGUCGAUAUCAUGUAGAACUACAUAUGAUGAUCGUCGUCGAUAUCAUCUAGAACUAUAUAUGAUGAUCGUCAUCGAUAUCACGUUUGUACUGCUUGAGGAUGCAUAUGAUGAUCGUUAUCGAGUAAUUUGGAACGGAGGUAGUACUACCUAGUACCUAUAAUGCUUUAUGAAAUUGAUAUCUAGUAGUACCUAGUAUCUGGAAAUUGCAGUUUAUUGAAACUGAAACUGGGUAGGAAGCGGGGGAAAAUGAUGAAACACAUAGCAGUAGCGCGGGGCUAGGAAAGCGCUACAACUAAGUAAUAGUAGCGUGUUCUUGAAAAGCGAUGCUGAUAUAGUCAAUAGUAGUAGCGCGGGUGCAAACCACACUACUACUAGCAGUUAGCUGUAGCGCCUUAUUGGUAGCGCGGCUGCCCGCGCUGCUGAUAGCCUCAAAACCCGCGCUACUACUAGGGUUUUCCCUAGUAGCGGGGCCGAGUGGAAAAUGUUUGUUUUGUUAACUUUUAAGGUUUAAGGGCAUAUGCACAGAGUUUUCAAUCUUAUCGGGCUGGGGGGGGGGGCACUGGAUAGGCAUCCUCUCAAAAAAAUUGUGUGUGUGUGAACACGACUCUUUCCUUGGGAGAGAACAGCGAUGGUAUAAGAUUUUCUUGAUGGAAACCUACACCCGCGGAAUCGGUUUGCUUUGCAGCAGAGCAACUGACAUCCUGUUGACCUCUCAAUGCAAAUCGAAAACCGAUCAUGCUUUGCUUCCUCUAACCCUCAGCUAAACGGGCUGCGCGCCAUGGAGAGGGAGGCCCAUUUAACCUAUAGGGUCCACUUUUUUCCCUGAAAAACUUCCGUCCAGAACUCUCGGCCUGCGAAUCUGCACACGGUGGCCAGAUGGCCAUGCGAAAGUGGACCGCAUAUUAGAACCCUUCGCGAUAGCAAGAUUACAAAGUCCGGCCGCCGAAAGCGUGCUGGUCGUGAGAGGGUUAGGAGAGUGCCCAGUUUUAAUAAACAGCCCACGGUUUUUGCAAAAACCAGGGGUGGCUUCUCUUCUCAACCAGAAACUGAAAUUGUAAAAUCUUUUGUCUCUUUGUGAAACUACGCAAAUGUUUCUUAGCAAAGUUUACAGUCUCCACACCGGCGACACUAAUAUGAAUGAACGAGACAAACCGAUACUACUCACCACGCGUACGGCCCACCUACUCACGGCUAGUACUCUCCACGCCUAGUGCAGCAGUCCCACGCUAGAGUGUGUUGUCGUCUUCGUCUACAUACACAAAUAUAGAAACGGCAGCCACAACACACAACCCAGAACCCACAACAUGAUGACCGGAUCGAGCUCCCGAGUGUUCAUCAUGCCCGGCGCCGGCCAUGUCCACUACCUCGUCGCGGGAGGCUUCGGAGGAGGCGACGACCCCAGGUACCCCUGGACCUUCAAGUCCCUGCACGAGGUGGACGCCGUCGUCCCUGCCAUCGCCCGUGGGGCACCGGCAGGGCCUGACGGGUGCCCCAUCUGCUUCCGCACAUUCGCCAGUGCCAAGGCCGUCCAUGGCAACAUGCGCAGCCACACGGACCGCAGCUGGCGCGGCAUGGAGCCGCCCCGGGAGACACCCCUGGGCGAGCUCGGGCUGGACGGGCAGCGUUACCCGUACGUGUGCGACCGCUGCAAGAUGCCUUUCCAGACGCGCCAGGCGCUCGGCGGCCACCGCGCCAGCCACAAUGGUAAGAAAGGCUGCUCCUGGCUCGAAAGAGAGGAGCUCGCCGCCGCCAAAGAAGCUCGUAAGCCCGUCCUGUUCGGCGUUGAUAUGAACCUUCCGGCUCCCGAGGCAGAUCAGGAACAGGGGGAUGAGUAGUAGGGGUGAUGAACAGAUCGAUCGAGCAGCUUGCUAGUGUUCUCAGUUGACAGUUGUUCGAGCUGUGCUUGCGUGUGCUAUAUUUGGUGUUUAGCUUCUAGUAUAUAUUUUAUUCUGCCUUCUCUCUUUGACUUUGCGUUUCCAGACUUGUGUGCAAAUAAUAGCUCUCGAUCGAUCGAUCCCCGCUCAAUAGAUAAAUAAAUGAAGACUGCAAUCUGCAAUUAAGCUGGUUUGCUAUAUAUGUGUGUCAGUUUGUGUUUGAUACUUUGAUGCAUCUAAAACUAAUUCUUCAGGCUAUUUCAUGCGAUUCUUAGUUUCUUGAGCUGAUUUAUUUCGUGCUGUUUUAUUUGACAUUAGCCGAUCUAAAAUUAGAUCUAUAGGUUAACUAUUACCAUGUGUCCAGCUCUAGCAAAUUUAUAUCGUGACUUACAAUUAUUUAAUGAGUUGCAUUAAUACACAGCUAGCUCAAUAUUGCAAGCAUCUACUCUCUGAUUUCUCAACAGUUUGAAAGAGAAUAACAUGAGAUUGUUUCUCCAGGUGUUGUGCCCAUUUCAUAUAGAUAGGGAAGGAGGAAAAGUGUCAUAAUGUAUAUGCAUCAGAUUAAUGGAUGAUAAAAAGGUCGAUCUAGUUCUAGUACUAUACACGCAUUAAUUGUACUGUGAUUUCCAAAUCUUAUCUUCACUGGCCGAAACCAAAAGUGGCUUUGCAAAUAAGAAUAGAAAUAGUUUGUGUAUUUAUGUCUUCUAGUGAAACGUGAAGUGUGUCGCAUGCUUACAUAGCAUUUCCCAAGUUAGUGAUGGUAUUCACAAUGUAUAUAUUGGAGAUAUCUUGGCAUCAUUGGAGUAAUUAAAGCGCUCUGUUUCGACUCUAUAUACGCUAUGAGAGUUUCCUUGUUUUGAUAUAGGAAAUCAGAAGAACAAUGGGGCCAAGAAACGUUUCCGAAACAAAAAUAUCCAAAUAUUCAUGAAACAGAACAAUGUAUGUCGAAUACAGCGUUAUUCAAAACCAACAUCGUUCCAUUUUCAGCUGCAUGGAUAUACAUUUGUAAUGCUAGUGCACUGCACAAAAUUGGACACAAAAACAACUGUCCGAAUCCGACUGAAAGGUAGAUAUGACAAGGAUCUGUUAGACAUGGAUACAAGUGUAGAACAUCGGACUUAUAUUCAUUUGAUCAUCUGACUUAAUAUUUUGAAGGAAGAACCUACCCAUUAAAAUAUAUAUUUGUUACAUAUAAAUUUACCUCUUAUAGAUAUUGUGAAAUAAAUACCCAAGAAAAGUUUAGAAUUAUCUCACACUUGCUACUUAAAAUAAACACAAAAUUAAUAAUUGCUUGCUGUUAGAGAAUACUGCUACACUAAUGCUAGUUAGAGAAUAUCCACGUGACCCUCUCCUACCAUUUCCACACACUGAUCAUGUCUCCAGCUACAGAGUCCUAGUACCACCGAGGUGUGUCAGGCGUCAUUGCCUUGCAUGGAUAUAGAGAUAUAAACCACAGCCCGUGAUGAUGAGCGGAUCAACGUGACAGGCCUUCACAGGUCACUUGGAUAUGUAAUUAGGUCGAUCAACUGACAAAUAAAGAGUGCUCUCUUGAACAAAAAAUGCCAAAUGGAGGUCUUAAUUUUGAAAUUUUCAAACCAUGCUUUAACGUUUCAACAAAUACACAUAUACCCAGAGACAUAGUGUACAUGUGUCCAAAUUUUCAUGAUAAAAUAACGGCUAAAUAAAAGAACAAAUUUGUAGUCAUGAAAUACACUAAAAUGACGGCUAAAUAAAAUGAUGGUAUUUCAUCAUGAAAUUUUACACACAUAGACAUUACAUCCUUGUGUACUUGACCAUAUGCACAUACAUGUCCAAUGGAGUGUUACCUUGACUGCAGUGUCACGUUCAUGCAAGAUUCCACAUUUUACAUCCCCAUGUUAAUUGGGUUCCCAAUAUUAUAUAAGAUCAUGUUGAAUAUAACCUGUAUGUGCACAAUGUCAUCUUCCUAGGUUCAUUGAGAACACGUUCACCCUUUUUAAAAUAAAUUACACAAAACUUCUGCAAAAAGGAUGCGUGCAUCAAUUGAUGCAACAGCUAGAGGUGUAGCUGUGUUUUUAAAAAGGAAAAGGGUAUUUUUACCAAAUGGGGCAGCUUAUGUAUUAGGAUUCAAAUUUUAGUGCAUAUACUGGACCCGGAGUGUUAUGAUAUUUUUUUUACCAAAAAAGACUUUCUAUAACGGACACCUCAAUCCAAAAAGAAUACCUACACUAGUAUGUGGGUUGAUACAGUAUAUCUUCACUUUUUUAAGAAUGUGUUUCUUCACCGUGACCUCAUUCAAAAGAUACUGCCAUGGGGAGGAUGUGGCAAGACUGAGCACCAUAUGAAUAAUAGCCGAUUUGACAAUCGGACUAAUAUCUCGCUAUGCUCAACACCCUCACAUUUAUUGAAGCCAAGGACACCCCCUGUCCCUCCUUACAUUGCACCUCGCCAACAUACCAUUGGUGUUGAAUUUGGGUCAAACGACACAUUUUCCAAAGAGGGCAUUCACACAUGUUAGACGAGGAACCAAAGACCAAGUGUCAUUCUACAACAAAGCAUUAAAUACAUCACAUACUACAUGACAACAGUUCAGACCAUGGAGUGGUAUUUUAUAUGAAGAAUUAAUAGAAGAAAUGGGUGAGAAAAUACACUAUGAAAGUUUUCCUUGGAGUCAUGAAAUAACAGGAUAUUUCCCAUAUGUGUGCAUCUCGUGUGCAUUGUGGGGUGGUUCUACUGGGAUGGAACUAGGUGGAAAACAUGGCUGAGGUGGUGCAUAGAGAGAGGGUGCGCAUAGAUCGACAGAAAGAUACAAAAGACAAAGCGAGCUAGUGUGGAGAGGCAGCCGAGUGUGACAUUGUCGAGUGGGAAACCCGUGAUGUUGGGCUUGGUCCAGGCGACAUGUUCGGAGGGGGGUGGUACGGGUGUAUUAGAGUGGGAGGCGGUUUCGGAGUGGUUGUGGGUCUUAGGCACAAGGGUACAAGGUAGGUCGUGGUCAAAGCUGGAAUUAGACCAGGCGAAAGGGCUCAAGAAGCGUGGGAUUCGUUGCGGGAGGCAUGUGUGUAUGUUUGUGUGUGAUAUAUACACAAGGUAAAUAAUCUUAUUAAAAAUUAUCAUAGGAGGUAACUUAAAUUUUUGAGUUUGAAGAUCAAAACACUAAUACACAGGAAAAAUUAAGAAUUAUGUCACACUUGAUAAAUUAAGAAUUAUGUCAUCACAAUUAGAGAAUGUUGCUACAUUAAUUCUAGUUAGCAGAUAUCCAUAUAACCCUCACAUGCCAUUUCCUACACACUCAUCAUGUCUCUAGCUAUGACAAAUCUUAUCAUGCUCCCUCUUACCUCCUGUUUUCACAUGAGAGGUAAAAGUACUUAAUAGAUAUGAGCCAUUGAUUUGAUUAAGCAGUGGUCUGAUUAACUCUCUCCUUCUUACCUCCCAUGUGAAAAGAGGGGUUAAGAGGGAGCAUGUUAAAAUUACUCGCUAGCUAUAUAGUUCGAGUACCACUGAGGUGUGUCAAGCGUCAGUGCCUUGCAUGGAUAUAGAGACAUUGAAAGCACAUGUUUACUCCUGGNNNNNNNNNNNNNNNNNNNNNNNNNNNNNNNNNNNNNNNNNNNNNNNNNNNNNNNNNNNNNNNNNNNNNNNNUGGGAGAUGUUUAGAAAUUCGUCAAACUCUGAGGAAUUUGACGAAGAUCAGAGUGAAGAAAUAGAAAUGCGAGGGAACUAAAUCAUCACAGGAAUGAAAAGCAUGCAUACAGGAUACACACAGGUGAAGAACAUGAAAUCAUAUAGGCAUACAACCAUGAGGAAGAUGAACUAAAGAAAUAAAAUACAACAUGAUGAAAGUCUUCAGUUCAAGUUCUUCAAAUUGUAGAUCACAAAUUCUUCAGCAGCGGAAUAAUGUAAGGGAAGGGUGAGGAAUUUGAAAUCAGCUGGUUGGCUCGGUGAAGACACUGUGAUUUGGUAGACCAAUUCCAGUUGUUGUAUCAACUGUACGUCUGGUUGGGACGGCUGACUCAAAGGACAUAUAGUCCUCACCGUAUUCCUCUUGAGCUAAGGUCAAUUAGACCUCGCCAAUCAAUCAUGGUAAGUCUUCAAGGUAGACUUCCCAAACCUUCACGGACUUGUUCACCGGCACACCACAAUGACUCUUGGGUGCUCAGAACAUGACGCCUAACCGUCUGGAAGAAUGCUAGUCUUCAAAUGUAAAAGGUGUCAUAUGACACGGAUCAAUCUGUACAGUGAUGCUCAAUCACUUUGGCUCUGGGUUUUUUCCCACUUAGGAUUAUCUCAAAGUCGUCAGAGGAUGGGUUGCUCUCCAAUAACAAGUGUCAAGUUCUCUCUGAUCAGCCAACCAACAAGUGGUUGUGGGGGCGGCUAUUUAUAGCCAGGCGCAACCCGACAUGAAUUGUCAUAAAUGCCCUUCUCUGAUAUGACCAUUGUGAAGAUAAGGAUCCACUCGACAGCUGGCUCGUGGCGUAGCAAUGGUCGGAAUUUGAACUCUCAAAUUCAUUGGGGCACUCAAUUUCCUCAGGCAGAUCGCAUUGGCGAACUCCUAACUCCUUAGCCUGACCAAAUUCAUCAGUGACUAGAUGAACUUGGUCACUGUCGCUAGCAAAUGCAUCAGCUGUUCCGGAGAUUUCCAAAUGCUUCGCUUGAAGCAACUUGUGUAUGUAUAGGUUUGAGCAUCACUUUGCAAAUGUGAACCAUGAUUCACCUAGACCCCCUUUAACAGUAUGAUUUUUCUUAUGACUCAAAUAAGAAGAAAGAAACUAUGAAGACAAAAGUCUUCACAUCAAUUUCUUCAAAGGCCGUACCAAUUUCAUCACCAAAUUUUUCACUUGAAGAAAUUCAUUUUUAGGGCUUAUCUUCCAUUUGUUAAACCAAAUCUUCAAGGACUAUAUCUCCUGUGUAUACUCACAAACACAUUAGUCCCUCAACCUAUUUGUCUUCAAUACUCCAAAACCACUAUGGUGGCACUUGUUGCACUUACAAUCUCCCCUUUUUGGUGAUUGAUGACAAAUUGAUUAGAUUUUUAACGGAAGUAAAUAAUUGAAGUGCAAAUAUAGAGUAUGAGAAAAUGUUCGUAUAAUUUCAAAAAAGCGUUCAAGUACUUUUUAAAAUGUUCAUGUAAAUAAAAUGUGUCAUAGUUUUAAAAAUAUUCUUUCAGUUUUGAAAGAUUGUUAACGUAAAUUAAAAGCGUUCAUGUAUUUAAAGGAUGCGGUCAUGUAUAUUGAAACCAAUCCUAUAAUUUUAGAAAGUGUUCACAACCUGUAAAGGUGUAUCCAUGGAACUUCAGAAGUGUUCACACAUUCUUGUAAAUGGUUCAUGUAAUAUUAAAAAAAGGUUUCACCUAUUUAAUAUUUGCUCAUGUAAUUUUGAAAAGUGUAACUAAAACAAAACAGAACCGGCAAAUGUCAGAUGCAACAAAAAAAAUGAAUGCAUGCCAUUUUGUCCAAGGACGUAGCCUGGAAUGAGUAUGGGGAUACAUAUCACUACACUUUAGAGGGGGCAAGUAGAAAUUGCUUUUUGUUUUAACAUUUAGGGUUGAANNNNNNNNNNNNNNNNNNNNNNNNNNNNNNNNNNNNNNNNNNNNNNNNNNNNNNNNNNNNNNNNNNNNNNNNNNNNNNNNNNNNNNNNNNNNNNNNNNNNNNNNNNNNNNNNNNNNNNNNNNNNNNNNNNNNNNNGGGGGCGGAGAUGGGCCCUGGAUGGGAAUACACUCAACAUGAACCGGUCGUCGAUAGACCAUGACUCUUUUCUUGGGAGAGUACAACGAUUGGUACCAUGUUCUCUCAAUGGAAAACUACACUAGCGGAAUCCUGUUUUUUUACAGCCGGGCGACUGGCGUCCUAUUUGACCUCUCAAUGUAAACUAUGACGGGUCUUAGCCAGGGAAAUAGCCUGGAAUGAGCAGGGGGACAUACAUACGGCUAAACUUUAGAGGGGGCACUACUAGGGAAGACCUUGUACACAGAAUCUUAGCAGCAGUGAGGUUUAAAAACAAACACUACUGCUAAUUAGCAGUAGCGGGCUCCAGAAAACCAUGCUACUAAUAGCCCAGUAGCAGUAGCGCUCUAGGUGAAAUGAGCGCUACUACUACAAUUUCCUCGGUGUUGCCCUCAGGCUAGAUAUAGUAGUAGUGCCCUUCUCCUGGAUGCGCUACUGCUAAAGUACUUAGUAGCGGCGUUUUUCUUGAAAACUCGCUGCUGCUAAGUAUCAUCUCCUCUUGCAAUUAAUUAAGUUUAGUCACAUAAUGCUAAGCGAACAAGGUGUUUUACCACCUUAAAUAUGUUACUUCUCAAACUAUCUCGAGCACUUGGUCUUCAUUGAACUGUAUGUGUAGGAUUUGUGGCUGCAAUAUGAAUCUUCACCUGUGCCUAUACAGGUACAGUGACGAUUCAUAUUGACUAUUUAGAUUCUACACAAAAAGAUCAAUGAUGACCAAUGUAUAAUUUUUAUGUUUUUAGAUGCUUAGCAGUAGCAUUUUUUCAAGACAAAGCGCUACUAAUAUUGGGCUUAGCAGUAGCGCGCUCCCUGUACCCACGCUACAGCUACAGCACAACAAAACACGCGGCCCGGCCCCUGAUGACCCACAAGUAUAGGGGAUCUAUCGUAGUCCUUUUGAUAAGUAAGAGUGUCAAACCCAACGAGGAGCAGAACGAAAUGAUAAGCGGUUUCCAGCAAGGUAUUCUCUGCAAGUACUGAAAUAAGUGGUAACAGAUAGUUUUGUGAUAGGAUAAUUUGUAACGAGCAACAAGUAAGAAAAGUAAAUAAGGUGUAGCAAGGUGGCCCAAUCCUUUUUUUAGCAAAGGACAAGCCUGGAAAACUCUUAUAUGAUGUAAAGCGCUCCCGAGGACGAAUGGGAAUAUCGUCAAGCUAGUUUUCAUCGCGUUCAUAUGAUUCGCGUUCGGUACUUUGAUAAUUUGGCAUGUGGGUGGACCGGUGCUUGGGUGCUUCCCUUACUUGGACAAGCAUCCCACUUAUGAUUAAUCUCUAUUGCAAGCAUCCGCAAAUACAAAAAAAGUAUUAAGGUAAACCUAACCAUAGCAUGAAACAUAUGGAUCCAAAUCAGCCCCUUAAGAAGCAACGCAUAAACUAGGGUUUAAGCUUCUUUCACUCUAGCAACCCAUCAUCUACUUAUUACUUCCCAAUGCCUUCCUCUAGGCCCAAAUAAUGGUGAAGUGUCAUGUAGUCGACGUUCACAUAACACCACUAGAGGAGAGACAACAUACAUCUCAUCAAAAUAUCGAACGAAUACCAAAUUCACAUGACUACUAAUAGCAAGACUUCUCCCAUGUCCUCAGGAACAAAAGUAACUACUCACAAAGCAUAAACAUGUUCAUCGUCAGAGGGGUAUUAAUGUGCAUAUAGGAUCUGAACAUAUGAUCUUCCACCAAUUAAACCAACUAGCAUCAACUACAAGGAGUAAUUAACACUACUAGCAACCUACUAACACCAAUCCCGGACUUGAAGAAAAGAAUUGGAUACAAGAGAUGAACUAGGGUUUUGAGUUGAGAUGGUGCUGAUGAAGAUGUUGAUGGAGAUUGUCCUCUCCCGAUGAGAGGAGCGUUGGUGAUGACGAUGGCAAUGAUUUCCCCCUCCGGGAGGGAAGUUUCCCCGGCAGAACAGCCUCGCCAGAACCCUAGAUUGGUUCCGCCAAGGUUCCGCCUUGUGGCGGCGGAGUUUCGUCCGAGAAGAUGGCUUAUCAUUAUUUUCCCAUCGAAAGAGUCCAUAUAGUAGAAGAUGGUCACCGGAGCGCCACCAGGGGGGCCACGAGGUAGGGGGUGCGCCCAGGGGGUAGGGCGUGCCCCCACCCUCGUGGGCAGGGUGUGGCCCCCCUGGUGAAGUUCUUGCACUCAAUGUUUUUUUAUAUAUUUGGAAAACAUCAUCCGUGAAGUUUUAGGACUUUUGAUGCUGUGCAGAAUAGGUUUCUAAUAUUUGCUCCUUUUCCAGCCAGAAUCCCAGCUGCCGGCAUUCUCCCUCUUUAUGUAAACCUUGUAAAAUAAGAGAGAAUAGGCAUAAGUAUUGUGACAUAAUGUGUAAUAACAGCCCAUAAUGCAAUAAAUAUUGAUAUAAAAGCAUGAUGCAAAUAGGACGUAUCAACUCCCCCAAGCUUAGACCUUGCUUUUCCUCAAGCGAAAAGCCGAAAUUGAAAAAUAUGUCCACAUGUUUAGACAUGAAGGUGUCGAUAAAAAUAAAAUACGGACAUGAGGGCAUCAUGAUCAUUCUUAGAACAGCAACUUAUAUAAUUCUUGUCAUAUGAUUUCUUAUGCUAGAGUAAUAAUUCAAUAAAAAUAUCAAGUAUGAAUCGUAAACUUCAUUGAAAACUAACAAACUAUAAUCUCAGUCAUUGAAUCAAUUGCAAUUUAUCAUAACAUAGUAAAGAGUCAAUGUAUAAGAGCUUUUCAACAAGUCCACAUACUUAACUAUCAUAUAAUCGUUCACAAUUGCUGACACUCACGCAAUACUUAUGGUAUGGAGUUUUAAUCGGACACAGAGAAAGAUAGGGGCUGAUAGUUUUGCCUCCCAACGUUUUACCUCAAGGGUAAUGUCAACAGUAAUAGUUCAUGAGAAGUCACAUCCAAUUAGCCAUAUAUACCAGGAUCUUUCCAACAUAUUGUGCUUGCAAAAGGAUAAAAUGUAAAAAGGAAGGGUGAAGAUCACCAUGACUCUUAUGCAAUGUAGGGGAUAAAAGUAAAAGAUAGGCCCUUCGCAGAGGGAAGCAGAGGUUGUCAUGCGCUUUUAUGGUUGGAUGCAUAAAAUCCUAAUGCGAAAGAACGUCACUUUAUAUUGCCACUUCUGAUAUGGACCUUUAUUAUGUAGUCUGUCGCUUUUAUUACUUCCAUAUCACACGAUUGUAUAAAGCUUAUUUCUACCACAGCAAUCAAUCAUACAUAUUUAGAGAGCAAUUUUUAUUGCUUGCACCGAUGACAACUUACUUGAUGGAUCUUACUCAACCCAUAGGUAGGUAUGGUGGACUCUUAUGGCAAAACUGGUUUAAGGUUAUUUGGAAGCACAAGUAGUAUUUCUACUUGGUGCAAUGAAUUGGCUAGUAUGAGGGAGAAAGGCAAGCUCAACAUGUUGGAGGAUCCAAGACAAUAUAAUUUGUCUCAGAUGUAAGAAAACAUAACCCAUUAUGUUGUCUUCCUUGUCCAAUGUCAACUCUUUAGCAUGUCAUAUUUUAAUGAGUGCUCACAAUCAUAAAAGAUGUCCAAGAUAGUAUAUUUAUAUGUGAAGACUUCUCUUUCUUUAUUACUUCCUAUUAAUUGCAAAGAUGACCAAAACUAUGUUUGUCAACCCUCAAUAACUUUUAUUCAUCAUACUCUUUCAUGAGCUCAUUACUCUCCAUAAGAUUCACAUUAUCUCUUUGUUUCUUUUUAUUUCUUUCUCUGUUCUUUUAUUCACUUAGGAUCAUGGCAAAAUUAUCAAGCCGUUGACUCAACACUAAUCUUUAUUAUAUAGCUCACGGACUCGAUUACAUAGACGGAUAAUAAAGCAAAACUCAUAACUAGAUCAUACUAAGAACUUUUAUCCUACUAGAUCAAGAUAUUACCAAAAGGAUCGAACUAAGAAAAACGGUUAAGAUAAAAGUGAUGGUGAUACGAUACUGGGGCACUCCCCCAAGCUUGGUAGUUGCCAAGUGGGGUGCCCAUACCAGAUACUCAAUCCUCCUUUGUUGGUGGAGACGGUGGUGAUUUUGUCGAUGGCGUAGGCUUCUUGCUUAAUUUGCGUUUGAGGACAUAAUUUUGCUCCCUCAGGUCCUCGAUCUCCUAUUCCAGGCUCAGUACCUUUUUGCAUAGUUCCUGCUUGUUUUCCUGCAAGAGGCGAAAAGGGAUAAACUCGAUCUUAGGUUUCUUUACUCUAUCCGGGAGACUUGAAUUUUUGAACUCCACAUGCAUGUCCCCAGGUUGAGGUAGUGGGACUUCAUCUUCAUCCAAGCUUGUCUUCUCCUUUCCCUUGGGUUCAUAGUCUUCUUCUUCUUCCAUGGUCCAACCAUAAUGCUCCACAUCCCCAUAGACCUUAGGAUCUGCAAGGUAAUUAGCCACAUAGCUUUCUCCAUCCGAAUCCUAGGACGACAUGUUGCUCUGUCUGUAGCAGGAUAGCUCAAAACAAAGACAAGAUAUUUUUGCAUGAUACGGGAGUCAAAACCCCUGGGAGGUUAUAUAAUGAAUUUUUACCGACCAAAAUACGUGUCCUGUAAGAAAACGGAGUCUGGAGAGCACACGAGGUGCCCACGAGGUAGGGGGCGCGGCCUCCACCCUCGUGGAGCCCUCGUGUCCUUCCCGGACUGCUACUUAUUUUUCUAUUUUUCUAAAUAUUCCAAAACGGAGAAAUAUUGCCUUAAAAACUGUUUUGGAGUCAAUUUACUGACCAUACCACAUACCUAUUCCUUUUCGGAGUCUAAAACAUUCCGGAAAGUGUCCCUUAUGAAUUCCUCCGGGGUUACGGUUUCAAUAACAUUGGUUUGAACAUUUAUGGGAUUACCUGAGAUAUAAUGUUUGAUUCUUUGACCGUUUACCACCUAGGAUUGGUGCCUUUGAAGUUGUUGAUUUUUAUGGCACCAGAACGGUAGACCUCCUCGAUAACGUAAGGACCUUCCCAUUUAGAGAGAAGAAUUCCUGCAAAAAAAUCUUAAACGAGAGUUGUAUAGCAAUACAUAAUCACCUACAUUGAACUCACGCUUUUGUAUCCUUUUGUCAUGCCAUCUUUUAACUUUUUAUUUAAACAACUUGGCAUUUUCGUAGGCCUGGGUUCUCCAUUCAUCAAGUGAGCUAAUAUCAAAUAACCUCUUUUCACCGGCAAGUUUAAAAUCAUAAUUAAGUUCUUUAAUAGCCCAAUAAGCCUUGUGUUCUAGUUUGAGAGGUAAGUGACAUGCUUUUCCAUAGACCAUUUUAUACGGAGACAUACCCAUAGGAUAUUUAUAUGCAAUUCUAUAGGCCCAUAAUGCAUCAUCUAGUUUCUUGGACCAAUUCUUUCUAGACCUAUUGACAGUCUUUUGCAAAAUUAAUUUGAGUUCUCUAUUACUCAAUUCUACUUGACCACUAGACUGAGGGUGAUAAGGGGAUGCAAUUCUAUGAUUAACAUCAUAUUUAGCAAGCAUUUUACGAAAAGCACCAUGAAUAAAAUGUGAACCACCAUCAGUCAUUAAAUAUCUAGGGACUCCAAACCUUGGAAAGAUAACUUCUUUAAGCAUUUUAAUAUAAGUGUUAUGAUCAGCACUACUAGUUGGAAUAGCUUCUACCCACUUAGUAACAUAGUCAACAGCAACUAAAAUAUGUGUAUAACCAUUAGAGGAAGGACAAGGUCCCAUAUAGUCAAAGCCCCAAACAUCAAAUGGUUCAAUAACAAGUGAAUAAUUCAUAGGCAUUUCUUGACGUCUACUAAUAUUACCAAUUCUUUGACAUUCAUCACAAGAUAAGACAAAAUUACGGGCAUCCUUGAAGAGGGUAGGCCAAUAAAAACCAGAUUGCAGUACCUUAUGUGCAGUUCUAUCUCCAGCAUGGUGUCCUCCAUAAGCUUCGGAGUGACACUUGCGUAGGAUCUGUUCGUGUUCAUGCUCAGGUACACAACGUCUAAUAACGUCAUCUACUCAUUCUUUAUAAAGAUGUGAGUCAUCCCAAAAGUAAUGCCUCAAAUCAUAAAAGAACUUUUUCUUUUGCUGGUAUGUGAAACUAGGUAGUAUAAACUUAGCAACAAUGUAAUUAGCAUAAUCAGCAUACCAUGGAGCAGUAUGAGAAGUAUUUAUGACAUUUAAUUGCUCAUCAGGAAAGCUAUCAUCAAUAGGUAGUGGGUCAUGAAGCACAUUUUCUAACCUAGACAAGUUGUCUGCAACGGGGUUCUCAGCAAUAUGUAAAUCAAAUUCUUGUAGAAAGAGAACCCAUCUAAUAAGUCUAGGUUUAGCAUCUUUCUUUUCCAUAAGAUGUUUAAUAGCAACAUGAUCAGUGUGAAUAGUUACUUUAGAAUCAACAAUAUAAGGUCUAAACUUAUCACAGGAAAAUACAACUGCUAAGAAUUAUUUUUCAGUAGUAGCAUAAUUUCUUUGAGCAUUGUCUAGAGUUUUACUAGCAUAUUGAAUAACAUUUAGUUUCUUAUCAACUCUUUGUCCUAGAACAGCACCUACAGCAUAAUCACUAGCAUCACACAUAAUUUCAAAGGGUAAAUUCCAAUCAGGUGGCUGAACAAUAGGUGCAGAGAUCAAUGCUUUCUUAAGUAUUUCAAAUGCUUCUACACAAUCAUCAUCAAAGACAAAUGGUAUAUCUUUUUGUAAUAAAUUAGUCAGAGGCCGAGAGAUUUUUGAGAACUCCUUGAUGAACCUCCUAUAAAAACCGGCAUGCCCAAGGAAACUUCUUAUACCUUUGAUGUCCUUGGGACAUGGCAUCUUUUCAAUAGCAUCAGCCUUGGCUUUAUCAACUUCAAUAACUCUUUUAGAAACCAUAAAGUGGCACUUUUCCCAAAUCAAGACAAGAUUAGUUUCUUCACAUCUCUGCAAAACUCGAUCAAAAGAGUGUCGAACCCAACGAGGAGCAGAAGAAAAUGAUAAGCGGUUUCCAGCAAGGUAUUCUCUGCAAGUACUGAAAUAAGUGGUAACAGAUAGUUUUGUGAUAGGAUAAUUUGUAACGAGCAACAAGUAACAAAAGUAAAUAAGAUGCAGCAAGGUGGCCCAAUCCUUUUUGUAGCAAAGGACAAGCCUGGACAAACUCUUAUAUGAUGUAAAGCUCUCCCGAGGACACAUGGGAAUAUCGUCAAGCUAGUUUUCAUCACGUUCAUAUGAUUCGCGUUCGGUACUUUGAUAAUUUGGCAUGUGGGUGGACCAGUGCUUGGGUGCUGCCCUUACAUGGACAAGCAUCCCACUUAUGAUUAACCUCUAUUGCAAGCAUCCUCAAAUACAACAAAAGUAUUAAGGUAAACCUAACCAUAGCAUGAAACAUAUAGAUCCAAAUCAGCCCCUUACGAAGCAACACAUAAACUAGGGUUUAAGCUUCUGUCACUCAAGCAACCCAUCAUCUACUUAUUACUUCCCAAUGCCUUCCUCUAGGACCAAAUAAUGGUGAAGUGUCAUGUAGUCUACGUUCACAUAACACUACUAGAGGAGAGACAACAUACAUCUCAUCAAAAUAUCGAACGAAUACCAAAUUCACAUGACUACUAAUAGCAAGACUUCUCCCAUGUCCUCAGGAACAAAAGUAACCGCUCACAAAGAAUAAACAUGUUCAUAAUCAGAGGGGUAUUAAUGUGCAUAUAGGAUCUGAACAUUUGAUCUUCCACCAAUUAAACCACUAGCAUCAACUACAAGGAGUAAUUAACACUACUAGCAACCUACUAGCACCAAUCCCGGACUUGAAGACAAGAAUUGGAUACAAGAGAUGAACUAGGGUUUUGAGAUGAGAUGGUGCUGAUGAAGAUGUUGAUGGAGAUUGCCCUCUCCCGAUGAGAGGAGCGUUGAUGAUGAUGAUGGUGAUGAUUUCCCCCUCCGGGAGGGAAAUUUCCCCGGCAGAACAGCCCUGCCAGAACCCAUGAGGUAGGAGGCGCGCCCAGGGGGGUAGAGCGCGCCCCCCACCCUCGUGGGCAAGGUGUGGUCCCCCUGGUGAAGUUCUUGCACUCAAUGUUUUUAUAUAUUUGGAAUACAUCAUCCGUGAAGGUUCAGGACUUCUGGAGCUGUGAAGAAUAGGUCUCUAAUAUUUGCUCCUUUUCCAGCCAGAAUCCCAGCUGCCGGCAUUCUCCCUCUAUAUGUAAACCUUGUAAAAUAAGAGAGAAUAGGCAUAAGUAUUGUGACAUAAUGUGUAAUAACAGCCCAUAAUGCAAUAAAUAUUGAUUAAAAGCAUGAUGCAAAAUGGACAUAUCAGCCCCCGACAUGCUCAUUUCUCUCAGUCGUCCCCCUCCGCCCGACGCCGGCAGCUGCGGUUAGGGUUUCUCCUCCGCCACCACGUGCCACCACCACCGUCGCCGAAGGUAAUGCUCCUCCCCCCUCUCGCUGCCCCUCGACUAGCUGCUCCUCCACCCUCUCGCCGCCGACUCUGUCGCUGCCCGUGAGCUCUGGCCGGGCGCCUUUGGCCGACUGCCCUUGAUCCCCUCGCCGGCCGCUGUCCUCGCCCCCUCUCAUAGGAAAGUCACCGACCUUCCCCUCAUCAGCACCCCCGACCGAGCUCACCAUGCCAUCCCCCCUCCUCGUCAGCACCCCCCGAGGGUUGCCCUACCUAGAUGCAGCAAGGGCUUACAAAUUUCAUAUGGAUAACUAGAUGCUUUUGUUUUUCUGUAAUAAGUUAUUUUUUGCAAAAUGUAGGUGCUAAUUUAGUUGAAAUGCUUUGGUAGGUGGUACAAGUAUUUAAUUUGCAAGUGCUAAGUUAAUCCCAAUUAAAUUUGCCACUUGUUUUUUUAAUCAGUUAUCUUAGGCAAUAGGGGCCAAAUGAGAUGAAAUGUGUCUUGGUAGGUGGUACCUUGAUUUGGUAGAUAACUUAUUACAGAUCUUAGGAUUAUACCUUUGGUAGUGGCCAAAUAGUUUUUUUGGCGAUAGGUGCCCCUGUAAUUGCUUCUCGCGGAAGAAUCUCUUCAUCUAGAGAUAUUCUAGAAGGUGUUAGUUAGCUAAUUGAGAACUUGUUGUCUGUGAGUGUUGUUGGAUGAUUUGGCAUUGGCAUGCUAGCUGUUGGUUCUAUUAUAGAAGGUGUUAGUAAGUUAAUUGAGAGCUUGUUGUUUACUUUUUGGGAUCGGGUUCCACUAUGAAAAUAUAACUGAAGAAGAACCAAAAAUAUCACAUGCUACUAUUUUUCUUUCCUGUGAAGUGGAUCGUUAAUCCUUUGCUCAUAUUGCUUUAGGAAAAUGGCGCCACCACCACCACCACCAUGUCGACUGUGCAAGUCAAGGUGAGCCAAUAGCCUUGCAACUGGCAAGCUGUUCGGCAUCUACUUCCAGCCGAGUUUCCGUCAUGCGGCGGUAAGAAAUUAGAUGAAAUGUAACAACUAUUAUAUUUUUAGUGUUGGCAUUACUGCAUUGUGUCAUGUUGCUUUUUUUACACCGAUCGUCCCAUGCAAUGUGAGGAUCAAAUUCAAUAAGCUGACAGGAGGCACUGUGACAUUUGAGGCUGCUGGGCGGGAGGCGUACACUAUGGAGGUCGAGAAAGGACGCAAUAUGUCGCAGAUUGGAGGAGAUGGAUGGGCCCGUUUCCUCGCCCGCAUGCGUCUUACUGGUGGUGAGUUGAUCAACUUCUCCUUCAGAGCAGAAAGACCCAAGCUGGUUGUCAUUUAUCUCAACCUGGUGGAAGAUGAUGAAGAUGACGAAGAUAAUGAAGAUGACGAAGAUGAUGAAGAUGAUGAUGAUAAUGAGGACCCACUCGAUGAAUAUGAUGAGAACCCACUUCAUGAAGCCAUCGCAGCUUAAAGAAUGAGGCUGGGCGAGGAGGAGGUGUGCAACCUAUGGGACAUAAUUCCGCCACGUGAUGACUUUGUCGGGGUGCCAUUCUUGACCCGCCUGACAAGUACCAUGGUUGAUCGGCAUGAAAUGGUAUGUUGUAACAUCCCAAUUUUUAUUCAAUUUGGAUGUUAAUAGAAUCACUCAAUGCAUAUCAUAUUUCUUUGCAUUAUGGAGUUUUUUUAUAUUCAAAUAAAAUCUUUUCCACUCGAGAAAAACAAGUGAGAGGGGAUAAGAUGACUUCCUCAAAAUAUAAAAGAAAGGGAUAUAUUAUUUUGAAUAUUACUUUAAGUUUUGGAGUUUACUGGUAUUUAUUUUUUAUUUGCAAAAAGUGCAUUAGUUGCAUUAGGAAAAUAUUUUAAAAAUGUUCUGUGCUUUAGUUAAUGUUCAUUAGGCUCUAAAUAUUGCAUAGUUAUUUUAGAAAUUAUUGUGGUGUUUUUAUUUAUUCAUUUGAAUUAUUUAGGGCCACUUUAGUAUUCGGUUUAAAAAAAUGCACACACUCACCGCAGCCUGGACCGAAACUGGGUUCGGCCCAGGAGCGCCUCAACCGGCCCAGCAGGCCAUUUGGCCCAAGGCCAGCGCCCAGCGCCCGACGCCUUCCGCACCGGUCGACCGCCCGCGCCCCCUCUCACUCGCUACGGCCGCUGCCACUGCUAGGCGGGCCCUGCCUCGUCAGCUCGUCCCAACCUCCCGCACGGCGCGGGAUAAACAUCCGCGCCUCGUCGCCGCAACCGCCGGCCGCCUCGCACUCGGAUAGAGCUUAUCCGCAGCUCCCGUGCCCUCUGCCCUCGCCUUUAAAAUCCCCUCGACCACCUCUUCCAUCCUCGCCAUCUCGUUUCUUCCCACGCCGCCUCUACUGCUCGCCAUCGCCGUUCGCAUCUCGCCGGAGCCGCGCCACUCCAUCGUCCAUUUUGUCAUCUGUGGCACCCCUAGCUCUCCUUCCUUUGUCAAUUGGAUCCCCGCGACAACGCGCAUCGUUUUGACACAUUUUUUGCCCCUAGGUACCGUCGGAGCCGCCGCACAGUCAACGCCGGACUCGCCGGAGCUCCGAGGGCCGCCGUCUUCGCCCCGCCCCGUCCGGACGUCGCGUGUCACAUCCCUAGUUCUGGCCUGACCUAUGCUUGCUUCCAUGUGUGCAUCAUGUUUAAUUUUAAAUGAAAUUUGAAUUGAGGAAUUUUCAAAGCCUCAGAAACCUUCUAAAAAUAACCAACAUUUAAAUCUUCUCAAAUGAGUCCAAGAAAAUGUUCCUGUUAUUCCAUAAAAAUAUUGGUAAGAGGUAAAAUUCAAACCAAUAUUUUUGGAGUCUCAGAGAUAUUUAUUUUGACCAUUUGAAUUAAUCCAAUAACUAUUUGCUUUGGAUUUAUAUUUUAUAUAUAUUAAAUAUGACUCCAAUAAUUCUGGAAGUUUGUGAGUGGCUUUGUAUAUAUUUUAGCAAGCCACAUAAAAACCUACAGAAUUUAUAAAAAAUGAUUUAGUGCCUAAAACUAAAUCAAAACAAACUGCAGGAAAUAGAAAAGAGAAAGAAAGAGAGAGAUCUACCUGGCGCCUACCUGUGCGGCCUGCUGCAGAAGCCGGCCCAGCCCACCAGGGGCUCCUCCCCUGUCGUCUUCCUCCCUGCCAGGAGGACGGGCACGCGCCCGGCGCGCGCGGCCACGCGCCCCGGCCACCUCCUCCCUGCCUGGCUGCCUCCUCCUCCCCCUGGACGUCUCCCGCAACGCCACGGAGACGCCCUCGACCCCCUCGACCGCCCCUCUCUCUCUGUACCCCCUCCUCCUCCUCUGCUCUCCCUCCCUCUCGUCACCGAACACACCCGCCGCCGCCGACGAGCACCACCGCGGCCACCGUCCACCCCGUGCCUCUCCGAUGAGUCCAGAGGAACCGCCAUCGCCUUCUGCGUCUUCUACACCAACCCAUUCGACCGCGGGAGCCCUGUAGCGUCUUCUCGGAGCUCGUCCCCAACCUUCGGCCGCCGGCGAACUUUCGAGGAUUCGCGAGCUCCAGCCCCUCCCCGGCCUCGCCGUUGCCUCUACCGGAUCCGCUGUGAGAUCCUCUUCCAUUUCCCCUCCUCCCCGCGCUCGUUCCCGCACUCUAGCCGCCCUUUCACCGGGGCCGUGAGCUCCUCGCCGUCGGCGAUGACGCAGACAAGGCCAGAGCCACCGUAGCUAACUCCCGAGCACGGCAACGUGCUCCACACCUCACCAGGAACCUAACACACACACCAGCUUCCCCUCCCGUGCCCCCUAGCGCCAACCCCGACCCCGCCCGAACUUCGGCGGCCACCUAGGUCGUCGCCGGUGCCGAUUCCGGCCGCCCCGACCCCAACCGACUCCACCAGAAGUUGCGGCAUGUUCCCAGCUACCCAUAGCCACCAUCCGCGGCUCGUUUGGUUGCCGAAACGGCCAAAACCACUCUCGCCGCCACGUCGGGCUCGCCGGCGGCUAAACGCCGGCGACCGUUGACCCUUGACCGGCGUGGGUUGACCCCACUGCCCGGUUUGACUCUCCCCUCUCUCCCACUGACAUGCGGGCCCCGCCCGGCUAACCAAGUUAGUUAGGGUUAAUUUUAAUUAGGUUAGUUAGUCCAGACACUGACACGCGGGACCCACUGUCAGGUUUGACCGGACAAUGACCUGUUGACCUGCUGACGUCACCCCGACGUCAUGCUGACGCAAUUAACAAUUUUCUGGAUUUAUUUUUAUUCAGAAAAUUCCAGAAAAUUGUAUAAACUUCUAAAAUUCAUAGAAAUUCAACCGUAAGUCCAAAUUAAAUAAAUUAUAUAUGAAAAAUUAUCAGAAAAAUUCAAGGAAUCCAUCUGUACCAUUUUCAUGCAUGUUUGAACAAUGUUUGUCCUUUGUUUUGGACAAAACAAAUAAAGGGCAUUUAAAUAAUCAUAUAUGGAGUUGGAAUUUGAAUCAUGUAUUCAAACCAACUUCAUUUAAAACAUAGCUAGGUGCAUUAGCCCAAAACACAUUCAUAUUGCCAUGUCAUGAGCAUGCAUCAUAUUGUGCAUUGCAUUGAUCAUGCUUCUUCUGUGUUUGCCGGUGUUGUUCCCCCUCGAUAGACGUUGUACCGACGAUGUGAUCGUUGACACUGAUGAAGACUCAAUGCUAUCUUCAGAAGUGUCAGGCAAGCAAAACCCCCUUGUUCAUUCUGAUAAAAUCCCACUCUCUCGCUCCUGCUCUCUUUUACUGCAUUAGGACAACAACGACAUAUUUGUUACUUGCUGCGGUAGUUGAACCCCUUUAUCCUCUGCAUGACAUGUCAUUGCCACAGUAAAUAGAUGAAACCCACUAGCAUGAGUAGGAGUUGUUUGAGCCCUGUUGUGCCUACUCAUUCAUGCUUGUUUGUCAUGCCUGCUACUGCUUAGAGUUGAGUCAGGUCUGAUUCAUCGGGGAUGAAUCAGAGGCGUGUGAACAUGUCCUACUAUGUGUGAGCUAAGUGUGUGAUAACGAUUUGGUAAAGGUAGCGGUGAGAGGCCAUGUAGGAGUACAUGGUGGGUUGUCUCAUUGCAGCCGUCCUCAGGAACUGAGUUCUGUGAUUGUGAUCCAUGAUCAGUUACUACCACACAUUGAGCUCCGGGCGCUCCAAGCUCUCUCGACUUAUUAAUCAACUUGAUCUCUGUCCAAGAGUUGCAACUAGUUUCUGGUGUUUGUAGGUAGUGUUAGUAGUCUACCAAGUGGCACCCGGUACAGGUGGGCUUGGGACAGACUAGGCACAGUGGCACGAUGUACCAAGCGUAGAUCCACCCGUCGAGGUGGGCUUGGGAACCCUGCACACAUCGUUUGGGGCCGUGAGCGACACCCCGGCCGGAUCUCCUUGCGGAUGGAACCCGAAUAGGCGAUAAACCUAGACUAGAGACUUGUUCGGUUAGUCAGGUCGUGGCCGACUCCCUCGCCCGGCUUCCGCUUGAAGGUUGCCGAGGUACAUGACGUGUACAGGGCGAUAAGUGGAGAAAGCGUGUGUGAAGAAGUACACCCCUGCAGGGUUAUCACUAUCUAUUCGAAUAGCCGGAUUCCUCGGAUAUGGAAACUUGGACCCCUUGUACAGUUCAUAGACAAGUGAAAGUGGAUACUCUAAAAUAUGCAAGAUAAGAGUGAGUGCUAUGGAUGGCGUUCUCGUAGGGAGACGGGAGCGGAUCCAUAGUGGUGUAUUGAUAUGGUGAAUAUGUGGACUGGUGUGCGCCACCUCAAAAGAGUUACUUGCAGCCGUAGUUCAGGAUAGCCACCGAGUCAAAGCUGGCUUGCUGCAGUCAAACACCACCAUCCCCCUUGUUGAUAAUGAUGCAUAUGUAGAUAGAUCUGAUGUAAGUCUUGCUGGGUACAUUUGUACUCACGUUUGCCUAUUUUAUGUUUUUGCAGAGAGACUUCAGUCUCACUUGUAGUUCCGCGUGGACUUCGACGUUUAGCUUGUUACCUCAGCUACGAUCUUGUGCCCUCGGCAGGAUCUAGUAGAUAGUCAGGCUUCUCAGCCUUUUUCAUUUGUAGAUGUCUGUACUCAGACAUGUUAAGUUUCCGCUUGUGUUUUGAUUUGUAUGCUCUGAUUGUUGGGUCAUGAGAACAAUGUUUGUAAUAUCUCGCUCCUCGGAGCCUAUUGAAUAAAUACUUGAGUUGUAGAGUCUUGUUGUGAUGCCAUGUUGUAUUUGCACAUAUCGAGCGUACUGUGUGUAUGUUAUUGAAAUGCUUGGUAUGUGUGGGAUCUGACUAUCUAGUUGUUUAUCUUUAGUAGCCCCUCUUACCGGGAAAUGUCUCCUAGUGUUUCCACCGAGCCAUGGUAGCUUGCUACUGCUCCGGAACACUUAGGCUGGCCGGCAUGUGUCCUUCUUCGUUCCUGUGUCUGUCCCUUCGGGGAAAUGUCACGCGAUGAAUACCGGAGUCCUGUUAGCCCGCUACAGCCCGGUUCACCGGAGUCCUGCUAGCCCAGUGCUACAGCCUGGAUUCACUCGCUGAUGACCGACACGUUCGAUGCUGGGUCAUGGAUGCCUGUCCCUGUAAGUUUGUGCCACUUUGGGUUUACGACUAGCCAUGUCAGCCCGGGCUCCUUAUCAUAUGGAUGCUAGCGACACUGUCAUAUAUGUGUGCCAAAAGGCGCAAACGGUCCCGGGCAAAGGUAAGGCGACACCCGUGGGAAUACCGUGCGUGAGGCCGCAAAGUGAUAUGAGGUGUUACAUGCUAGAUCGAUGUGGCAUUGAGUCGGAGUCCUGACAGUGUUGGUAUCAGAGCUUGACUGCCUGUAGGAUUACCAAGCCAAACUGGUCGAAGUUGAGUCUAGAAAUUCUUUAGUUAUAAAGGGGAAUUGAUUGUGGGAUGGAACGUAAGGCUCUCUUUACUCCUUAUACCUUAUGCCCUUCUGAUCUGAGUCAUCUUAUCUUUCCUACGGGGAUUAAGAGCUAGGCUAUCUCUUCUUUCUAUCAGGAUCACGUGUUACUAAUCCGUAGACUUAUAAGAUUGUUGGAUUUAAGCUUGAGUUCAGUUUCUACUACUUCCGUACGUUAACUGUUGAUCUCGAAACCUUGAUAUUGUGCUUCUGAGUGGUUAUGCCACCAGUUUUGUGAAUGUCUCAAAUCUUUUCUGAGCAUUUACAGCCGUUAUGCUGUCCGAGUCAUCCCAGGUUUCCAAAGAGUCUUAUGCAUUUGCAAAAUCCUUUUCCUCUGGUUUCAAUGUCUUUUAAGCCAGGUUAAUCACACAAAUUGUUGAGUUGAGGUACUCUACUACCUCGACCUUUAUGUUGGGGUUAUUAUUAUGACCCUAGGUGUCUCAGGGGAUCAUCUAGUGGUCUAGCCAUGAUCUGUGUUUCCAGUGUGAUGAUUCUGGCCGUCAUUUUCAAAAGCAUCCCGUGAUGCCACUUAGUAGUAGGUAUUCUAUUCCUGGGUUUUGAACCCGAGAUUCACCCCAUUUACCUCAUGUUGAUAGUGUUGCUAGUUCCUUUAGGAAAUUAGUAACUUUUGCAUUAGUCCUCGAGGUCCAUGGUAUUUUCCUUCUUUCAAAUACUAUGAACCACUUAUGGCAGUAGUUUGUUGGAUCAAAAGAUCAUAACAGGAGUGCUCUCCAUGGGUUCUCUAUUCUAUAUUGUGACUCUGCCAGCUCAACCUUUCUGCAUGGGUUAUCCGGAAGAAUUAUGCUGAACUUUGUUCGGCAUACCAAUCCAUGUACCCACAACUCAGAAAGUUAUAUGUUCCUUUGAGUUGUCCCUCUUUAGUUGUCUACUGACCUUCGUCUAUCAAUUGAUAGUCAAGAGUAUGCGUGCGUUCGUUUAUCGAUGCCUAUUACUCUUGUGGUCCGUCAAGCCAUUCUAUCGUGGAAUGAUUAGUAGAAACAAACUCCAGAACCUCAUCCAUAUCUAGGAUUGGGUCAAAGCAAUUGUAUUCCGCAGAUCAAGUUGCAAUCCAGCUUCUGAUCUGUUCUACCUUGAAGUAUUACCAUCUUUAUAUCAGGAAUAUCAUGGGAAUUGCACACCAUCUUAUGAAUUCUUGACGCAGUAAUACUUCUUAUCAUCAUUGAUAAUUUCUCGGUUUCCGUGUUAUUAUAACCGGAAUGCCGGCAAGUGAAUCGUGGUGUGUGAAACCAAUACUCCUAGCAACCUUGUUGCUUGGUAGUUAAAUGGACAACAACCUCAUUCUUAGCAUGCUGAUUAUUGAGUCAUCAUUCUAAGAUUGAUCGUGCUACCUAGUCCUUAUUUCUGGUGCACCCUCUGAUCAAUGAGUUAGGAUUGUGUCAAUACCUUGCUCUGUUGAUCAUAUCGUCUUGCCCUCAAAAGCGAGAUUGUUCCCGAGCUUAGUAACAUACCGAUGGUUCGUGAUUUUCCGAAUAUCUUCUCAGAAGUAUUACCAGGUUGUCACCUGACCGCUAUGUUGGGUUCGUGAUCAAGUUGGUUUAUUGCUGUAAACCACCCCUUCUCCAAGAGUCUGUGUUGGAUACCCUGAGCAAGUUGGUUAAGCUAGACAACAACUUGGAGAGUUGGAAGAUAAAAGCUUGCCUGACUUAGUUCAUUCCAAAGGGAUAUUCUUGCGUAGUGUGUAUUGAAGAAAGAUGAUAUCUUCAUCAAUUGGUCCUUGUGAUCAAUUGUUGGAUCUAUUAUCUUACCCAAACCUUUAAUUGAGUAUGGGAUAUCAUCAAAUCAAAUCAGAACCAACGAUAUUCGUAAUGUUGUCUUCCUCGUGGUUUUUCCUCGAGCAUACACCAUUAUAUUCUUUGGUCUGACCAAUGCUAUCACUUGUUCACUUAACUAUGGAAUUCCUUUUAAAAGGGAACCUGGAUGAAUUGUUGUUGAGCCCAUCGACAACAUCCUUAUCUCCUCCAUGAUUUUGUUGAACAUUAAGUUAGUGUUGGGAACUUUGUAAGAAAUGCCUUCGUGUCCCGUUCAUGGAGCCUAUGCUUGGAUGGAAGAAAUGACUUCCUCUAAUUCAUGUGCAUUUGAUGUAAGUUGCCGCCGUGCAUUCAAGAAAGUUUGUUUUUGCUCCUCUGGAAUCAUCCCCAGUCAGUCAUGCAUGUGCGAAGUAUUCUAUGGUCCGAUAGACUGAUCAUCCUCAUUCCAUAUGUAUCCCCUAGCACAUCAAGCCACUGAUUGAUUUGUUCCAGGAGAAGGAGUUCCUUCUUAAGAGCAAGACUUAUGCAAGGACUUCGAUAUCCUCGAUGAUGGUUUCCCUCCUGAACUCGAUAGUGUUUUAUUAUAAGACUACCAUGUGGUCAUGCUUGUCUGGGACAACAUGUUCACAUGUUUGUAGCAGAACCAGCUCAUGUUUUGGAGCUUGCUAUCACAGUUCGUCCCUCGAGAAUCUCACAACGUCAUUUCGUCGAUUUGUGUUGCAAACUUUCAUUUUUCUUCCUAGACUCGAUGAGUCUGGAAUAUCCUGACACCAACCAGAUCUGAAUCUCAGGCAGAUAUGAUGGUUUGGAACAUUUCCCAAGAACUAUAAUAUCGGUCCCGCGGAAACCGGUAAAGUGGAUGUCGUGGCCAACACACCCAGCCGGAAGACCUGUUAUUAUAAUAUCUUGAUUGAGGAAGUUGGCCACCUCCCCAUAAGGACUUCGUAGGAUUUACCCCCUAGCUAUGCCUUAUGAUUUUUGUGUUUCCGAAGUCCGACCUUUACUUGAUGUUCUAGAUACUAGACCAUUUCAAGGAAUGGGAUACGCUAGUACAUCAAGGAGAACAUUAGAAGCGGAGUGCUAAAUGUCUCUCGGUCGAUCAUUCAGAUUUUGUUUCCGUGGCUCUGCCAAGGUGAAAUCUGAGAAAGUGUUAUCCUCCUUUGCUUCUGCAUCUUCCACCGGUAUUCAUCAUGGUAGUAUGAUGUGUUGCCAGGAUCCUUGACACGAAUGUUGGUAAAACCUUGAUGAAUAUGGAAAUGCUCAAGUUCUUGAGAGCACGCGCAAGCGCUAGGUGUUAUCAUCGGCACUAACUGGGUUUGCUCUCAGCUUCCUCGGUUAUGCUAUAACUUCUCAAACAGUGAAUUCACUCUCUAUUGCUGGGUUCUUCCCCAAUUACCAGAAUCAUUCCCAGCAUUUGCAUUUUGUUCCCAGCUUGCACCGCCAUUGUGCCAUUCUACCAUGGGUCUCUUCCAUUUCUGGUGGUAAGCAAAUUCAUCCAUUACAUUGUCUUCAACAAGGUAAUCCACAUCAUCCAAGUCCGAGUAUGCCAUUCUACCGACCCCCGCCAAUCGAUUGCUGUGAUUUGCCUUAGGCUGAUAUAGAGAGUCUCAAUGAUCUCUAUAUCAAAAGUAAUUCUUUUUGCCACCUAAGGGGAUAUAUCUACGAGUCACCAUCCCUCAGGCGUCUCGUUGUGGUAUCAUGGCAACUCAACUCCUCGCUACGUUGACAACCGUUCACCACCCUCUUAGGUGUGGAAUUGUUGUCUACUUAGUGAGCCCUCGUCAUCUGUCUUACUCCAUUUCUUCAGAUGUAUGCUUCGUGUCUCAGCUCAAGAGAUGUUGCUAUGACUCACCUUGUGAGCUGAUCCUAAGUUGAUUGAUCUUCGAGAAGAUCGAUUCUUCCGGAGUUGUCCUUUUCCUCUUGCUGUCAUGCUAGUUGGAGCUCUCAGAGCUAGACGACAAGACAAAGAUGGUGAUUGAAUCAACGUUCAUUUGAAGUGCAACCUGGAUCGUGAAGAUUAUACUAGUUUGCGUUUCCCCUUCAUCUUACCCUACGCUUGAAUCUCGAGACGAGAUUCUUGUUUAGUGGGGGUGAGUUGUCACAUCCCUAGUUCUGGCCUGACCUAUGCUUGCUUCCAUGUGUGCAUCAUGUUUAAUUUUAAAUGAAACUUGAAUUGAGGAAUUUUCAAAGCCUCAGAAACCUUCUAAAAAUAACCAACAUUCAAAUCUUCUCAAAUGAGUCCAAGAAAAUGUUCCUGUUAUUCCAUAAAAAUAUUGGUAAGAGGUAAAAUUCAAACCAAUAUUUUUGGAGUCUCAGAGAUAUUUAUUUUGACCAUUUGAAUUAAUCCAAUAACUAUUUGCUUUGGAUUUAUAUUUUAUAUAUAUUAAAUAUGACUCCAAUAAUUCUGGAAGUUUGUGAGUGGCUUUGUAUAUAUUUUAGCAAGCCACAUAAAAACCUACAGAAUUUAUAAAAAAUGAUUUAGUGCCUAAAACUAAAUCAAAACAAACUGCAGAAAAUAGAAAAGAGAAAGAAAGAGAGAGAUCUACCUGGCGCCUACCUGUGCGGCCUGCUGCAGAAGCCGGCCCAGCCGACCAGGGGCUCCUCCCCUGUCGUCUUCCUCCCUGGCAAGAGGACGGGCACGCGCCCGGCGCGCGCGGCCACGCGCCCCGGCCACCUCCUCCCUGCCUGGCUGCCUCCUCCUCCCCCUGGACGUCUCCUGCAACGCCACGGAGACGCCCUCGACCCCCUCGACCGCCCCUCUCUCUCUGGACCCCCUCCUCCUCCUCUGCUCUCCCUCCCUCUCGUCACCGAACACACCCGCCGCCGCCGACGAGCACCACCGCUGCCACCGUCCACCCCGUGCCUCUCCGAUGAGUCCAGAGGAACCGCCAUCGCCNNNNNNNNNNNNNNNNNNNNNNNNNNNNNNNNNNNNNNNNNNNNNNNNNNNNNNNNNNNNNNNNNNNNNNNNNNNNNNNNNNNNNNNNNNNNNNNNNNNNNNNNNNNNNNNNNNNNNNNNNNNNNNNNNNNNNNNNNNNNNNNNNNNNNNNNNNNNNNNNNNNNNNNNNNNNNNNNNNNNNNNNNNNNNNNNNNNNNNNNNNNNNNNNNNNNNNNNNNNNNNNNNNNNNNNNNNNNNNNNNNNNNNNNNNNNNNNNNNNNNNNNNNNNNNNNNNNNNNNNNNNNNNNNNNNNNNNNNNNNNNNNNNNNNNNNNNNNNNNNNNNNNNNNNNNNNNNNNNNNNNNNNNNNNNNNNNNNNNNNNNNNNNNNNNNNNNNNNNNNNNNNNNNNNGAAAGAGAGAGAUCUACCUGGCGCCUACCUGUGCGGCCUGCUGCAGAAGCCGGCCCAGCCGACCAGGGGCUCCUCCCCUGUCGUCUUCCUCCCUGGCAAGAGGACGGGCACGCGCCCGGCGCGCGCGGCCACGCGCCCCGGCCACCUCCUCCCUGCCUGGCUGCCUCCUCCUCCCCCUGGACGUCUCCUGCCACGCCACGGAGACGCCCUCGACCCCCUCGACCGCCCCUCUCUCUCUGGACCCCCUCCUCCUCCUCUGCUCUCCCUCCCUCUCGUCACCGAACACACCCGCCGCCGCCGACGAGCACCACCGCUGCCACCGUCCACCCCGUGCCUCUCCGAUGAGUCCAGAGGAACCGCCAUCGCCUUUUGCGUCUUCUACACCAACCCAUUCGACCGCGGGAGCCCUGUAGCGUCUUCUCGGAGCUCGUCCCCAACCUUCGGCCGCCGGCGAACUUUCGAGGAUUCGCGAGCUCCAGCCCCUCCCCGGCCUCGCCGUUGCCUCUACCGGAUCCGCUGUGAGCUCCUCUUCCAUUUCCCCUCCUCCCCGCGCUCGUUCCCGCACUCUAGCCGCCCUUUCACCGGGGUUGUGAGCUCCUCGCCGCCGGCGAUGACGUAGACAAGGCCAGAGCCACCGUAGCUAACUCCCGAGCACGGCAACAUGCUCCACACCUCACCAGGAACCUAACACACACACCAGGUUCCCCUCCCGUGCCCCCUAGCGCCAACCCCGACCCCGCCCGAACUCCGACGGCCACCUAGGUCGUCGCCGGCGCCGAUUCCGGCCGCCCCGACCCUAACCGACUCCACCAGAAGUUGCGGCAUGUUCCCAGCUACCCAUAGCCACCCUCCGCGGCUUGUUUGGUUGCCGAAACGGCCAAAACCACUCUCGCCGCCGCGUCGAGCUCGCUGGCGGCUAAACGCCGGCGACCGUUGACCCUUGACCGGCGUGGGUUGACCCCACUGCCCGGUUUGACUCUCCCCUCUCUCCCACUGACAUGCGGGCCCCGCCCGGCUAACCAAGUUAAUUAGGGUUAAUUUUAAUUAGGUUAGUUAGUCCAGACACUGACACGCGGGACCCACUGUCAGGUUUGACCGGACAAUGACCUGUUGACCUGCUGACGUCACCCCGACGUCAUGCUGACGCAAUUAACAAUUUUCUGGAUUUAUUUUGAUUCAGAAAAUUCCAGAAAAUUGUAUAAACUUCUAAAAUUCAUAGAAAUUCAACCGUAACUCCAAAUUAAAUAAAUUAUAUAUGAAAAAUUAUCAGAAAAAUUCAAGGAAUCCAUCUGUACCAUUUUCAUGCAUGUUUGAACAAUGUUUGUCCUCUGUGUUGGACAAAACAAAUAAAGGGCAUUUAAAUAAUCAUAUAUGGAGUUGGAAUUUGAAUCAUGUAUUCAAACCAACUUCAUUUAAAACAUAGCUAGGUGCAUUAGCCCAAAACACAUUCAUAUUGCCAUGUCAUGAGCAUGCAUCAUAUUGUGCAUUGCACUGAUCGUGCUUCUUCUGUGUUUGCCGGUGUUGUUCCCCCUCGAUAGACGUUGUACCGACAAUGUGAUCGUUGACACUGAUGAAGACUCAAUGCUAUCUUCAGAAGUGCCAGGCAAGCAAAACCCUCUUGUUCAUUCCGAUAAAAUCCCACUCUCUCGCUCCUGCUCUCUUUUACUGCAUUAGGAAAACAACGACAUAUUUGUUACUUGCUGCGGUAGUUGAACCCCUUUAUCCUCUGCAUGACCUGUCAUUGCCACAGUAAAUAGAUGAAACCCACUAGCAUGAGUAGGAGUUGUUUGAGCCCUGUUGUGCCUACUCAUUCAUGCUUGUUUGUCAUGCCUGCUACUGCUUAGAGUUGAGUCAGGUCUGAUUCAUCGGGGAUGAAUCAGAGGCGUGUGAACAUGUCCUACUGUGUGUGAGCUAAGUGUGUGAACACGAUUUGGUAAAGGUAGCGGUGAGAGGCCAUGUAGGAGUACAUGGUGGGUUGUCUCAUUGCAGCCGUCCUCAGGAACUGAGUUCUGUGUUUGUGAUCCAUGAUCAGUUACUACCACACAUUGAGCUCCGGGCGCUCCAAGCUCUCUCGACUUAUUAAUCAACUUGAUCUCUGUCCAGGAGUUGCAACUAGUUUCUGGUGUUUGUAGGUAGUGCUAGUAGUCUACUAAGUGGCACUCGGUACAGGUGGGCUUGGGACAGACUAGGCACAGUGGCACGGUGUACCAAGCGUAGAUCCACCCGUCGAGGUGGGCUUGGGAACCCUGCACACAUCGUUUGGGGCCGUGAGCGACACCCUGGCCAGAUCUCCUUGCGGAUGGAACCCGAAUAGGCGAUAAACCUGGACUAGAGACAUGUUCGGUUAGUCAGGUCGUGGCCGACUCCCUCGCCCGGCUUCCGCUUGAAGGUUGCCGAGGUACAUGACGUGUACAGGGCGAUAAGUGGCGAAAGCGUGUGUGAAGAAGUACACCCCUGCAAGGUUAUCACUAUCUAUUCGAAUAGCCGGAUUCCUCGGAUAUGGAAACUUGGACCCCUUGUACAGUUCAUAGACAAGUGAAAGUGGAUACUCUAAAAUACGCAAGAUAAGCAUGAGUGCUAUGGAUGGCGUUCUCGUAGGGAGACGGGAGCGGAUCCAUAGUGGUGUAUUGAUAUGGUGAAUAUGUGGACUCGUGUGCGCCACCUCAAAAGAGUUACUUGCAGUCGUAGUUCAGGAUAGCCACCGAGUCAAAGCUGGCUUGCUGCAGUCAAACACCACCAUCCCCCUUGUUGAUAAUGAUGCAUAUGUAGAUAGAUCUGAUGUAAGUCUUGCUGGGAACAUUUGUACUCACGUUUGCCUAUUUUAUGUUUUUGCAGAGAGACUUCAGUCUCACUAGUAGUUCCGCGUGGACUUCGACGUUUAGCUUGUUACCUCAGCUACGAUCUUGUGCCCUCGGCAGGAUCUAGUAGAUAGUCAGGCUUCUCAGCCUUUUUCAUUUGUAGAUGUCUGUACUCAUACAUGUUAAGUUUCCGCUUGUGUUUUGAUUUGUAUGCUCUAUUGUUGGGUCAUGAGACCCAUGUUUGUAAUAUCUCGCUCCUCGGAGCCUAUUGAAUAAAAUACUUGAGUUGUAGAGUCUUGUUGUGAUGCCAUGUUGUAUUUGCACAUAUCGAGCGUAUUGUGUGUAUGUUAUUGAAAUGCUUGGUAUGUGUGGGAUCUGACUAUCUAGUUGUUUAUCUUUAGUAGCCCCUCUUACCGGGAAAUGUCUCCUAGUGUUUCCACCGAGCCAUGGUAGCUUGCUACUGCUCCGGAACACUUAGGCUGGCCGGCAUGUGUCCUUCUUCGUUCUUGUGUCUGUCCCUUCGGGGAAAUGUCACGCGAUGAAUACCGGAGUCCUGUUAGCCCGCUACAGCGCGGUUCACCGGAGUCCUGCUAGCCCAGUGCUACAGCCUGGAUUCACUCGCUGAUGACCGACACGUUCGAUGCUGGGUCAUGGAUGCCUGUCCCUGUAAGUUUGUGCCACUUUGGGUUUACGACUAGCCAUGUCAGCCCGGGCUCCUUAUCAUAUGGAUGCUAGCGACACUGUCAUAUACGUGUGCCAAAAGGCGCAAACGGUCCCGGGCAAAGGUAAGGCGACACCCGUGGGAAUACCGUGCGUGAGGCCGCAAAGUGAUAUGAGGUGUUACAUGCUAGAUCGAUGUGGCAUUGAGUCGGGGUCCUGACAUCGCGGACGCACGCUGACACCACCUUCGCGACGCCCAAGCCGCGCCGCACCUUCCCGUCUUCUUCCCCGACACCGAGGACCGACGUAGCCACCGUCCCCUCCGCCACAGAUGCCGCGCCGCCGUCUUCGUCGUCGCCGGCCACCACCACCACCCACUGUAAGCCGCCGCCCCACUCCCGCCCGUUAGAUCGAUCCUCGACGGCCCAGAUUAGAUUAGGUUCGGUUUUUUUAUUUUGUGAAGAGGUACGCGGUUAACCGCGGUUCCCUUAGACCAUGCGGUUUAUUUAAACCGAGCAUCGGUUUUCUUUAAUUAGCCACAGCCGUUGUUUUUUUUUCUUAUUUAGCGGCCGUUCGCCGUAUAUCCUCCGCAGCGGACGCUGCUCGGCCAGCCAGGAGCCGCCACAUGGCCAGGGACCUGUUUGCAGUAGUUUUCUUCACCAUUUAGUCCCUGUAAAUAGCAGAUUAGUCCCUGAUCCUAGAUUAGCCAUAACAUUUUAACCGUAGAUCCAAACUCGAUGAAACCAGCGGCAAAUUCUUCGUAUUGUUUAGAUCUAUACAGUAGCAUAGUUUUGCAAACUUUUUUUGGUUUUCAAAUUUGAAUUUAUUCAGAUUCGAAUUCAAACUUCAAAUAGCCAUAUCUCCCAAGCCAUAGCUCCAAUUAAGUUCAUUCCUUUUGCAUGUUGUCACCGUAGCAAAACCCUAUCACCUGGACCAUUGUCACAAUAAUUUUCACACACUAGAUUCUGCCCUUCAAUAUUUUUACUAGUAUGCAUAGUAUGCAAUAUACUUCACAUCACUUCCGGAACCAUAGGCCCAUGUUGUUUUACACUUAGAAUAUUUUUCAUGCUAGUGUGAUGUUUGUUCAUUUGGUUUUUCCGAGACUUUUGCUUUGCAUGUUCUUCUUGGUUCUCUGGAUUGUUUCUUAUGUUUGUUUAUCUUCCUUGCGAUAGAUUUCCCAGAGUGCGAAGCAGAAUAUUAUCAGUCUUUAGAAUUCAACCAGCAGUACCAAGGCAAGUUGCAUCUUGAUCAUGUUUCAUUACCUAUGUUUUUAUUAUGCACUUAGUUCUUUGCGGUAGGACUGCAUGGUAUGAAACUGGUGCCACAUGACUUUGCUUUUCACCCAGUAGUUCAUUGAGGUAGGUCUGAACCAUAUAACUUUGUCACCAUCGUCUUACUUUAUGUUGCUAUGCUAAGUAGACGUGGAUUGGGAAGUGAUCAUUGUGAGAGAUGAGUGACAAUGUAGUAAAUAAGACCUAAGUUAUAAAAAUGAACUACCUGGGCGGAAACUUGUGGGAAUGGUGGCGAAGUAGAGUGGGGCAUGCAUGGGAAAUCCAUGGUGGCGCACCACUAGUGGACCGUCCGCUCAGGCUCAAAGAGAUCAAUCGUAUUCUCAUGUCUAGAAGCUUACGUGUGCAACCACUUGCCAAUAUGGGCUCUGGCUUAGCUGAGUAGUUAGUGUGCCCCCUUCCGGGAUGGGCUAGCAGAUAUAGAAUGAUGUAGGUGUACCGGCCUAUCCGUGGGUUAAGGGGGAACAUUUUCGAAAGGCAAUGUCUCGAUCUUCUGAUCAUGGAGGUGGUCGAGUCUUGUGGGGAAAAGUGCACAACCUCUGCAGAGUUUUCAACCUAAUCGAUUAGCCGUGUCCCAGGUUACGGACAACUUGAGCAUCUAGUAGUGGGAAAUGUCGGGACAUCUCCUCACCUUUAAUUAAACAAUUGGGUUUGAAAUGAAACUUGGGGACGGAUGGAGUUGGAUUUUCCAACUCAUCCUAUGCAAAUGUGUAGUAGUAGAAUAACAAUAUUUUCAAAUAGGGAAAAACUAGCUUUAUGCAAAAAACUAAACUUAGAGUUUUCCACCAGCCAAACUGCAUGUAAAAGUAGAUUCAUUGCACUAUGAUGUGACUUGCCAGUACAUUUAAUGUACUGACCCAUUUGGUUGCAACUUAUCACAUUGUAGAUAUAUCAGACGAGGAUUAAGGUGUGGUAGGUCGAUGUUCUACACGCAACCUUGCUCGUGGUGUUGGACUCAUUUACUUCUUUGCUUCUGCAGUAUUUGCUUAUUGGCUUUCUGCCCUAUUUUGUAAUAAAUGUAUUGCUCCUGGACUAUCGAUGUAAUAAAGAGAUGUGUGUUAUUUCUGUUAUUUCAUCGAGUACUGUGUGCUAGCAAGUCGAUCCAGGGACUAGCACGGUAAGCACAGAGACUUCGACUCUUACCGAGUCGGGUCGCUACAAGAUCGUAUUAGAGCACACGUUGACUGUAGGACACGACCCAUAGAAAUGGAGAAAAGCCAUAGGAUAAAAACUAUAGUUUUCAUUUUCCAUAUAUAUGCUUUCGUCUCGUACCUUCUCUACUUCAAUACUAAUUUCUUCUCUUUUUCAAAAUGUAGAUGUCGUCCGCCCUUGUUGAGUUCGAGCAGCCCGAUGAGACCAUGCCCUUUGGAAGGCAGCUGGUGAAGAUCACAAAGCACCCGAAGAUUGGGCUUCCCACAUUCACUGGAACCUUCACCGCCACCCUGCCCGAGGAGAAACAUUGGAGGAUCAAUGCUCAUAUCCCCGGACGCAUCGUCAGAAACCGCACCAAGCCCAUUGAUUUCCAUGUGGAUACCGCAACAUGGGGCUUGGGCAGGGGUAUCGCUGCUCACAUUGCUCUCAUACGCAUUCGGGAGGUGUAUGACGAAGACCUCAAGAGGACCUCCUUCGUGAUGUACGGACGCCGCGACGCAAAUGGAGAUGUGGACCGUACCCUGGAGGACCAGACAAUAGCAUCCCAUAUCCAGGACAUGGUGGAGCACAUUCGUAUAAUGGAGCUGGAGCUAUCCGACAACAUGGUCGUCAUCAAGAACCUCAUGACCCGCAAGGCCGAGAUAGAGGAGGAGCUCCAGGACGCUCGCAUCGAGCAUGAAGGAGAGUUGGAUGCACUGCAUGAGAAGAUACACGACCUGAAGCUUGAGCUCAAGGAGGCCGAGGAGAAGCUGGAUGAGGGAGAAAACAUCCAGGAGGAUCACUCGUAUGGUGCCUAUGUCAGCUAGGAGAGAGACCAAAAUUAUGAGCUCGGAGAUGACGACACAAAGAGCGAUGCAAGGACACCCGAUGUCGACAUGGUUGGCUGGUCCUCAUCUGAUGAGAGUUAGAUUUUAUACCACCAUGAGAGUUUAGAAAUUCGAUUUGGUUAUCCGAUUAGUUUUAUUUCAUUUGUAAGACGUUGUCAAAUCUUGUGACAUGGCUUACCUUAGGUUUGAUUAUUCAUGUGAACCUCUUUGUUUGAAAUUGAAUUGGAGUGAUUUGAAGUUUUAUUGCUAUCAUGUGCAUAUGGGUAGUGCGAUUUUACUCGCUAGGCCUUGUUCUAUUCUAACUCCUCAUCCACUCUGAAACCCAUCAUAUGCCUCCAAGAGGUGACCCCGGAUUCAAUUUUCCGCCGGAGCUUACGAAAUUGAUCCAGCAACAUAAUGCUCUUAUGCAGAUGCUCAUUCAGAACCAGAACCAGAACAACAACAACAACAACCCACCGCCGCCACCCCCGGUUGAUAGUCUUACCCGUUUUCUGAGGCUGAACCCACCCGUGUUCUCCAGCAGCACGGAGCCGAUCGUCGCAGCUGACUGGCUCCGCAAGAUAGGAAGGGAGCUGGCCACGGCAGGAUGCAAUGAUGCGGAGAAGGUGAAGUUUGCUGCCCACCAGCUGGAUGGACCGACAGCUACUUGGUGGGAGAACUACACCACCACAUACCCCAUGGAGAAUGUGACUUGGGGUCAGUUCCAGCGGGCGUUCCGCACUACUCAUGUUUUAGCUAGAGCCAUGAGUCUGAAGAAGAAGGAGUUCCGCAGCUUGCGCCACGGAGGACGCACGGUAUCUCAGUAUGUUGAUGAGUUCAGUAAGUUGGCCCGUUACGCCCCAGAGGACGUGGCCACCGAUGCAGCCAAGCAGGAGAAGUUUCUGGAGGGACUGAACGGUGAGUUGGGAGUUCAGUUGACUGUGGCAAAAUUUUCGGACUAUUAGGAGCUGGUUGAUAAGGCUAUCAUUCUUGAAGGCAAGCACUAUCAGAUGGAGAAUCAUAAGAGGAAGUACGGUCACGGGAAGUAUAACUCGGGAGUUCAACAGGAACCCUGCUACAGCCCGUACUCAGGGAGUUCUGGAUCAGGCACUAGCCAGUUUGGAGGGAAUCACCGUAACCAUGGGGGCCACAUUCAUCAUGGACGGAAUGGACACAACCACCAUGGUCAGAAGCAGGGCAAUGUUAAUGGAGGAAAUGGCAAUCAACAACAUUUCAAUUCUUCCACACCGAUGAAGAAGGACCUGAGUCCCAUCACCUGCUUCAAGUGCAAGAAGACAGGUCACUACUCCAAGGAGUGCCCUAAGGCGCAGAAUGGAAAUGGAAAUGGCAAUGGGAAUUCUGGAGGCAAGAAGCCCAAUCCUUUCACUAAGGGACAUGUGAAUCAUGUCAAUGUGGAAGAGGUUUAUGAGCAGCCUGACGUAGUGAUUGGUAAGCUCUUGGUUAAUUCAUUUCCAGCACUCAUUCUUUUUGACACUGGUGCAUCGCAUUCAUUCAUAUCAAGGGGAUUUGUGGAUAAACAUAAGUUGCCUACCAUAGCUCUUAAGGUACCCAUUGUAGUGAGUUCCCCAGGAGCCGAGUCUAUGGCUAGUCAGGGAUGUCUCCAAUUGCCUUUGAACAUAGGGGGACAUGUUUUUCCCACAGAUAUGAUUAUACUAGAAUCGCAAUGGUUGGAUGUAAUCCUAGGGAUGGAUUGGAUGUCCAAGUAUGAGGGAAACAUUGAUUAUGCUAGUAGAUCGAUUUUUCUCACCACCCCGGAGAAGAAGAGGAUCAAGUACGUAUCCAGGCUUAAGCCUAAGAGGACUCAGGUGAACUCUCUUACGGGAGUUGUCCAGGAAGAAGUACCAGUGAUGAAGGAUUAUCCCGAUGUAUUUCCGGAUGAGUUACUGGGUAUGCCGCCAGACCGGAAGAUUGAGUUUUUGAUUGAGUUGCUACCAGGCACAGGGCCUAUCUCCAAGAGGCCGUAUCGAAUGCCUGCUAAUGACUUGGAGGAAGUCAAGAAACAGAUUAAGGAGUUACUAGAGAAAGGGUAUAUUCGCCCGAGUUCAUCACCUUGGGGAGCCCCAGUACUUUUAGUGGAGAAGAAGGAUGGAACCUUGAGAAUGUGUGUGGAUUACCGCUCUUUGAAUGAGGUGACCAUCAAGAACAAGUAUCCCCUACCGAUGAUCAAUGACUUGUUUGACCAGCUAGAAGGAGCUAGUGUUUUCUCCAAGAUCGAUCUUCGAUCGGGUUAUCACGAGUUGAAGAUUCGUGAGAAGGAUAUACCCAAGACAGCCUUUACCACAAGGUAUGGGCUUUAUGAGUACACAGUCAUGUCCUUUGGUUUGACAAAUGCCCCUGCCUAUUUUAUGAACAUGAUGAACAAAGUAUUCAUGGAGUUCCUAGAUAAGUUUGUUGUGGUUUCAUUGAUGACAUAUUGGUUUACUCCAAGAAUGAGGAGGAACACGCUGAACAUCUGCGCUUGGUUUUGGAGAAGAUCAGAGAACAUCAACUUUAUGCCAAGUUCAGCAAGUGUGAGUUUUGGCUGAAGGAAGUCGGAUUCCUUGGACAUAUAGUGUCAGGUGAAGGGAUUGCAGUGGACCCUACCAAGGUAGAGUCAGUCACGGAAUUGAAUGCACCCACCGCAGUUGGCGAGAUUCGUAGUUUUCUUGGGCUCGUAGGAUAUUACCGUAAAUUUAUUGAAAAUUUCUCCAAGAUUGCCAGGCCCAUGACAUCAUUGUUGAAAAAGGACACCAAGUUCGUUUGGACUGAAGAGUGUGAAGCCAACUUUCAAGAGUUGAAGAAGCGUUUGGUUACAGCCCCAGUGUUAGUCAUGCCUGACGUACACAAGGACUUUCAGGUGUAUUGUGAUGCUUCACGUCAGGGACUUGGAGGUGUUCUUAUGCAAGAGGGGAAGGUUGUAGCUUAUGCUUCACGACAGCUUCGACCUCAUGAGUUGAACUAUGCCACGCAUGAUUUGGAGUUGGCAGCUGUAGUGCAUGCACUCAAGACAUGGAGACACUAUCUUAUUGGGAAUCGUUGUGAUGUUUACAUGGAUCACAAGAGUUUGAAGUAUAUCUUCACGCAGAAAGAGUUGAAUCUCAGGCAAAGGAGAUGGUUGGAACUUAUAAAGGAUUAUGACAUGAGUCUGCAUUAUCAUCCAGGAAAAGCCAACAUUGUGGCAGAAGCUUUGAGCCGUAAGAGUUAUGUUAAUACCCUUACAGGAGGAGGUUUACCUCAGGAGUUAUGUGAUGAGCUUAGAGACCUUCAAUUGGAAAUAGUCCCAAGAGGUUGUGUUGCCGCACUCAAGGUGCAGUCCACCUUGUUGGUAAGAAUCAGAGAAGCCUAGAAGUUGGACCAAGGUAUUGCUGAGAUCAAAUAAAUGAUGAGCAAAGGGAAAGCAGAAGGAUUCCGUGAAGAUGAAGAUGGAACCAUAUGGUUUGAGCAAUGGAUUUGUGUACCCAAUGACCCAGAGAACAGGAAGUUGAUUCUUCAGGAGGCUCACGACUCACCGUAUUCGAUACACCCAGGCAAUACCAAGAUGUAAUUGGACUUGAAGGAAAGUUUUUGGUGGGCCAGUAUGAAGCGAGAAAUUGCCGAGUAUGUGGCAAUAUGUGAUGUAUGUCAGAGAGUAAAGGCAGAACAUCAGAAACCAGCAGGAUUACUUCAGCCGUUGCCGAUACCUGAUUGGAAAUGGGAUAAACUUGGUAUGGACUUUAUCACGGGGUUACCCAGGACCCGUUCAGGUUAUGAUUCCAUUUGGGUGAUAGUGGAUCGUUUGACCAAGGUUGCUCACUUCAUUCCAGUAAAGACCACCUAUACAAGUGCUAAGCUAGCAAGGAUAUAUAUGACCAGGAUCGUAUGUCUGCAUGGAGUUCCAAGGAGCACCGUAUCGGAUAGAGGAACACAGUUUACCUCAAAGUUUUGGAAACAGUUACACGAAACUUUGGGUCCCAGGCUAGAGUUCAGUACAGCCUCCACCCACAGACUGAUGGGCAGACAGAGAGAGUCAUUCAGAUUCUAGAGGACAUGUUGAGAGCGUGUGCGCUAGACUAUGGGUCUAGUUGGGAUGAUAACUUACCCUACACAGAGUUCUCAUACAACAACAGCUACCAAGCCGGUUUGCAGAUGGCCCCUUUCGAGGCAUUGUAUGGAAGGAAAUGCAGGACACCCUUGAUGUGGGAUGGAGUUGGAGAUCGCAAGUUGUUUGGACCUGACUUGAUCAGGGAUUCUGAGGAGAUGGUCAAAUUGAUUCAUGACAGACUUAAGAUAGCCCAGUCAAGGCAGAAAAGUUAUGCCGAUGCUAAACGCAAGGAAGUGAUCUAUGAAGUGGAAGAUAGAGCGUAUCUUCGAGUGUCUCCACUUUGAGGUAUUAAAAGAUUUGGAGUCAAAGGGAAGUUAGCACCAUGAUUUGUGGGUCCAUACAAAGUUCUAGAACACAGAGGAGAGGUUGCAUACCAGUUGGAAUUACCGGAGGCUUUGUCGGGAGUUCAUGAUGUGUUUCAUGUUUCCUAGCUGAAGAAGUGUCAUACAGAGAUGGCGGACAUUCCUUUGAGGGAUACAGUGCCACUCGAGGCAAUUCAGUUGGAGAGCGAUCUGACUUAUGAGGAGAAACCUAUUAAGAUUCUUGAGACUGCAGAAAGAAUCACUCAUACCAAGAUCAUCAAGUUCUGCAAGGUUCAGUAGAGUCACCACACGGAGGAGGAAGCUACGUGGGAACGAGAGGAAGAUCUUAGACAGGACCAUCCACACCUUUUUGCUGGCCAACCCGAAUCUCGAGGACGAGAUUCAUCUUAAGGGAGGUAGGUUUGUAACAUCCCAAUUUUUAUUAAAUUUGGAUGUUAAUAGAAUCAUUCAAUGCAUAUCAUAUUUCUUUGCAUUAUGGAGUUUUUUUAUCUUCAAAUAAUAUCUUUUCCACUCAAGAAAAACAAGUGAGAGGGGAUAAGAUGACUUCCUCAAAAUAUAAAAGAGUGGGAAAUUUUAUUUUGAAUAUUACUUUAAGUUUUGGAGUUUAUUGGUAUUUAUUUUUUAUUUGCAAAAAGUGCAUUAAUUGCAUUAGGAAAAUAUUUUAAAAAUGUUCUGUGCUUUAGUUAAUGUUCAUUAGGCUCUAAAUAUUGCAUAGUUAUUUAGAAAUUAUUGUGGUGUUUUUAUUCAUUGAUUUGAAUUAUUUCGGGCCACUUUCGUAUUCGGUUUAAAAAAAUGCACACACUCACCGCAGCCUGGACCGAAACUGGGUUCGGCCCAGGAGCGCCCCAACCAGCCCAGCUGGCUAUUUGGCCCAAGGCCAGCGCCCAGCGCCCGACGCCUUCCGCACCGGUCGACCGCCCGCGCCCCCUCUCGCUCGCUACGGCCGCUGCCACUACCAGGCAGGCCCAACCUCCCGCACGGCGCGGGAUAAACAUCCGCGCCUUUUCGCCGCAACCGCCGGCCGCCUCGGGCUCGGAUAGAGCUUAUCCGCAGUUCCCGUGCCCUCUGCCCUCGCCUAUAAAAUCCCCUCGACCCCCUCUUCCAUCCUAGCCAUCUCGCUUCUUCCCACGCUGCCUCUACUGCUCGCCGUCGCCGUUCACAUCUCGCCGGAGCCGCGCCACUCCGUCGUCCAUUUCGUCGUCUGUGGCACCCCCUAGCUCUCCUUCCUUUGUCAAUUGGAUCCUCGCGACAACACGCAUCGUUUUGACACAUUUUUUUGCGCCUAGGUACCGUCGGAGCUGCCGCACAGUCGACGCCGGAGUCACCGGAGCUCCGAGGGCCGCCAUCUUCGCCCCGCCCCAUCCGAACGUCGCCGACGCACGCCGACACCACCUUCGCGACGGCCAAGCCGCGCCGCACCUCCCCGUCUUCUUCCCCGACGCCGAGGACCGCCGUAGCCACCGUCCCCUCCGUCACCGAUGCCGCACCGCCGGCUUCGUCGUCGCCGGCCACCACCACGACCCAUUGUAAGACGCCGCCCCACUCCCGCCCGUUAGAUCGAUCCCCGACGGCCCAGAUUAGAUUAGGUUCGAUUUUUUUUAUUUUGUGAAGAGGUACGCGGUUAACCGCGGUUCCCUUGGACUGUGCGGUUUAUUUAAACCGAGCGUCGGUUUUCUUUAAUUCGCCACAGCCGUUGUUUUUUUUCUUAUUUAGCGACAUUCGCCGUAUAGCCUCCGCAGAGGACGUGGCCAGGGACCUUCUUGCAGUAGUUAUCUUCACCAUUUAGUCCCUGUAAAUAGCAGACUAGUCCCUGAUCUUAGAUUAGCCAUAACUUUUUAACCGUAGAUCCAAACUCGAUGAAAUCAACGGCAAAUUCUUCGUAUUGUUUAGAUCUAUGCAGUAGCAUAGUUUUGCAAACUUUUGUUGGUUUUCAAAUUUGAAUUUAUUCAGAUUCGAAUUCAAACUUCAAAUAGCCAUAUCUCCCAAACUGUAGCUCCGAUUAAGUUGAUUCCUUUUGCAUGCUGUCACCGUCGCAAAGCCCUAUCACCUGGACCUUCGUCAUAAUAAUUUUCACACACUAGAUUCUGCCCUUUAAUAUUUUUACUAGUAUGCAUAGUAUGCACUAUACUUCACAUCACUUCCUGAACCAUAGGCCCAUGUUGUUUUACACUUAGAAUAUUUUUCAUGCUAGUGUGAUGUCUGUUCAUUUGGUUUUUCCGAGACUUUUGCUUUGCAUGUUCUUCUUGGUUCUCUGGAUUGUUGCUUAUGUUUGUUUAUCUUCCUUGCGAUAGAUUUCUCGGACUGCGAAGCAGAAUAUUAUCAGUCUUUAGAAUUCAACCAGCAGUACCAAGGCAAGUUGCAUCUUGAUCAUGUUUCAUUACCUAUGUUUUUAUUAUGCACUUAGUUCUUUGUGGUAGGACUGCAUGGUAGGAAACUGGUGCCACAUGAAUUUGCUUUUCACCCAGUAGUUCAUUGAGGUAGGUCUGAACCAUAUAACUUUGUCACCAUCGUUUUACUUUAUGUUGCUAUGCUAAGUAGACGUGGAUUGGGAAGUGAUCAUUGUGAGAGAUGAGUGACAAUGUAGUAAAUAAGACCUAAGUUAAAAAAAUGAACUACCUAGGCGGAAACUUGUGGGAAUGGUGGCGAAGUACAGUGGGGCACGCAUGGGAAAUCCAUGGUGGUGCACCACUAGUGGACCGUCCGCUCAGGCUCAAAGAGAUCAAUUGUAUUCUCAUGUCUAGAAGCUUACGUGUGCUGCCACAUGCCAAUAUGGGCUCUGGCUUAGCUGAGUAGUUAGUGUGCCCCCUUCCGGGAUGGGCUAGCAGAUGUAGAAUGAUGUAGGUGUACCGGCCUAUCCAUGGGUUAAGGGGGAACAUUUUCGAAAGGCUAUGUCUCGAUCUACCAAUCAUGGAGGUGGUCGAGUCUUGUGGGGAAAAGUGCACAACCUCUGCAGAGUUUUCAACCUAAUCGAUUAGCCGUCUCCCCGGUUACGGACAACUUGAGCAUCUAGUAGUGGGAAAUGUCGGGAGAUCGAUCUCCUCACCUUUAAUUAAACAGUUGGGUUUUAAAUGAAACUUGGGGACGGAUGGAGUUGGAUUUUCCAACUCAUCCUAUGCAAAUGUGUAGUAGUAGAAUAACAAUCUUUUCAAAUAGGGAAAAACUAGCUUUAUGCAAAAAACUAAACUUAGAGUUUUCCACCAGCCAAACUGCAUGUAAAAGUAGGUUCAUUGCACUAUGAUGUGACUUGCCAGUACAUUCAAUGUACUGACCCAUUUGGCUGCAACUUAUCACAUUGCAGAUAUAUCAGACGAGGAUUAAGGUGCAAUAGGUCGAUGUUCUACACUCAACCUUGCUCGUGGUGUUGGACUCAUUUACUUCUUUGCUUCUGCAGUAUUUGCUUAUUGGCUUUCUGCCCUAUUUUGUAAUAAAUGUAUUGCUCCUAGACUAUCGAUGUAAUAAAGAGAUAUGUGUUAUUUCUGUUAUUUCAUCGAGUACCGUGUGUGCUAGCAAGUCGAUCCAGGGACUAGCACGGUAAGCACAGAGACUUCGACUCUUACCGAGUCGGGUCGCUACAUAUGUUAUACUGACUGUAGUAAUUUGAUGAUAUAUAUAUAUAUAUAUAUAUAUAUAUAUAUAUAUAUAUUCUUUAUUGUUAUACUUAAUUGAUAGUGUAGUACUGUGUCUUUUGGUAGUGUAGAAAUCUAUACUUAAUAGAAAUAUAUUUGCAAGAGUAUGUGCGAGGCUAUUUAUUAAUUGAUAUGUUUUUCUUAUUCAGAAAUUUCCAAAGAACCUAUUUGUGAGUUGUGGUAUCGAGCCUGAUAAAGAAGGCUCAGCUAGACUACCCCUUACCGCAAGGGGCUCCAUCACCACCUGUACUUACCGCAUGGACACAGACGGUCGCAAGAAUCCUCGUUGGCAAGAGAUUCCUCGUUGGCAAGAAUAUUUGUGUUGGACAGGCCAUCCUAAUUACUAUCAGGAACACCCACCGCCCAGGCUUGAGGAUGAUAAUCGUCGUCGAUAUCAUCUAGCUAGAACUACAUAUGUGUGUGUGGCUAUAUCAUCUAGAACUACAUUUGAUGAUCGUCGUCGAUAUCAUGUAGAACUACAUAUGAUGAUCGUCGUCGAUAUCAUCUAGAACUAUAUAUGAUGAUCGUCAUCGAUAUCACCUUCGUACUGCUUGAGGAUGCAUAUGAUGAUCGUUAUCGAGUAAUUUGGAACGGAGGUAGUACUACCUAGUACCUAUAAUGCUUUAUGAAAUUGAUAUCUAGUAGUACCUAGUAUCUGGAAAUUGCAGUUUAUUGAAACUGAAACUGGGUAGGAAGCGGGGGAAAAUGAUGAAACACAUAGCAGUAGCGCGGGGCUAGGAAAACACUACAACUAAGUAAUAGUAGCGUGUUCUGGAAAAGCGAUGCUGAUAUAGUAGUAGCGCGGGUGCAAACCGCGCUACUACUAACAGUUAGCUAUAACGCCUUAUUGGUAGCGCGGCUGCCUGCGCUGCUGAUAGCCUCAAAACCCACGCUACUACUAGGGUUUUCCCUAGUAGUGGGGCCGAGUGGAAAAUGUUUGUUUUGUUAACAUUUAAGGUUUAAGGGCAUAUGCACAGAGUUUUCAANNNNNNNNNNCACCGGAUAGGCAUCCUCUCAAAAAAUGUGUGUCUGUGUGUGUGGAGAGGGGGGGGGGCUGGAUCGGCAACCUCUCAAAAUGAACCGGUCCUCGAUUGAACACGACUCUUUCCUUGGGAGAGAACAGCGAUGGUAUAAGAUUCUCUUGAUGGAAACCUACACCCGCAGAAUCGGUUUGCUUUGCAGCAGAGCAACUGACAUCCUGUUGACCUCUCAAUGCAAAUCGAAAACCGAUCAUGUUUUGUUUCCUCUAACUCUCAGCUAAACGGGCUGUGCGCCAUGGAGAGGGAGGGCCAUUUAACCUAUAGGGUCCACUUUUUUCCCCGAAAAACUUCCGUCCAGAACUCUCGGCCUGCGAAUCUGCACACGGUGGCCAGAUGGCCAUGCGAGAGUGGACCGCAUAUUAGAACCCUUCGCGAUAGCAAGAUUACAAAGUCCGGCCGCCGAAACCGUGCUGGUCGUGAGAGGGUUAGGAGAGUGCCCAGUUUUAAUAAACAGCCCACAGUUUUUGCAAAAACCAGGGGUGGCUUCUCUUCUCAACCAGAAACUGAAAUUGUAAAAUCUUUUGUCUCUAUGUGAAACUACGCAAAUGUUUCUUAGCAAAGCUUACACUCUCCACACCGGCGACACUAAUAUGAAUGAACGAGACAAACCGAUACUACUCACCACGCGUACGGCCCACCUACUCACGGCUAGUACUCUCCACGCCUAGUGCAGCAGUCCCACGCUAGAGUGUGUUGUCGUCUUCGUCUACAUACACAAAUAUAGAAACGGCAGCCACAACACACAACCCAGAACCCACAACAUGAUGACCGGAUCGAGCUCCCGAGUGUUCAUCAUGCCCGGCGCCGGCCAUGUCCACUACCUCGUCGCGGGAGGCUCCGGAGGAGGCGACGACCCCAGGUACCCCUGGACCUUCAAGUCCCUGCACGAGGUGGACGCCGUCGUCCCUGCCAUCGCCCGUGGAGCACCGGUAGGGCCUGACGGGUGCCCCAUCUGCUUCCGCACAUUCGCCAGUGCCAAGGCCGUCCAUGGCCACAUGCGCAGCCACACGGACCGCAGCUGGCGCGGCAUGGAGCCGCCCCGGGAGACACCCCUGGGCGAGCUCGGGCCGGACGGGCAGCGUUACCCGUACGUGUGCGACCGCUGCAAGAUGCCUUUCCGGACGCGCCAGGCGCUCGGCGGCCACCGCGCCAGCCACAAUGGUAAGAAAGGCUGCUCCUGGCUCGAAAGAGAGGAGCUCGCCGCUGAUUUAUUUGGUGCUGUUUUAUUUGACAUUAGCCGAUCUAAAAUUAGAUCUAUAGGUUAACUAUUACCAUGUGUCCAGCUCUAGCAAAUUUAUAUCGUGACUUACAAUUAUUUAAUGAGUUGCAUUAAUACACAGCUAGCUCAAUAUUGCAAGCAUCUACUCUCUGAUUUCUCAACAGUUUGAAAGAGAAUAACAUGAGAUUGUUUCUCCAGGUGUUGUGCCCAUUUCAUAUAGAUAGGGAAGGAGGAAAAGUGUCAUAAUGUAUAUGCAUCAGAUUAAUGGAUGAUAAAAAGGUCGAUCUAGUUCUAGUACUAUACACGCAUUAAUUGUACUGUGAUUUCCAAAUCUUAUCUUCACUGGCCGAAACCAAAAGUGUCUUUGCAAAUAAGAAUAGAAAUAGUUUGUGUAUUUAUGUCUUCUAGUGAAAUGUCAAGUGUGUCGCAUGCUUACAUAGCAUUUCCCAAGUUAAUGAUGGUAUUCACAAUGUAUAUAUUGGAGAUAUCUUGGCAUCAUUGGAGUAAUUAAAGCGCUCUGUUUCGGCUCUAUAUACGCUAUGAGAGUUUCCUUGUUUUGAUAUAGGAAACCAGAAGAACAAUGGGGCCAAGAAACGUUUCCGAAUCAAAAAUAUCCAAAUAUUCAUGAAACAGAACAGUGUAUGUCGAAUACAGCGUUAUUCAAAACCAACAUCGUUCCAUUUUCAGCUGCAUGGAUAUACAUUUGUAAUGCUAGUGCACUGCACAAAAUUGGACACAAAAACAACUGUCCGAAUCCGACUCGGAUUCGGAUGUCUAAUUCGACCAUCAAAGAUUCCCACACAGUGAAAGACAGCUGGACACGGAUAAGUGUUUUGAAUCCAGCGCAGUCCUAGAGGAUUUGGUACGACUGAAAGGUAGAUAUGACAAGGAUCUGUUAGACAUGGAUACAAGUGUAGAACAUCGGACUUAUAUUCAUUUGAUCAUCCGACUUAAUAUUUUGAAGGAAGAACCUACCCAUUAAAAUAUAUUUUUGUUACAUAUAAAUUUACCUCUUAUAGAUAUUGUGAAAUUAAUACCCAAGAAAAGUUUAGAAUUAUCUCACACUUGCUACUUAAAAUAAACACAAAAUUAAUAAUUGCUUGCUGUUAGAGAAUACUGCUACACUAAUACUAGUUCGUUUCUGCUCCGGUGCUCCCCCCCUGGGCUGAACGCGGGGUGGGAAAACACAUCGACGGCCAGGAUGAACCAAGAACGGUUCAUAACGAGGGGCACGAUCGUCUUUGUUGCCCCUGCGUAUAGCCAUCGAGGAGCCCUGGGAGGCCCGUACCGGCCCGGUUAGAUCAUAUGCCCGGCCGUAUACGUAUGCCCGUCCGUAUACGGCGGCCUUUCGUGCACGCGUGAAGCCGCCCGCGCUCGGGCGCCCCCCUGCAAAAAAAAAGAAGCCGCCCGCGCGUUGGGCAGCACGUGUCACAGGUAGUUGCCAAAACUGUCCCAUCAUAUAAAUGUGGACGGCAACCACCUCCGGCCGCAUCGCCCACCAUUUCCCCCCGCCGCAUCGUCUCCCUCUCUCCACUCCCCACUCCCUCUCCUCUCCAACUUCCUCGUCUCCCUCACCGCAUCCUGUCCAUCGCAAUGGUGGACGCAGGAGGCGAGCGCCCCGAUUAGGGCGCAGAUCUGGUGGAGCAGGCGCGGCAGAUCGCUGCGGGCACCUUUGUGAGGGGGCGUGCCGGCGUCCAGCGCGGUGCUCCCUCCGCUGGAGAUCUGGAGAAGGCGGGGGCGGGCCGCAGCGGCGCGGUCCAGCCAGAUGCGCCCGCUCUGGCCAACUCCGGCGAGGCGCAGAAGGUGGAGGCGGGCUCUGGCGAGGCGCAGAAGGUGGAGGCGGGCUCUGGCGAGGCGCAGAAGGUGGAGAAGGUGGAGAAGGUGGAGGCCGUCUCCGGCGAGGAGGAAGCGGAGCAGAAGGUAUCUGCGGCUAACUUUUAGUUGGUAGCUUUUAGAUUGUAGGGUUUGUGGCCAGAACUUUGCUUGGUUAGAUUUGUUGGAGGUAGGGUUUUCUCUGCAUUAGGGUUUUCCUGUAUUAGAUUCGUGCAAGAAUGGUGGACCACAUAUGAUUAUUAGAUUAGGUUAGAAGUAGCCAGAUUGAGGGAUGGGGUUUUUUCAGAUGCUUAUUAGAUUAGUAAUGGAAUUUUUGCAAUUCUUUAGGUGUUUGGAGUCAAAUAUAUACUUUUGUAUUGGUUUGGGUUGGUGCCUGCUUUAGUUCUUUGGCUUGAUGAUUAAUUAAAUGGAUGCUUAGUUCUAGGGAUUAUGGAUGUCAUAGUUGCAAUUCUUAGAUGCUUGAUUGAUGCAUGUUGUCAUACUUGCAGUUAUUUGAUGCUUGAUUGAUGCCUGUCAGGCAGAGGCUAUGAGAUGGGUUGUGCAUGGCCUUGUGUUUUUGGAAAUUGUCUACGUGAGAUGAUUAGAUGGUGCAUUAGUUUGGUUGUAAAUAUAGUGAAGGAUGUGAUCAUGUACUGGGUGUUGUCAUGUUAAUCAAAAAGAGCUUCUCAAGGGCUGGAUUUUUUUGUGCUGGAUUGGGGCUUCUGAAGGAGAGGGGAAGCGUGGUCGAGGGGAAGGGGCAGUCUAUGCUUAUUUACUUUGGGUUAGUAGAGGAAUUUUGUCGUUGCUUCAGAGAUGUUGACAGCAUUGAACAUCCUCUGCAAUGCUGUUGCUUCAGACAUAAAAGCAUCUUGGGGUUUUUUCAGAUGCUUAUUAGAUUAGUAGUUGAAUUUUUGCUUGUUAGAAUUUAAUUAGUAUGAGGAUGAAUACCUUAUUUAAGGGGGAAUUUAAGGUCAGAUAGACGUCAUAUGAUUAUUAGAUCUGUAGUUCAAUGCUGCUGACAUUUAUGAUUAUUUGAUUUGAUCUGUGGUUCAAUUAUAGUGGAUGGAAACAUAUUGAUUUGGAAUGCAUUAAUUAAGAUGUGCCAAUGAAUUGAUUUAGAUGAUACAAGAUUCAUCUAUAUAAUAAUUUGUUGUUGUUUAGGUAAGUAAUGAAAUUUUAGAUGUUUGUUGGACAUGUAUGCAUUUAUAGUUGAAGUUGUACCUAAUUAACUACUGCAUUAUGUUAAUAUGUGUAGGAGCUUUGCUGCAUUGUCCCAAAAACAGUAAUUUGUGCAUAUUAAAAUUUGUAGUUGGCUUCUGUAAUUAGUAUAUACUAUAUGUAAAGUCUGAAGUAAACAUUCCAACGCAGGAUCCUAGCAACAAAAUAUACUAUAUGUUUCCAUUAAGUAGUGUGUGUGUGGGGGGGUAAUUCCCUCAAAAGUAAACUGUUGGGUUUCUCCACGGAAUGUCAAGAAUCCAGCUUGCAUUUUCGUUAGCAUUUAUGAAGGACAUCAUUUGUCUGUUGAUUGAUUGCUUAGAUUCUGUAUUUAUAAGGAAAGCAUUUGGUCACUUGCAACAUACCAAUGUGGUUCACAUUCACAAUUUUGUUUGUAAUGACAUUCUGUGAACUGCAAUUCAAUUCAUUGUAAUUGAUGUGCGUGUUUGACAAUAUAGUAGGAGGAGGAGGAUCUUGUGGGCAACAAGAGGAAGUGGGACAAGACUGGGUUCUACCCAUAUGAGUCUGGUGAAGAUGAGCCGUAUGAGGUAAGGCCUAGUUCAAAUGUUAUUUCUGCAUUGAGUUAGUAUUAUGUGUUUAUAGUUUUUGAAUGCAUAGUGUAUUAAUGUCAGUCAUUAAUUUGUGCAGUAUGAAUCUGGAGAUGAUGUGGUCGAGGGGAACUUCGAGUCCUUUGAAGAGAAGGAGGUGUUGAAGAUCAGGGCCCAAGGACCUGCCAAGUACUACAACUGGAGGAAUGAAAAGUACCGGUGCCCCUACUGCAGCAAGCCCAAGCCCAGGUCUGGGUUAUUGGAGCAUCUGAUGGAACAUUGCCGGGCUACAUCAAUCUCCAGUCAUGACUACAGGAUCAUUGGUCAGCAUAAGGCGCUCCUGAAGGUCCUGAGAAACCCCGACCUGUAGUCGUACAUCAUGCUGAUCAUCGAAAGCUGGAAGCCAUACUCAUCAUCAGUAUAUUUGAUGAUGUUUUACUUUUGGGAAAGCUGCAUCUGGGUCUGAACUGUGAGAAAACUUGAUAUAUUAAUGUAAUGUAAUGUAUUGUGUGGUUGAACUGGAUCUGUUGUGAACUGCCUGCUACCUAUUAGAAUGCAAUCUAUAUAUGUGUGGCCUUAUCUUUAAUGGUGGUGAAUGCUUCCUUCAUGUUUAGUUGUUGUUUCGAUGGUGCGAAAAAAACAAAUGGCGCUUCAGUGUUGCUUGAGACAUGCUGCAACACUUGUCUAUGCUGUGGGCAAGUGCAACAUGCUGCGCCCAUGUGCCAAUUAUACCAAAUAUUGAAUGUCGCAAUGUUCCAAAAUGGCUGUCAUGAAUUAUAGUACAUGGGGUUUAGUAAAGUUACUGAUAAUUGUUCAUCCUCACACAUUCCACCAACUCAUAAUUUGAAUAAGCAAAAAGAUCAAAUGUUCCAUCAUUUGAACCUAUGUUGCAAUUACAGAGCAAAUAUUCCAUCAUCAAAGUGUGAAGGAAUUAAAUAUAAAUUUAGAAGAAAAGAAAAUAUACAUAUUCAAAAAGAUGUGUUUGAUAAAAAU
rnacentral:lncRNA from 1 species